NNNNNNNNNNNNNNNNNNNNNNNNNNNNNNNNNNNNNNNNNNNNNNNNNNNNNNNNNNNNNNNNNNNNNNNNNNNNNNNNNNNNNNNNNNNNNNNNNNNNNNNNNNNNNNNNNNNNNNNNNNNNNNNNNNNNNNNNNNNNNNNNNNNNNNNNNNNNNNNNNNNNNNNNNNNNNNNNNNNNNNNNNNNNNNNNNNNNNNNNNNNNNNNNNNNNNNNNNNNNNNNNNNNNNNNNNNNNNNNNNNNNNNNNNNNNNNNNNNNNNNNNNNNNNNNNNNNNNNNNNNNNNNNNNNNNNNNNNNNNNNNNNNNNNNNNNNNNNNNNNNNNNNNNNNNNNNNNNNNNNNNNNNNNNNNNNNNNNNNNNNNNNNNNNNNNNNNNNNNNNNNNNNNNNNNNNNNNNNNNNNNNNNNNNNNNNNNNNNNNNNNNNNNNNNNNNNNNNNNNNNNNNNNNNNNNNNNNNNNNNNNNNNNNNNNNNNNNNNNNNNNNNNNNNNNNNNNNNNNNNNNNNNNNNNNNNNNNNNNNNNNNNNNNNNNNNNNNNNNNNNNNNNNNNNNNNNNNNNNNNNNNNNNNNNNNNNNNNNNNNNNNNNNNNNNNNNNNNNNNNNNNNNNNNNNNNNNNNNNNNNNNNNNNNNNNNNNNNNNNNNNNNNNNNNNNNNNNNNNNNNNNNNNNNNNNNNNNNNNNNNNNNNNNNNNNNNNNNNNNNNNNNNNNNNNNNNNNNNNNNNNNNNNNNNNNNNNNNNNNNNNNNNNNNNNNNNNNNNNNNNNNNNNNNNNNNNNNNNNNNNNNNNNNNNNNNNNNNNNNNNNNNNNNNNNNNNNNNNNNNNNNNNNNNNNNNNNNNNNNNNNNNNNNNNNNNNNNNNNNNNNNNNNNNNNNNNNNNNNNNNNNNNNNNNNNNNNNNNNNNNNNNNNNNNNNNNNNNNNNNNNNNNNNNNNNNNNNNNNNNNNNNNNNNNNNNNNNNNNNNNNNNNNNNNNNNNNNNNNNNNNNNNNNNNNNNNNNNNNNNNNNNNNNNNNNNNNNNNNNNNNNNNNNNNNNNNNNNNNNNNNNNNNNNNNNNNNNNNNNNNNNNNNNNNNNNNNNNNNNNNNNNNNNNNNNNNNNNNNNNNNNNNNNNNNNNNNNNNNNNNNNNNNNNNNNNNNNNNNNNNNNNNNNNNNNNNNNNNNNNNNNNNNNNNNNNNNNNNNNNNNNNNNNNNNNNNNNNNNNNNNNNNNNNNNNNNNNNNNNNNNNNNNNNNNNNNNNNNNNNNNNNNNNNNNNNNNNNNNNNNNNNNNNNNNNNNNNNNNNNNNNNNNNNNNNNNNNNNNNNNNNNNNNNNNNNNNNNNNNNNNNNNNNNNNNNNNNNNNNNNNNNNNNNNNNNNNNNNNNNNNNNNNNNNNNNNNNNNNNNNNNNNNNNNNNNNNNNNNNNNNNNNNNNNNNNNNNNNNNNNNNNNNNNNNNNNNNNNNNNNNNNNNNNNNNNNNNNNNNNNNNNNNNNNNNNNNNNNNNNNNNNNNNNNNNNNNNNNNNNNNNNNNNNNNNNNNNNNNNNNNNNNNNNNNNNNNNNNNNNNNNNNNNNNNNNNNNNNNNNNNNNNNNNNNNNNNNNNNNNNNNNNNNNNNNNNNNNNNNNNNNNNNNNNNNNNNNNNNNNNNNNNNNNNNNNNNNNNNNNNNNNNNNNNNNNNNNNNNNNNNNNNNNNNNNNNNNNNNNNNNNNNNNNNNNNNNNNNNNNNNNNNNNNNNNNNNNNNNNNNNNNNNNNNNNNNNNNNNNNNNNNNNNNNNNNNNNNNNNNNNNNNNNNNNNNNNNNNNNNNNNNNNNNNNNNNNNNNNNNNNNNNNNNNNNNNNNNNNNNNNNNNNNNNNNNNNNNNNNNNNNNNNNNNNNNNNNNNNNNNNNNNNAGAUUGUUUAAAUAAAAUUAGUUUGGUUAAGAAUUAGUACUUGGUGAUUUUUAUUAAAUAAUUCCUCGUGGGAACGAUACUCUACUUUCACUUUAUUACUUGUUGACCGUGUAUACUUUCACGUAUUCAUUGAUUACUUGUUGACCGUGUACCUUAUACACGUGGUUCCAUUCCAAUGAAAAAAGAAAAAAGAUUCUGGUUUAUACCUUCUAUCUCCGCUACAAGUUAAGUUCAUAAAGAAGGUUGUCGGGUUUAGAUUGAAAUGGAAUUCCUGAGAACUGGGGCUAGAAUUUUAUACUUAUUCUCUUUCGAGAGAGGCACUUUAAGUAGAAUAAACAAGAAGUCUAUUUUGCCGCUUCACAGCUCCACAAUCCCGCUUCUUUUUUAUCUAAAAGAAGCUUCGCAAAGUGCACUCUCAGUCCCCUUCGUACGACAGGGCCCCUGCCAUUCUUCCCUCUAUGGAACCAGGCCGAAUCCCCAACUACGUUAGAAAAGGGGUCUUGGCAAUCCGCCCAAUAUCGUAUAAAGCUGCUGCUACUUCGUCCCCUUCAUUGCCUGCUUCAAUCAAUCGUAUUUCUGCUCGUGAAAAUGGAAUCGUAUUUCAAACGUGCUUUCCCCUCCUUCGCUUCGCUCUUCCUCCCUCGGGAAGGGGUUAGCUCCAUAGCUCCUUAGCUCCUUAGCUCAAGCUCUAAACUCGUAGGUCAGUAGCUCAGUACCUCAGUAGCUCAGUAGCUCUAAGAAAUAAAGGUAGCUCCAGUCUAUCGCUCCGUUCGCUUCACUCACUCUCUUUAGUCUCUCCCUCACUUACGAGAGUGAGAGCCGAUGCUAUUACCGCAGGGUUUUUACCACACUACUGUUCCUCCAGAAUCCAUGCGGUUUUUUUAUCUCGCAUAGAGCCAACCUUACUCUAUGUACUGUCCUGGGUGGGCUACCAUCCUUUUCCAUUCCACUACUUUACAUGUUAGCUCGUCUCUGUCUUUGUCUUCAUCCACAAAAGCAUAUCCGGGAGGAGAUACUCAUCCUAGGUAAAUUAAGAAUUUUAGACCGAUCAAAUAGCCAGCCGUUGGGAGAUGCUAACGGUCACGAAAGAAAGUGUAAAAUGGGUUGACUUAGGUUGUCCCUAAAAAUAACAGAUUAAAGGGUAAUAGUUCAACCUUCUGCAGGAUUCAGAGAUAUUUUAUUUAAACAGGGCUUGUAUUAGUUAUGGGGGUAGAAAGUCAAGGUUAGGGAUAUAAGCCUUAAAAACCAAAGCACUUUAAAAAAGCCAUGUACCCGCAGAACGGUUUACCGUACUAGCUAGUCACAACUAGCCGCCUCUAAGGGAACGAACCCUUAUAUAAUUGAAAAAAUCGGGUGAGGGAACUUUACAGGUUGUCUGAACCGAGGGUGUACCUUCUGUUAUCAUAUAUUCCCACACAAAAAAAAUUAGUGACCAAACUGAUUAGGGUAUGAAAUGGUACUAUGUCAACCAGGGCCUGGGCCGAUCGCUUGAGCUGCACCUGACAGGGGCCCUUAUCACGUAAGGUACGAGUCUUAUAUGAAAAAGAAGUGAUAGUAUAGGUAAUGGAACUAGCGAUAGCUUUGUUAUGAGCUUGUUCUAGUAAGGGCUCGCGAUCCCUUGCUUGUUUGAUUCCUUUCCUUUUAUUCAAUCUCUCUCUUCCCUUUUUCCUUUAGAACUCUAAUGGUGACUAAGGAAGAAAAACAAGCUCUUUUGUACCACUUCAAUCGCUAGCCUGUAAUCCAGCCUAGCAGACUGAAGCAAGGAAUCCUAGAGUUCCCAAAGCUUCGUUUAGGAGAGCCUACGGAUCUCUUUAAAGUAAAGUACAAUAUCGACUUGAAUGAAACUAUAGCACAGAGGAAUGCUAGCGACCACUCAUAUUCAAGAAUAGGAGCUCAGACUCUUGUUGUAGUUCGAGCCUUAGAUGGAAAAAAAUGAAGGGAUAGGAAAGCAAGGCAUCCUAUAAGCACAGAGGUAAUAGGCAGGCAGUUAAUCGAUUUCAGUAUUCUAGAUAUCUCCUGCCCUUUCAUACUCGUAGACUUCUGUAAUAGGCUUUCUCCUACGGUACUUGCCUAGGAGCGAGAACUCUAGUUCAAAUGUUUCAAGUGUAGCAGAGGAAAGGUAGCAAUUAGUUGUUGACUUUUAUAGAAGCAAGGUAAUGCAAUUAAGAUCAGAGUCAAGCCUGGAAGCCGGAGAGUGAAGAGAAGUUCUGAAAGAAAAGACAUUCACAACUAUCUCAUAUAGGAGAGUGCAUAUAGUUUUGGACAUCUAUUGACUUUCCUGAAUUCCUUAAAGGAAUUUAGUAAUGGUUAAGUCAAACAUAGCAGUCUUAAGCAAAUUGGUAGUAGCAGUACUGGUAAGCAGUUAAGAGCUUUACUUUGCAUGACGGUCUUCAGUCUAGCAUUCUUGUAGUUCAAGUGUGAAUAAGGAAGUGCAAGGCAGCAAUCAUCUGUAGCGGGCUAGCUCACUGAAUCGAUAUCUGUAUUUGUAUACAUAUAAGAGAUGCUUUUUGCUUUGUCUUUUCAUUUUAAGCCGGAUCUACAAUGUAUUGGUAAGGAUCUCUCCCCUACCUCUUUGGAGGGCUGACAGUUGCUUGCUUGUGUACCUAAUCCUUCUGGCUUUCCUGCUGGAUAUCCUAUUAUACCGAUUGCUUCUUUUUGUUCCUGUUGCCUGCCUUUCCUAUUGCUUUUGAUUGCAUGCUUUCCUUCAUUUGUGUCUGACUAGAGGAGAUAGUUACCAGCGAAGAGAGGGGAGUGAGACUAAGAAGACGUUCCCCUAGUGCUUCCAUCAAGCGAAGCACUAGACUCACUAUAAAGGAGAACACCUAAAGGAACUAUUCCUGCUUCAGUCAAAUUCAAUGCAUUGUUUCAUUGCCUAUGUAUCAAGCUUCAAAUCUCCACUUUUCACUUUAAUGUAUGCUGUGGGUGCAUAACAUGCAGAUUUCUGUCCAGAACAUAAAAAGAAUCUAUGAGUUGAGAAGCAACUUAGCGUUCAACCAUUACCUCUGACUCGACCUCUGCACCUUCCACCAUCUCUGCAGUUAAUUACAGGUGUAUGGCAUUUGCUGUUGAUAAUGCUUUUCUUUUCUCGAAUGCAGGUAUGAAACCAGGAAACUCGCCUUAAUUUUUAAAUAAAGCGGAAAAAAACCUGUGGGAUAAGUCAACAAAUCACAUCAUAUAUCGGAUAUCGCAUCGGAAAGAGAUAUUUAUUCUCCCUUUCGGGCAAGUCCUGAGGAACGUCGACUUGAUAGUCUUUAUCCCCACUGGGUAAGUGGGAAUCUGAUUCAUUGAUUUGAUUGAACCUAGCGGGUAGCGCGCUACUUCAAAGCUUGCUCAACCACGAAAGGCUAGCUUUAGCUUCUUCCCUCUCUCUUCCCCCAAAAAAGGAGAGAGAUGCCCCGUCCCUUCUUUAUGCACAUCCAUAUACAUAGCCAGACAUAAAGGUGUACAAUCCGGUCAAAAUCUGCGGUUCGUUCUUCACUGUAGGUUCUCUUACUUGCUUUAGUGGCUGACAAAGGCCAACUGAGAGGGGAGAACGAAUGGCUCAGGAAUCUACCGGUUCUGAGCAGACUCGUGGAGCUGCAGUUUGGAUUCUCGUAGAAUAAGAGGAGCCAUAUGAGGAAAUGACUUCACUUAAAAGACAGAUGCCACCGUUGCGAGGCAAGGGAGCAACUUGUCUGGUCUUGCGGUGCACUCAUUCCCGUUACGAGAAUGAAAUGACGCCCCAGCUUGACUCGAGACCAAGACUCCUUACAACUUGCACCAAUAGCGGCACUGAGCGGUCGGAGAUUUCUUGAAAAGGCUGCCCCCCCUAGCCACCUACCUGCUCGUGUUUGUAGCUCGAUCGGAGGUCAAGACUUUGGUCCAGCAGAAAAAAUAGAAGUCGUCCAUAUUAAGUGAUACGUGAAUUGCUCAGUAGUGCUUCGCCACUACCGUAGCUGGCGGAAAUAGCUUAAUGGUAGAGAAUAGCCUUGCAAGGCUGAGGUUGAGGGUUCAAGUCCCUCCUUCUGCUCUUGGCUUCAUCGUUUAGUGGUAACGAGUGGAGUGCAGAAGCCCUUUUAGAGAGAGUGGUGAGCAGCAAGCAGCCCCUUGUAUAGGGUUCCAAACCUAUCUUACUAAUAACAUAGAAAGGGGCAAGCCAAAACCUACUCCUAACAAGUUGCUGGCUUUUCAUAAGCCGUUGCGCGCUUCUAUUUUUCAGCAGGCUUCUUCAAAUAUCCCAUAAAUGAAGUAGGGGCUAUAACUAUAAGUAUAAGUAGCUAGCUAGCGCGCUAGCGUUUUCCCUUACUAGUAAAGGGGCUGCUAGUUGUAGCGCGCAGUGUACUAGUGAAUAGGAAAGGCGAAUUGAGAUUACUAAUGACGGAUGGAGGUUGAGGAUAGAACAUGUUCGAUGCCUUGCCCUUGUCUCCUUCGCCGGAGACUACAAAUGAUGGGAAUCCUAUCGAUAAAGAAGAGGCAUAAGCAUCGCCUCUCGAUCCAAUCCGUCUUCCCUGGCCUCCCCAACACACUCUGGAUACGAAAGAAACCUCCCACCAUAGAGAAGAGAUCUAAAGUCUGGGUCCCCUCGAUCACACUCCCUUAAACCUGAACAGGUCUAGAGAGAUGAACCCGCACCAAAUUUUAUAACCUUCGAACCGAAACCCCCAACUAGAGAUGGAAUUCAAGAACCUAAACAACUCAGUUGAGAACUUCGUGACUGGUUCAAGGGAAGGUCCACCAAUGAUUGAUUGGCCAUUCCCCCUCUAUCCGUCUCUUGAUCCCUCAUUCCACUAAUCCGUUGUUACUGAUUCAUUCAAGGCAUAGACUCCCCAUUUCUUUGUCUUAUUAGCGCAGGUGUUCGUCAACGAUGAAAGCCGCUGAACUUAAGACUCGAGUUGAGAAAGAGGGCUAGGCCCCCGGGAGGGCUUUCAGGGACUGGGGAGGGUGGAUUAUAGAGCUAGGGGCAAAUCGAAGGUUUUUCCAUUGGGAUUGGGCAUGGACGAGCCUCGACUGGGCCAGCAUUGAUGAAAAAAUGAAAAAUUCUCCCAUCGCAUCAUUAACCGGUGUAGGAUUAAAGAUCAGGUCCAGGAUUCGAGUCAAAUCUACCUUCCCUCUCAUCUCAGGGUGAGGCAAGGAAUUCAAUCAAAUCUUUUAUGCCAGCCCAAACAAAACGAAUUACUAUCUUUGGAAAGGAAGGAAUGCAGGGAACAACUCUUUCCUUUCCGCUGGUUCUUGAAAGCUAUCAAUCCCCGCUUUUCCCCUCCUCUCGCAUUGGUUCUGCAUCAGAUGAUGAGCCCAUGCACAAACUUUUUCUUUUAUUGGCCCCCGAUAGGUAGGCUAGUAGAUUGAGUCGAAAGCCUACCAACGCAUAAAGGUUCCGAUUCGAGCGAGAGCCCAAACGGGGGAGGCGAGAACAUCUUGAUCGAAAGUUCCACUGUUCUGAAUAGUGAGAAAGACUUUUUAAAAUUAGAUAAAAUCGAUCGAGAAUAUCAUCAUCUGUUAGGUGGGCCAACCGACCGACCGAGUUGGGAUGGGCGUCCAUGUCACAGAACCUUUCUCUAGCCAAGAAUCCCAUUAUUGACCGAAUCGGGGAAUUCAUUUGAAUUGCCCCUUUCUGUUGGAAUAGUUGAAAGUAUUCUUCUUAGGGGUUUUUCUUUUUUCUUAUCAACAUAGAGUUGGAACUUAGCCGUGUAAGUUGCGAGUGGACUAGUGUGAAGCUUUAGUUUCGUUACCGGCCAGAGCUCCUAGCCGAUGACCGACUGCCCCUUUCGAGUUCAGCUGACCCCUUCUUGAUUCAGUUUUUCCCUAUUUGAGAUAGAUGAAUCAAUGGAACUUUGAUCCCCGGUUCCUGCUUAGUCAAUUCUUGGAAGGCCCCUAUUAAUGUAAUGAUUGAACAAUCAAAGUCCAUUUGCCGCGACUACGAGCUGCCAGUGCGCCUUUAUUUGAGUCGCCUACGCUCGGGGUCGAGAACUGGUUCAAAAGUAGAAGGUGGUCCAAAAUGAGCUAACGCGAGUUUUCGAACGACGCCUUUCCCGUUUUUGAACAUCACUGAGAUAGGCUUUUCCCUGAACCAUUGACCCUUAUUCGAGAGGGAUUCAUUCAAUAGAGCUUUAUUUGUUUGAUCUAGUAAGGGGGGUGUUAGAAAUAAGCCACCGCCCGACGAAACAGCGGUUUACAACAGAGCGACCGGGGACAUCGAGCGAAAAGCUCCAAUACGCAUAUUCGGAGCUACGAGGAUGUUGUAGUCGCAGAAGCUGGAUCAACAUCAUGACAAUGGCAUUCUGGAAACCAUUGGGCUAGCCACAAUUGGUCUAAUGUCUUGGUGCGUAUGGCGGUACACUGAGAGCACCUUUCAUUUCAAGUCGGCUGAAAAAGAAAGAAAAAAGGGUUCAUCGUCUUUUUCCCGCUUUCACCUUCGAUUGCGAAGGGAUUUGAGGCCGGUUUUCAAUUUGCUUCUCUCUCUCCGGCGAGGUUUAAACUUCGCGUGGUGGGAAGGCCUUCACGAUUCCCAUCUUCCCGUCCAACAAAAAAAGUGAAGGGGAACGAACAACUAUUCCCUAAUUGAAGAAAGUUGGAAAGCCUUCAGAGCCUCAACCCCUACCAUUAAAUUAAAAAAAAUGAAAGCUGACUAGCAAUCGCUCGUUUUUCUUAUUAGCGGAUGUUAAUAAUGAAAGACAGAACAUAUAUUAGAAGGCAAUCCCCGGGGAAUUCCUAUCGAUUUCCGAUGGAUAACAAUCCAUCUUUCUCGCUUUCGCUCUUUCUCUCAAUCAGUCGCGAGGGUUCCGGGUAUGAGAACGCAAGUGCCGGAAUCAAACAAAAGGUCUGAAUGUCCGAGGCCGAAAGAAAAAAUGCUCCGCGGGAAACUCGUUUCAUGUCGGCGUAUUCAUGCCGGUUAGACGUCGGCCAUGAAAUCCAUCACUAUACCGAGCAGAUCACGGGCAUUCACAUCCAUUUCUAUAGAGCAAAGGGAACUGUGUGCGAUUCUCUCGUGAAUCGCCUUCAGCAAGGUAUGGCACUCAGGGUCUGAACCCGGGGAUAAAUCUUUUUCUUUUCUGACCCUACAGCUAUGAGAGGUUCAGGACUACCCUUGCACCUGAACAUACAGCCAGUAGGAACGGCAUUGAAUAGUGCUUAGCAUAGUUAAGUCACUACCCCUGGGAUUUCCUAAAGUGCCUUUACCCUGCCAUCAAAGUAAGUAUUUCUCCCUCCAGUUACCCCAGCGAACAUCCUUUUUUUCUUGCUAGUAUAACCAGAGAACGACAUUAGUAUUACUCUAAAGGGGGCUCAUAACAGUGGAGUACUUUUUCUUUUCCUUAUUGAGGUGUCUUAUAGAGCAGAUCAUAGGAUCGUAGGUGAGACUGAUUGUUCUCAGCUCGUUUGCUAAACAGUAAUCUCAUAAACCAGUAGACCAAUCUUCGCUAAUUGAAUUCAAUUUCAUUCUCUGAUUUUUUUGUUUUCAGAUUUCUAUUUUCACAUGAAUUCCACUGAACUGCAUUUCAUAUGAUCCAGAGAUCGAUCUUUCCACAGGUCACUCUGCCAAGGUGAACUAUUUCCUUUUGGUUGGUUUCUUAGAAUAGAAGCAUAAGUCCCUUAUCUCCUCUAAGCAGUCCGAUCUGGCUUUCCUGCCUCUCUCUUCUCUAGUCGUCUAGUAUUGUACCCUUAUUCAGAUUAUGAUUUUCAUUCAUUCAAUGAAAAAAUUGCUUGUCUAAGGUGUGUUUCGACGUACAGAUCACCAAAGACGGGAGUUAGUUUGUUCAAGUCAAUAAGAGGUAAGGUCUCACUUAAGUGUUCUGUGGUAUCUCCCGAGCAAUAGAUGAAGAGGGUCUCUCGCCGGGGUCAAUCUCAAUAUAAGUAGGAACUUCUUUGUGCACAGCUGAUUGUGUAAGAGAAUAGGUUCCUUCUAUUCUUCCUAGAGGCAACAGAAGCGUGCUAUUCUUUGUCCUCCAAAUCUCGUAAGAGAAUAAAUAGAAUAUAGGGCUAUUUCCUCCAUUAAUGGGUGUCUUUUUCCCCCUCGUGAUUGGGGUUCCGCACUUGCUUGUCUGAGACUUUAAUAAUGUUCGCACUCUCUUUUGUUUAGUGUAAAAUCCUGAUCCUAACUGACCCCAGAAUCAAAACCUUCUUGUUCUAAAGGCAUGGCUCUCUCGCAUCUUAUUCUACUACUUCUUUUGUAGAGGAAGUCCGUCUCGGUCUAACUUUGUUACCUUAGCCUGGAAAACAACCUAGUUUCCUAGGCCUCCUUAUAUCUUUUUCCUAGCUUCAGAAAAUGCCCGAAAAAGAAAAUCCCUCGUGGACCUAUAUCCAAGCCCAGAGAGUACUCUUCCUUCUGCCUUACACCUCCUAUGAACGAACCUGAUAGGGCCACAUACAAAAGGUUCUUUACCAAGCUUAAGAAUUGUGUUGUGCUUUCCAUCUCGACUCAUUCAUGCGGUCGACCUAUCAUUUCUGAGGGUAAAAUCCCCAGUCUUCCUACCCUACCUUGGUUAUCCACUUUCAUGCUACCACUGAGCGGACUUUCCUAUAAAGAAUAAGAUAGAUCUGGCCCUAUCGGAUUGGUCUUCACGGAGUCCUAUAAUUUUCAUUCUUUAUGUCCUGCAAAACUCAUCUUAGUAGCGGCUGGGAAGCCUUCGAUACAGGAAAUCGCUUGGAGCAUAUUUCAUCUAUGAACAGGUUCAUUACUAGCAUGGGGCACUGCCAAGGGCAUCUCCUUGAAGGAAAAGAAAAAGCGAAGCGUAUCCCCCCGAGGAUGGCUUUGAAGCGAUCGAAAGACCAUAGGAAACGAAAGAUUCUGUAGUGUGGUCACAAAGAGCUUAUUUUUGCUCUGUUCCCGAGGCAUGCUCUUAAAGAUAGGUGUCAGGCUAGCUUUCAUAAGCCAAUGUCUGGAGAUUAAUCUAUACAAAUUCUCACACGUAGUGGCACCCCAUUUCAUUGGUCUUGUUCUUGCACCAGGAGCCCUUGAAACUCUAUUAAAAACAAGUUUUUGACUAGGCUUUUGAACCACAAGUUAUUACAGAAUCUUGCUUGAACAUGAAUAUUGGCCCAGUAAGUAAGGCAACAUUUACGUCGAUCACAGAUGAUCUCACUCAAUCUUAUCAAUUCACCAAUUUCCUCAUUUCUUGCAUCUCUGACGAAAGACCUAGAAAGACAACUUCUAAAUGCAGCCUUUCUCUCCACUAGAUAUAAACCAUAGGUCAACCGAACCCAAGGUGCGUAGCGGGCGAAGGCCCUAAGAAAACUACUUAAAAAACAGGAACAGAGAGCCUUGCGAUAUUAAUCGCAGGUGUGCUUUUGGUCUUAGCCCUGAAUGAAUCGGCUGUUCCACUACCAAUGCAUGUAGUCCCGUAGUUGUCUAAGUUCAGAUAGAAUAAUCACUCGACUAAUAGGGAAAGUGAUUACAUACCUUGGCAGAAUAGUCAUUUCAUCCCAAGAACUAGAUCAAUGGCAGGGAACCCUAGGUAAGCAAAAAUUCCAAGAGAAGGACUACUUGCCUAAGCUCUCUCACUUGCUCUAUCCAAAGCGUCUAUCUCUAGCAAAAACUGUUAACUCUUUCAUUUCUACGACCAACCGAGAGUCCAUGUGCUAUGGCUCACACCCGGAAUAAGGUUUUUUUCUUGAUCUACUUUAGCCUUAUUGAGAUUUAAAGUACUUAUUGCAACUGUAACCGCGGUUACAGAAAGAAGAAACUUCUCUUUGACUGAAGCACUUGAACUUCACUUUCCAACUUGUUGGGAAUAGGGGCUUUCACUGGAACUGAAACUAUAUCUUCUGUUCAACUCGGCUUCCUUAACUUAAAGAUUUUGAGGGUUUGUAGGGCUUUCCACUCGCUCUACCCGAAAGGAACUAGAAGUAACCUUUUCUCUAAGCUAAGCCGCAAAGAAACUAGAACAAAGAAAGAACAAGGAUUUCAUCCGGAAGCAAAAGUGCUCUUUUCACGAAUUCUAGGCGAUUGUAGAGGGAUGGAUUAAGCAUUCCUUUGAACGCAAUGAGAAGAUCUAGGGUAGAAAGUAGCUACCCUGUAGCUCAAAGAAAGUCUUAUCCCGACCUGGGGUUGGCUGAUAGAUACGUGGCACCACAAGGUUGUCACACCAAAGUAUAGGAGGAGAGCGAGGUAUGCCAAGCUCAGAAAAGAGAGAUUGCAUCCAACAUAGUUCAGCUGUGGCUAUAGCAAGACCGCGGUAUUCGGGUUCAGUACUUUACUUCGAAAUGGUCUUUUGUUUCCUUGAGCUCCAGGAGACAAGAUUAGAACCCAUAUGGACACUGUACCCAUUAGUGCUGCGUAAGUCAUCUGGACAUCCAGCCCAAUCAGCAUUUGAAUAUGCACUAAGUUGAUGAAGUGAAUUUGGGCUUCUGUUAAGGCCAAAAGUGAUAGUAUGCUUGAGAUAUCGAAUAAUACGCUUGACAAAGUAGGAAUUCAACGAUUAGAGAUAUCCUUUCAUCGACUUUAUCCAAUACGAGAUACUACCAGAUGACUCGGACGAAAAGGUAAGUAUCCAAAGACGUGCUCCUGCGGUGUCUGUCGGACCAAGAUGCAGAGAAGGUCAUUUAAGAGAACGGGUAAAUCAGGUUAGUCAGCUAAGGCCCACUUUCACCUUAAAGAUCAAGGUCUGUGAAUGAAAUGUCCUCUACUCGGUAGUAGUAGGAACAAGAUGUAACUGAUUCAUCCGUACCAACGAGAAGAGAAGGGGGGCUUCACCAGAUCACUCUUAAUCCGCUGAUUAGGAAGAGAGAAAGGAAUAUGUUUUCUCUUUAAAUGAAGCGGAAGCUCGUUCCUGGCCUCUUUGGCAGUAGCAAAUCUGAAUUCGUAACCCACCAAUCUCUUUUUGGGCAGGAGUCGUCAGAUCUUGCCCAGGCAAAGGAGCGAUCGACACUCGCUCGCAAUUUUUAAGCGCAAGGACAAGUUGAUUCAGGAAGGGGAACAAGAGUAGCCUAGCCUGGUUCUUCUUUGUUUUCCUGAGCGGUAUGGUACGGCACGUGGGAAAUCACGAUCAGAGAGAAGUAACGAGAUGAGAAAUCCGUAGGAAAUAACGAAGUACAAGCGUGAAUUAUCUAUCUAUCUCUUUCCAUGUUGCGCCGCUCGCUCUACAUCAGUGCCAAAGGCUUGCGACUUGUCUGGAUCCAGAGGUGGAAGAAGGACCUCCAUCAUCUUUAUACCUGGAUCUUAUUCCUAUCCACAGCUAGUAACUGAGGGUUGCCUAGUUUCCCUCACCUGUCAAGUACCUGCUUCGGGGGAUACCAACUAAUAACUAAUAGCGGGAUUUCCACAAAUGGUAAGAGUAAACACCUCUAUAAUCAACGGAUUUGAGGACCUAGCCCUUAAAAAGGGAGUGAAACGUUACGUUCACUAACGCUUAUUAAUAGGGCUACGCUCGCUACAAUCCUCUUAUCUUAACAGGGGCUGAAAGAAUGCAAAAAGAACUGGGCAGUAGCGCCUUUCCCUCACUCUGAUCAGGAAGCCAUGUUAGAAAACACAUGUAUCCAACGGUGGUAGAAGGGAUUUGUCCAGGAGCUGGCGGAUGCUGGAGAUCCAUCAGAGUUGACAACAUUGGGAGUUUUUCCAUAUUUGGCAGCGUAGGCACGCUGAAACGAGUUAAGAAGCGAGUUACAUACCUGGGGUUCAAAACCAUUAAACCCCGACUGUUGUUGUUGGUAGUCUCCUCAGAUGGUAUUUCAACGGAGAAUCGGAUAGAGUGGAUGGACACCUAUGCUACCUUACCUGCCUUUACGGAAAUCGUUUCAAGAUAGGAAAGCCUUUCAAUCCGUUCUGUUGUUCAAAAAAAGCCUCGCAAUCAGCUAUUGAGUAUAUCUAAUAAUCUAUGGUACUAGCUUAGCCCUAGUAAGGCUCACUUUUUGUCUCGAAUAGUCUUUCCUUCGUUACAGGCACCAUAGGAAACUACAGGCACUACAGCAAGACGUUGAGGUAGGCGUAGAAGGUCAUCUCUGGUAUAAAAGGUAAUCCCUGGUUCUAGCUCAUUCGCAGGUGCUAGCCCAUUCGCUGUAGGGGAAAGGUCUUCUCCAAUGUUUCCAUCUGUCGUUACAGGACUGGAGUCUCCAAGUUAGUUUCUUCGAUAGGGGAAAGGCCUUCCCGGUUUCAAAGUAAGUCUUUCCUUUCUUUUUCUUUUGAAAGGGAAGUAAGUAAGGUCUUUUCGCUAUUGGUUCUCGCCAAGCAUUGGCGCAACUGCAGUCCCAUAGUGUGUUUCCUUCUCCAUAGUCAGAAGGCAUGUAUUCUCCAUAGCCAGAAAGAAGGCAUGUCUUCGUUAGCUUCGAUUGCAGCACCAGAAGCAGUCUCACAAAAUCGUACCAAAUGACCCAACAGUUCUUCUUUAUGGCAUCAUUGUUGGCUCUGAAACAGCAGUUCAAACUAUCCUUUUUAAGGCCUUCUAAGCCUUCCUAUUCGCUCUGGAACAACCCGCUUUUGGAUAGGCAUCGAUAGAUCCAAAUGGAACGACAAGAAUGGAUAUAGGUGAGAUGGCCGGCCCAAAGGUAGAUAGCGGCAGUUUGGCCCUAGUUUGGUCUGUUGGUUGCUAAGUAGCUUAUGGCUCUCCUCUUUUUCUUUAGAUUUAGAGGAGGAAGCCUCUGUUUGGAUCUCUUUUCCUGAUAUCCCCGUUAAUUCUUUUUCUGGGAAUGAGUUCGGGUUCUCAAUCUGAUGUUCACCAAAAUGGACGUUUAAGCAUAUUACUUUUUCGGUAAUUUCCCAUUGAUGAGCAUAAAAUAAACAUAUAUAAUAAUCUAAGGUGCUGAGUAUAGCUAAUAGCUAAAUAAUCUAAAGAUGCUAGAUCAAGCAAGAACCCCUUAGCGGAACUGACCUUUCUGUUAAUUGCAUAGGGGAAGCCCUACUGUCAGCUUUCAAUUGAAAAAAGAUAUGAGAAUCUCAGGUGCUAGCUGUAGGCAUUGGCGCCACCUCUGUCCCAGAGAAAGUAUCUACCCGUUCCGGAAGAAGGCAAGGCCAGAAGAGAAAGUAUAUGACUAUAAUGUGGGUUUAGGGUAUGCUAGCUAUCUCACUAUCGGUAACGGAAGGGCUUUCUCAAGUCUUUCUCUCGUUUCGGAAGCACUCUCCUCAUUCUUUCGUUAGGGCGACUGCUGCCCCCGUAUAGCGACUCUCUGCUGCUUUUACUUAGCUGUUUGCUCCUGCCUUUGUAUCUGCUAUGAGUAAAUCUACUCUGGGGUGAAACAACCACUACGAUUGCCUUUGACCAUACCUUUACCUAUGCCUAUAUGAAUAUCUUAAAGUUGCAGAUCCAAAGCGAGUAGUUGCUUCAGUAGAGCCGGUUGAUUCCGGCGAUUCUGUUGAUGAAGUAGUCAAUGAAGAAAGACAUGGUUGAGUCAGUCGAAGAAGCAAAUGCUCUCACCUUAGGGGAGCAUACACACCUACUGCGAAUUAGAGAGACCUGACCUACAUUCAUUAAUCAUCUCCUAGGAAUUUCCCUUCUCAAAGUAGGUCAAAAGAGCAAGCCGAGGAAAGGAAGACUCUCUCGAAAGGUGUCUGCUCGUGGAAUAGAAAGAGUUCGUUGCAUCAACAAAGUGUAGUAGUCAAAAACGCUUACUUAAGCUCAUCGAUGUGUACUCACUCCUCGGCUGUGAAAGAGAGGGCGCUUCUGAGCUAAAUCAAUCCCGCACAUGCGAUUACCCGGAACUUUACACUCAAUGGAAAGCAAAAAGGAAGAAAAAAUCCACUUUGAAAGCGAUUCCAGAGACUAUAAGAACGACCGAGUGGCAGGUGGGAGCAGUAGAAGCAUUGAGAUUUGCUUGUUCAGAGAUGCGUCAAAGGUAUACCUAUGAAAGUUGAUUGCAAGGGUCAGUCACCAAUGCAUUACUAAAGAAUAACCAACCAGAAUAACUUCUCAGGGAGCGUGGAAAGAAGGAGACCUAAAAGUGAUAUCUGUAGGCCGACCUUGGGAUUGAUACGCUUCGACUUAGCCUAUCAAGGCUAAUGCACUCUCUUGAUCCAAUGCUCAAUCUUUCGUUCAAAUGGCCGAUAAAUCUUCAAGCUGUUCCCAACAGAUCUUAUGAGACAAACCCUCGGUGAAGCACUGCAUCUUUCUAGCUUCAAAGAAAGAGAAAGACAACGAAGUGGAAUGAUUUCCCAAGCUUAGGACUUUGAUCAAUGGGCACGAGGCGCUAACAUGCAAAAAAGCCUCCUUUUUUUUAUACGAUAAACCAAUCAAGGGAAUGGAAGAGAGCAGCUAUGCUCAAGCAUCUUUGGCAUAUCUGCUUGGACAAGGACCAUUCGAUAUGGUCUAAUUGGGUUAGGGUCUACCUUAUCAAAGGUAGGGACUUCUGGGCGUUGAAGCCUUGAAGAAAGGGGCCGCUUGCUCAUGGUAGAAUAGUUAAGGUAGCGGGCAAUGGGAAUUCUCCUAACACUUUUGCUUGGAAGGGGUCUCCCUCUGGCUCCUUUUCCAUCAAAUCUGCUUGGGAUAGUCUCCGCCCCCGGGCUGCUUCUGUUUUCUUACAUAAGCUUGUUUGGCACAGGAAAGCUAUCCCUCGUCACGCUUUUAUCCUCUGGUUGGCUACCUUUUUUUUUCUUUCUUUUAGCUAUCUCAACUCUUCGACUUCGAAAAACGAGGAUUCUUUCUUCAGUGGAAGAGAAAGAAAACCCUCAAAACCAUCGACCCUUGCGUAGGAAAGAUGGGGACCGAUGCGCGGACGACCCGGAGAUAGAGCUCGGAAUCAGUAGAGCAGCAGAAGACCAACCCGCCAAAGACUGUCACCUGCUGAACCAACAUGUGAUAGGGAGAUCAUAGAGGUGAGUUAACAUGCUGGUUUUAGGCUCGCCCUUUAUUGAAUGAUUGGACUAGCUCGCAAAAGAGUUGAAAAGUGGAUGAAACAAAAAGAAAAUGGUUGGCAGUUAUAUGUUUAUUGGUUAGCCUCUUAAUCAUGUGUCCCUUUCCAUUUCAGUAUUCUCCAAUGAUUAUGAAAAGACCUCUAGCUAUAGAGCCAGGUAGUAGCUAUAUAUAGUCGUUGGCGAAAGGACAAAAAGAGGAAUAAAGGUUAAUUGCUUGCUUUCAAUCCAGGAAAUACUAAAAAAGGCUCCACCCACCUGCGUCCACCCCCCCAGGGAUUUAACCAGCAACAGCUUAUCCACUGUCGGGAAUGCCUACUAUGCCUGAUCGGAUCACAAGAGUCAUCGUAUAGAAUGUCGAUACCCUUACCUCCUCAUCAUCAGAUUCACCCACCCGUAAAAGGCUUUCUCAUUUUCAGGCUGGCUUCGGUCAGUUCACUUUGUGUUAAGUGUACCGAAUCUCUCAAAUUACAGUCUUGGAUCGAGAAAGCUCCACCCAUAGUGCCUUAUGCCGGUCCCCGGAGGCUAAGAUUGACUGCUUCAAAGAACCAGACCCGGUACACCAAGUCGGUAGCCUUUUCUUCCACUCUUGGGAUAAGGGGCAGAUUGCAUUUUUACUCUUUCCCGAUCGGAGUCCAGACGGACUUGAUUUCUUCUUUAUUGAAGUCAGGAUAUCCUGUCCUCACAAAUGCCUGGCCUGUUCCUUUGCGGUACCCCCUUCUAUCCCAUUCCUCUUCUUAUCGGUUGGGAAAACGGCUUUGGCAAAGACAUCAAGACCACACAGAUAGAAGUUGAACAGAACCUGGGUCAAAGGACCUGAAAGGGGAAGACCCUUUCUUGAAGCGCAUGAUGAAGCUGCCCCCCUUCCACAGAAAGACUUAAGAAGUAGGAUAUUAGCCUCAUAAUAGAGCCGCAGGAAACCACAGGGUCCAGCUCUUCCAGAAGAUCGUUGUGCCACAGAUCACAAAGGCAGGGAAAGAAAGGCAUUACCAGAAGGAAAGUAGUCCAACUCAAUGUCUUACGCAUUAGUGGCAUUUGAAUGAAAGCAGUAAGUUAGUGGCCAAGAAUCAUCGAUUUUGGAGUUACCGGCUCAAGGAAGCUCAUGAGAAUUUCUUUAAGUAAGAACGAUCCCCAGUGUCAUCCUCUUCGUCUUCUCGAAAGGAAGCGAGUGACGAGAGGGUAGCAAAGAGAGGACCACUCUUUAGUAAGAUAGCAGCCAGUGAAAGAGUAGAACUUAUUCUCUCCAUUCAGAGAGAGUAAAGCCCAUUCCUUCAUAUGCUUACAGUAGUAUAAGGAGUCCGUUCGUGCCAAGAAAAGAAGUCCAAUAGCUGCGCUUACAAUAGAUUUAAUGGCAUUUAUUCCUCUAAGCAUGCUACCAGUCCCAGCUACUGAAACUGACUCUAGAGAACUUGAAUAAGGUUCUCUUUCACUCUCGGCUGAGUCAACAAAAAUUUGUAUAACAGAGGGAACCUUUUCUAUUUUUUCUACCUUACUACUGUGAUUGAAUGACUGAGCUAUAGUCCUAGCUCAAUGUUGAAUUUUCUUCAACAUUCUGAUUUGAUUCAAAAAAAGAUUAUUGUAAAGAAUAAUGCCCAUACAAAGAGUUUUGCACAUAGAAGAGAUGAAUGCCAGUAUUGUAGUAGUUGAUUCUCUCUAUUAUUGUCCUAUCUUCCUCUAUAAAAAGUAGUACCGGCUUAAUCUAAGCAGGAAUUCCUUCUUUCACUAACAGUUCUUGAAGGGCUUCAAAAAAACCUAUACUCCCAUUUUCCUUUCUUUGAGAUUUCUUCUAGGAGGAAAAAGACUUUCACGCUUUAUGGUCUGAAUUCAACGGAUCUCAAACUCUCCUUUUUUGAGCUUCAAGCCUUGCAAGCUUUCAAAGUCUUGCAUUCAUUUCUGUCUCAUUUUCAGGUAGAGCGUACCUGGCCCCUAUAGGAACCCCAUGAUCUGAUGGGGGGGAAUUCCUAUGAAAGAGGCUCACUUGGAAGGAGCGAUAUCUAGCAAGUCUUCUGUGAGUGAAUGGUCUCAUCCAGUUCACGAGUCAAUCCUAUCAGCCGCUCGGCCUAAUACUUAAGGACUGAGUUUCCUUUCUUCCUUCCUCAGGUCAUGUGUAAUAGCUGGAGGGCAGAAUUCGUAUCUGUCUGUCUGCAGUCCGUAUGUAGGUAUGUCCAGCGGUCCAGCCAGUGUAGGCUACUCUUUUUCUGUUAGUCCAUCCAGUCGGUCAGUUGAUAGUUUGAUCGAGGUCAUGAAGGCUAAGGUACCUUCCUAAACUGAGAUUUCAAUCUCAAAAAUGUUUUCAAAGCCUUUUUUGCUUCAAGGAUGUCCCGUCUAGUAGGAGAAGUGGUCCAAAGCGAGAGUCUUUCGGGUCUAUACCCAUAGCAUAGUCGUUGCCCUUCUUUUGGUACAGUGUAGGAGUCCUGGGCGGAAUUGCCUUGUUGGUUGAGUUAUCUCCUUCUUAAGUUAAGGAUCGGGAAUGCUUCCGAAAAGAAAGCUAGAAUAAGAUGACGACCGCUCGUGCACCAUCAAUAAUGGUAUACACUUCACUACAUGAAAGAGAAAGCCGGUACUGGAUGCAAGAGAGCAGGGAAACUAAAGAAAGACAAAGAAAGGUAACUUAGCCCAUUAGAAGGCUAGCCUAAUAGUUUACAUCGCUCCUGCAGGAAAAAGAGGGACUUAAAAUGGUGAACCCACCUAAGACCAUACCGAAAUGGUGAUAGACCCAAAACCCCCUUUUACAAUAACUUAACAAAAAGAAAAUGCACCUUAGCCAUAGGCCAAUGGGGCGGACAACCUGGGCCCUCAACGCUAACUCAAGGAAAAGACUCGCUGAUGGUCCCAUAUCCAGAUUUCGGGACAUAGGUACACGCCUUCUUUAUCCUACGAGACUAACUACAUUUCCAAAAGUCAAAACCAAGAUUCAAAUUAAGUUUCUUAUUUCUUACCUUAAGAAAGGUAGGGCGUAGACCACAAAGAAAAGCAAAUUGAACUUCCACAUCAUUUCACAGAUUAGUCUCUUCCCACGGAGCGAGCUCCAUCAUAAUUUAAUUCUCUGCCGGGGUACACAAUUUGCCAAAAACAUUUUCCCCAAUGGCCAAUUUCUCUCAAAUGGUAGAAUCGCCGCCCUCCUAAACAAAGACUUUGUUGUCCUUAAGAGAGUUGAAGACUGAGGCGGCUUUGUAUAGUAAGGGUAAUAGCAGAAUAUAUGGCUGAGAUAUCAAACCUCAGAGAGUAAAUAUGUGGUCACCAACGUUAGAGGCUCUACAACUCUUACUGAACCGCCUCUACUACAGCUAUGAAAGGGGGAUAAAAAGAAAGAAAGAUUUUUUUUUGUAAGAGCAGAAUCUCUCCAUAGUAGUCUCUCUUAAAAGAUCUUAAACACGAAGUGAAAUGGAGUGAAGAAUAGCCAGCCGGCUGAAAGUAUAGCUGUGGAUUGAUCUCCUUUACCCGCCCAUACAAAAAAGAGGAAGUCAUUGUCUUCAUACUAUUAGUGGAAGUCAUAGCUAUUGAUCAUACGCGGUGACGUUAUUUUAGCCCGGAGAGAGAAAUCUAUCUUUACUAUCACUCGCAAAUAAAUGCCUAAAGGAUUUAAAAAGCUUGCAUGGAACUCCAAGACCCCCUUGCUGGAGAUAGGGACCAUGCUUGAUGGACAUAUGAAAUAUUUCCAUACGGGGGCUUUCUCUCAACAGUGGAUUUCACUCCCUACAAGCAUGACUUAACACGUCUUAAAGAGAGUCUCACUGUCUCCGCCGUUGGGAAGAUUGACAUAAAAAGAGUAGUUCGCUAGAUUCACCAGCUAUUUAACCACUUUAGCCAGCUAUACGAAAGAGACUUUUGCACUCAAUUGGACCACUCAUAGCUUGGGUUGCCAGAAUUCGCAACUAUAUAAAAAGUAAAAUACUGAUCUACUCUCAUGCUUCACCUACGACUCUGACUGAUGAUGGGAUUACUUACUGAUCUACGACUACAGUUCUUGCUUCGUCCCUACUGAUGCCGGCACCUACUUGAUUAAAAGAAUCUUCGUCGAUGUCUUCAUCGAGUCGAGUGACGUUCAUCAUUACUAAUUAUCGAAUAGCCUAGUUAGUUUUCUCGUUCCACCUAUCCGUGCCACCUAUCUUCGCCUUUCAUCUAUCAUAGUGGCAUUUGAUGUCGGACGUGAUGUCUUCGACCCCGAAACAAGAAUAGGGGCAUGUGAUUGAUUCCUUCCUUUACUUUUGAAUCCCGCUACUUGUCUUGUUAUAGGCUACUUCAUUUUUUGGAAUUUGAUUGUAGGUAGAUUGAAUGAUUGAUGCAACCCUCUCAUUUGUCGAUGCUUUUCCAGUGCCUUUUCCUUUUUGGAUGAGCUAGUUACUGAACUUUGCAACUUGUUUUAUUUUAGCAGUGGAGGUAGAAGAAUGGAAGUGUAAUCUCAUCCAUCCGUUGACCGGCUAUUCGGUAGAAGAGCGGAUUCCAUGUUACUAUACCUAUACUUUAUUUAUCUAUUCUAGGCGUAUAAGUGCAGUGUCGGAUGAAAGCACCUUUGCUGUCUGACUAGACUGGUAGAACAAAUAGACUUUCAUCUUGAAGGCAAGGCGCAAUUCAAUCUCCUCCGCUCGAUAGGACUCUCUUUGCAUUCCCUUUCUCGCUCAUCUUUCUCUGGCUCAUAUCAUGCUCAUCUCAUUCGCUUUGUCUCAUUGCCUCAUUUGCUCUUUUAUUAGCAACUUUACUAUAUUAUUUGUAGGUACGGGUGAUGUGAGGCUUUUACCUUUCGCUCUCGACUGAUAGAACCUUUUCGAAGAGACUUAUUCCUGCACGCGGGUAGGAGACACGGCCCUCUUUCUUCUACCGGGAUUGAUAGGGCAAGAUACCAAUACAACCAAUAUCUCUCAAUAGGAGCCUUUCCACAAGAUUAAGAUUUCUAUUUCUUUCUGCAGCUUCUAGAGCGGACGUCGUGUCGUGCCCCUUUUAAAAAACUACUACCGCUCGCCCGAGCUCUUUUCGGGCUUAGCUCCCAAACUCCUGGCUAUCCUACCGAGUCCGGGGGUUGCACCCCCACCCCCCGAGCCCCCGGUACGCCCCAACUCCUUACCUGAGACCAGACCGAACGUCAGAGUCUUGUUUUCUCUUCCCCGAGCUGAGGGAACUCUCAAGAGAAUAGGCAUGAAGGGCAUAGUAGCAGUACAUCUUCUUGAACAACUUAAAAGUCUCUGACAAAGGGGCUUGUUGUUUGUCUGGUACAGCCUAUCUUCAUAGAUUAGAUGGACAGUUCCAUUGAGAAGAAUCUUUCAUUUGAACCUCAAAUCUAGAAGAGUUCGGCAAAGACUGCCAUAAAAAGGCUUCCAAUGGGGCUAGGAACAAAACAAGAGAAACAACAAACGCGCCUUCAAGGCAACCCCGCUACCUCCGAGACAGGCAUCCCUCCUACCCCGAUUGUCUUGCUUUUAGGACCCUUCGGAGGUGACCCUGGAUAUCCCUUACUUUGAGGUAACCACGAAACGAGGGAACCCCGUUCACUCCGAUAAGAAAGGUGUCAAGUCUGAAAGCCAAGCCUGGGCAAGAAGAGGGCUCACUACAUUCCAAAAAGGAAUGGUUGGUAUGCGGUCCAUCCUUAAAAAUACCCAAGGAAUCCCCCUUUUUUGUGAGUGUUCCAAAGCGUGCUUCCGUUUCUUGUUCUUCGAGCUCAACCGAUCAUGCUUCUUUCUCAGUUGCGCGAUUCCUAGCUGCUAGAUCCUAGAUCGGAGGAUGUAGGUGAGUCUGAUUGUUCUGACUUCUACUGUUAUAAGUUGCCUUAAGGCGCCUUCCAGUUCCAGCCCAAUAGGGGCACUUUCUGGUGAGGAAGAUCCCAUUUAGAAGAAGGGAGAACUACCUAAGUAUCCUUUCACCUUGAGCUAGGGUCAAAGAUUAGUCCAAGCUAGGAUCAGCUCUCGAAAGUCAAACUUCUCCUCUUUAACCGGUUGGAAAGUCAAGUAAGGAAAGGUCUGUUCAUUUGUCCAGAAAUCCGUUUUCGGCCUAUACUAUAUAUCAAUUGAACCAGGGGCUGGGCUUAUGUUGUGUUGACAGACAUAAGAAGUAGGAUUAAGAAUAGGGGAAGAGCAGCUCUACUUCUACUUCUGCCUUGAGGGUGAGCCCUUAUGGCUUGUUCCAUUGAUAGAUUAGUUCGAGAUCCGGCGGAUUAGCUUCCUUGUCUUAGUUCUGGAAGAGAGAGUCGAGGGUAGCUUGCGAUCCAAAGAGCUAGUAGAGCCUCUUAACUUUGAGUUAGAGUUGCUUUAGUGGAACAGAAUGUCAAGGCUUCUUCUUAUUGCUUUCCUUGAAGGACUUUCUCCCAUCUCUGAAUCGGUUACCCCCAGACGAGCCCACUUGAUUUAAAAAUGAGUUAAACCCUGACGCCUCUGGCCCGCGUCGGAGAUGAUGCUUGACUUUCUAUUCGGGCAUUUACUGGUCGAGUAAGUUUUUUAUAUCUUUUAGGCAGGUUUGUUUUGAUCCGGGUAAGAUUCUCGCUUGCGGCUUUCUUACUACUGGUAUGACUGUCUGGUUAGCCAUCUGGUAAGUAAGCUUUUCGCUUUACUCGUUAACCUGGUUUAGCCAACUCCCAACCUUCCACUGACUCGCAGUGACGCGGGCGCUUCUUCUAUAGCUCUGGACCCCACCGAUAAGCUUACGAUGGUACCCUUUAGUUAAGUAUUAUCUUGUUUAUUGGGUUCAAAAUGAACUGAGUUAAGUACCGAUCAAAAGAAGCAUUAUCCAUAAGCAGUUGCUGGGAAGAGAUUUAUAUGAGCACCGAUUGAAACGAAAAUAUCAACGAUCGCCUCAAAACGAACCACCAUUCUAGUUUGGUGGAACCACCAAGGCCUGAAUAUGCGUUUUACUUGCGAAAGGCCUCAGCUACUACAAUGACAGGGCCAAGAAAUUGGGCCGAAAUAGCAGCUCUUUCGAAGGAAGACGCUCCUAUUUCAUUGACAAGAUCAUGAUUAGACUCUUGCGGAGGAGUGGAGGAAGGAGGCGGAUCAGUUGGAAUUUGGGCUAGCCGACCGGGAGGUUCAAUUCCUCCCCGAUUCCUAUUUUAUCUAUCUUCCCUUGAAAGAAAGGAGAAAUCUCAUAAAAGUUUUCACUCAGAUCUUGUGGAGAAGAAGAAGCCAGUUCAUUUCGGACCCCGGUGGAUGCCUCAGAAGCGGAACUAUUGGAAUGAGCACGAGUAGCCGAAUUACUAGUUUCAUACGUGAGAUCAGAGAUAGAAUUAGAAACUUUGAUUUCCAGAAACUCACCUUGUUCCAUAGUUCAUGGGUCAAGGUUCGACCCAUACUUAUUAAUGUCUACGAUUGAGUGGCAUUUGUAUUUUUUCCUCUGCAAUUCCCUAGAGACAGAAAGAGAGUCCUUUACUGUACAACUAGUGAAGAACUAAACGAGAGCUAUGGUUAACCAACAUAAAGCAUGGGAAAAGGUUCUUUUUCAUUACAAUGCAAGAUGCACUUUGAGGAGCACAACACCAUGGAGUCCCCGAAACAGCUAUUCCCUUUCUCUAUUACUUACGCUAUUCUUCUGGUCAAGCAAGUAUGAUAGAGAUGGCGAGAAAGAUCAAGGGUUGAGAUGAGAAAAAAGGAUCACUCCUAAAAGCAGCCUUGAUCUUCUUAUACGAUACCACCCCUUGCUUCCGCCAAUCAACUUCUACCGAGCAUUGACCCGCGAAUGAUUGAUUUCAACUCUACUCUACUAUAGGACACCAUAACGAUGACUAUAUGAAAUAGAGAAAGGGUCCUUUCUUUCCUUGAGUUAUUGGAGUAGUUAGUAAGGGAUCGCCUUAAUCAAAUAAUGUAUUGCGCUAUCUUCCAUUUUCUGUAUUCCCUUAAUGGAAAAAGAGUAAAUAAAGUGGUAGAUGUCCUUCUGCUGCUGCCUAAGUUUCUGUGGUGCCAGUCGACAGAAUCGUGCUUUCGGGGUUCCAUCCUUUUAUAUAUUGAAUACCGUCCGCUAAUGGGCAUCGGUUGGUGAAGGCCUCUCCGUUCCUUCCUCUUCUGUCUGGUAAUAAGGUUUCACCCCGAAACUGAGAAUAAAAGGAUUUCUCGUGAGCAAAUCAACUCAUUGGAGAACUUGUUAUAGGCGCAAUCUGUGGACCAGAACCCUGAAGUCGACCAAUACCUUAACUCAAAAUGAAUUUUUUAACCUUUCUUCUCAGCCCUUGAAUUCAAUCCCUCAAAUAGAGUGAUCGGGAGUAAGAAGGAAUUGAAUCGAUUAACUGAGGAAGAAAAGGUCGUUCUACCAUCCCGCAAGAAAUAUCAUAAGAGAAGUUCAGUCUCAAAGAAAGUAUUAGUUGUUUACUCACCCGUAAAGUAGGAAUAUCAAGAAUAGGAGUCAGUUUUCAAGGAAAGGAGAAGUUCAGUAGUCCAUCCAGUCCAUCCAGAUCAAUAGAGUGGGGAAGAUAAAGAGAUAUGAUAGGCAUUGAAUGGAUUAGAAAAGCUUUCAUGGGCUAUCUCAUUCGUCAGGGUGUUCCUCGAUCAAUGGUUCUCUAUCUUUGAUUUUCUUGAUGAGUGGUUAAAGGGUGAUCGCCAUGUCAUGAGGCAGGAGUGAUAGAAGGGGGCAAUAGGUAUUGCACCCGAUAGAGCGGUAUUGGUCUCCUCGGCUUGAUGUGAGGAGUUGAUGGUUCCCCCUUCUGUGGUUUAGGGGUUCACGUGAGCUUAUAAACCAAUUGAAUGGCUAAAGUGGCUAUAGUAACACGCUUCUUUUAUGGUCUUUGACGGGUAUGAUACUCUUCUUACUCUUAUAGUACUUCUGAUAGCGAUAAUAGCCUCUUUUUUGGCUUUAUAGCUCCUCGUACUCUAACUGUAAUGUUAAGGGAGUGAGGGGACCAUUUGAUUAUGGCACCCGAUGGAGUGUAGUUGUCUAUUCCUCUGCCUUUCUACUAUCUUUAGUUAAGAAAAGUAUCUACUGUCAUAAUAGAUUGCACGAGAAGUGAGUUAACUGCCAUUAUCGGAAGUAGGUAGUUGAUAGUUGAGCCUUUCCUCCCUUAAGAAUCCUCCCUGUCAGUCUUUUACUUACCAGUCGAGCUGUUUUCUCCUCUUUCCCGAUUUAACGCGUCGUUGAGGAGAUGAGAUUACGAGGUGAAGGAGCGAGAACUUACCCCAAUUGGUAAUGAUAGAAAUCAGACUUAUCAAUAAUGGCAGGUGGGAUUGAUGCCAAUUCUUCUUAGGUUCUUUCUGAUGUGCCAUCCAUUCCUUUUCUUGUUGAUCAGCAAUAGACAGAUGAUUCUAUUCCAUCUUCUACACCGGGUUCUCCUGCUCAGCAGCCUCCUGCACCUGAGUAUCAAAGAAAAGAAGGAAAAAGGCAUUAGCCAAUCCCAGGAACGGAGCAUAGAAGGUAUGAGUUCGACACCUGGUUAUCCCAUAGCUUUAUGGCUUAGAAGAGUCGCUGGCAUUGGCUCUUUGCUUUAGGAUAGAAGCAGGGGAACCAAACCUCCAGUAUGAAUAGAGACUUCUUAGGUCUUCAGGAAAUCGAAUAGACUUCUCUUCUCAAAGAAUGGAUACUUCCUUCCUUUUGACUUCCUUAACUAGCUCAUAAUAGACCUAAGGAGAAGUGAUGUUACGAAAGGGAAAGCAGGAGCGGUAGAAGUCCAAGUAAAUGGAGUUGUUGCUCCGAACUUACUUUUUCAGAAAGACGGAACUCGAGUCAAGAAAGAACUCUGAGUUAACAAAGCAAAGAAAGAGACUGAAAAUUCCAUUCAGGAUAUAAAAAGUGGAUUCGCUUUCGUUAACAGAGAUCUUGAUAGAUCAAAUCAUAGCUAUGUAAAGUACCUUGAGGUGAGACGUGACCUAUUCUCCUCGUCCUCGUUUUCAUUGGGUCACUCACACUGAAACAUGCGCAAAGGAAUGAAUCGCUUAGAGCCCCGGGCCCUUUAAACUAAAAAGAAGUACAAGUGGGACGGACUAGCUAAUAGUCCAAUUCUCGAUGGUCGAGAAAGAAGUAAUUACGCAGGGAAUUCCACAGCUGAUUAACUCCUCAAGGCAGGUAAGAGUCAAUCCCACUUGGGAGUUUCGGACGUGCCCACAGCUGAUCAAUGCAUGAGGUCUUGUCAUAGCCUGGAGAUGGGGAAGAUGACUACAAGCGGUUGGGACCUAGCCCAACGGUGAACGAAGCAUAAUCAAUUGAAGCAUCCGGGUAGCCCCCUCCAAAGAGUACCACGAGCAGGAGCUUCGGAAGCACGCCUGUCAAAGGACAAGGGGCUUACACCUAUCGUAGAGGUUAAGUGGGAGGUCUAGGGUUCAAACCCCAUAAGAGGACUACCACUUUAUUAACCUGGGCGAAUAAAAAGCCUGUGGCUUUGGGAAUGAAAUUCAUUUCGAUGAGACUUUCAAAGUCACACUUUGACACGAAAGAACCGAGACAGCCUUCACUUCAGGCGGAGAAUAUAGAUAGGUGGCCAAGCGCUGCUUUCAUUCAAGCUAUGCAGGUAAAGAUCCUAAAAGGACUUUAUCAUCAAUAGCCACUUUAGUUAGACACGUGUAGGGAACUAGAAAAAGAGACAACUUUUUAGCUGCAACUGACCACCACCCAAAGAAAAAAGGCAAGAUUGGAUGCUUCGCAAAGAGCCCUUUAAGAGGCUCGGGUAAUGUGGCUUAGAGGUUGCACGCCUAGGAGAAAUAUGGAAGAGGGCCAGAGGAUCAGAAAUGAGCGGAGUAGGAGCUUAUUAUUAGUGCUCAAAAAGCCAUUCGAGCUAGUCUUUCAACUAGGCUAGGCGAAAAAAGCAAGAAUGUCUCGUCGACUUAAUAACCGGGCAUCGACCUCUUUGACUUAAUAAAAUUGGAGUCCCGAGAUGAGAUGACGCAUUUUCUAUAUUCACCCGGUAAUAAAGAAUAUUCCUUAUCCUAAUACGCCUAGGUCUAUUGCUAUUUCACCGGAAAAAGUCGAUAUCGAUAGCCCUACUCUUUGCCCGGUUUGCCUUCCUAUCCUCUUUUCCGAAGUUGGCUAAGCAACUCAGUCCUCACCCGAAAGAGAAGAUGGUCCCACCUCAACUGGUGUAACUGACCUACUUACUAUUCAUAUAUCCCAUCCCAUCCGGGAUUCCCUUGGUUGGUAUAUCGUAUAGAAGGCGUCUCUAGACCCUAGCUAUUCCGCCCUAUCAAAGCCCUCUCGGGCAAGGGGGGAUGGACGGACAACAAUCCCUGAGGGAAAGGUAGAAGCAUAAGUACUUAGACUAGAUGUCCUUAUCAUCACUCUUUUUCUCACGCCCGCCCUGGCGCAUUUCUGUACUCAGUCUCGAGGCCUUAAACAAGGGAUUUACCCUAAAUCAAUAAGAGAAAAGAUCUCUUUUCUCCGCCCCACUGCCAAAUGAAUGUGUUCUUCCAAUGGCCAUUUCCAGUCCUUUUUAGGCCAGUUAAGAAGUUCAGGGGCUAAGCGGUGAAUUAGCUUUUAAGCUUAAGAGAAUGCCCAGGAGAAGGCCCUUAAGUAGCAGUCUCAUAGCCUUUUUGGCUUAGUGUGUGAGAUGCCUGUCUUAACUUUUGUUUUGAGAGUCUCCUUUCUCCGGGUCAACUGCAAAAGUAGUGGUGAAAACCUUAGUAUUAGGGUAUUAGGUAUGUGGUAUUAGUCUUAGUAGAGGCUUUCCCCCUGUUUGGAACCCUAUUUUGCGGGGCUAAAGCCCUUUUUGAAUAUUCAUAGAGUAUAUACUCAAUUCUGAAAGAUAGGUUUGGAAAUCCACUGAAAGGUAACUCUUCCUAGUUUUCUUUCCUAUCCAACGGAAAACUGCUUUCACUGCGACUUUGUAGCUCCGAAGAGAAGGAAGUAGCUUGACUUUCACGACUAUCAGGGCACCUACUGAACUAGAUCCAACUCAAAAGAAAGCUCCAACUCUAUCUAGUGAAGGUAGUAUGAGGCAGAGCCAAGACUAAGAGAGGAGGAUUUGAAAAAGAAGCAAAUAUGGCAUACGAGUUUAACUAACAUGGGAGUUUAUUUCCCACUUUCUAGGUAAGAUAGAGCGGAAAAUAGACAGGUUUGUACCGUAUAAUCAAAAGCAGUAAAAUUAUAGUACCAUGUGCUGAUCAGUCACUAGUGAAGAAGCCUUUCGCUGUCAGAUCACAGGAAUUAGCACCUAGAAAGGGAAGGACUUAUACCAUGAACGGACUCUUUACCUUGGGUCAAUCAAUUCCUUGGCUUACUAAUGACCACUUCGAGAAGAACCUUUUUGAAAACAGUCUAAUGCCAUAUCUUACUUAACAGCUCCUUCUUCCUUUUCUUCGUUCCUUCUGUAAAGGCAAGGGAAGCAGAAGACUCACAAGUAUUCUCAUACGUGAAGGGUUCAAAACGUCAUUUUCUAUAAGCAGACUUUGAGACUAUACGAACAAGAACUAGAUCACACCCGGCACAAGGAGCGAGACAAGCACUAAUGGCACUUUCCUGAGUGGAAGUGGAAGAAUGGAAGGAAGUGAAAGCACCCCUUCAAACGAUACCUUCUCCUAGGCACGAGGCAACUAGACUCUCUUUGAUGACCUAUUCUACGCAUGAACUCUACUCCCACUUGAAGAGGCAGUAGGAGAUAGAUCCAUUCCUUCCACUUCGUUAAGAUUUGGUCUUUUUGUCUAGCAGAAGUUUAUGAACACAGUUCGAAUACAAGAGAAACAACUAUACCGGUAGGAACAAUGGGAUAUCUUGCACCUGAGUAUGUUUAUUCGGGUAUUCCCACCGAGAAGACAGAUGUUUACAGCUUUGGUGUGGUAGUGUUAGAGGUGGCAACGGGGAGAAGGCCUAAGCAUAAACCUCUUCAAGCUUGCCUUCCCGAAGUCUCCAUACAAAAGCUUUAGUUCUUUCUUUUCUUUGUUCCUUAGGAUGUCUUACCCUAGGGAAUAGCCUUUAUUAGUUAGAUUGAUCCUAUCUGCUUCUUAGCUUAGUUAGCUUAGUCGAAAGCUAGAGAUUGAUUGCCUUUCACUUGAAGUAAAGCAAGUUUCCUCGGUCAAGCUUAUCCCCCCUUUCCCGCAUUAAAGAAGUGAAUAGACGAGGGGUAAUUGGCUUAGCUGGUAAAGAGGUAGACGGAGAGGACUGAGUUUAGAAAGAACUCUUUUCAUCCAACUCAAAAUUUCUUAAGAGAACAAGUGAGAAAUUGGAUCGAGAAAGCACCGCCCACUCUCUUCCUUCGACGAUCCACUGGUCCUGAUUCCCCAAAAAACUAACGAUUUUCCAUUUCUUUUGGAUGACUACUCCUACCCUGCGGCGAUCUCUCUUUAAUCCCCGCAAGGGCUACCAUUCAAGGGAGACGGAUUACUUCCUUUCUUUCUGAAAUCUCCACCCUAGGUAAGAUCCCCUUUAAGGCCCCACACCAAAAUUUGAUCAAACCCCUGUGUCUUGAUUCAAGGCUCGGAUCCUCUCUUUAUGUAGAAGGAAUUCAUCCCAAAGUGAGGACCCAAGCUGGGAAGGUGCUACAUAUUGUAGUGUAAGCACAAAGAGAGGUCUUCAAUCUUACCUGUGGGAUGGUAGCUUUACUUCUUUACUCUCUCUAUUCUAGUUGAGUAAGGAAGUCCUCAUAGCAACUAGUUUGUGAAUGCCUAAAUCGCUCUUUUAUAAUUCAUUAAAAAGACAGGGUUUUGAUUAAACUAGCUCACUUAUGCCAGUUUCUGCGUUCCCGAGAGGUUCCAUAAACGUUCUUUCUCUUUUUGUACCUGGCGAGGUACUUGCUAGCUCAAUCCGUUGCUUCUUGUUUUCUUCAUUUAGCUGCUAAGAGUAGAUUAAGCACUAAAGUCCUUACUCAACUCUUAGCUAGUUAAGGAAUGUAGCUUUAAGCAAGCGAGAAAAUGGAUGCGCUAACUGUUGCUUUCUUCGCUCCUUCGAUUAGCUAUAGGACAGGCAGGGAUUCUUUAUCUUCCCUCUCUUCGUCCUCGCUUGCCUUUAGCUCUAGCUGCCUUGUCUUAGCUAGCCCUUUUGGACUAGCUUUCCUUGCCUUGCGCUGAACGGACCUGAAACGUCCACCACCCUCCUUUUUAUCUCCAUUUCGCUUGAUCACCUUGUACUGAAUAUGGUAUAGCGUGGAGCGCAUACCUUAGCUUAGAUCGAUCCCAUUCCCUGUGAUCCCUUAUCGCGUUGAGCCUUGAGCCCAUACCGAUUAGGUAGAGCAUUGAGCACUGAUCUCGAGUGAACUGAACUGAUGCCAAGGGAACUGAUCCCCUGUUAACUUUGAAACCUGUAGAGUAUCCAAAACUUUUGGACGUGUCCCGUCCGAGCCAAAGAGCUGACUCCCUCCAAAGAGUCCCGACAAAUGAUGAGUGAGACGAGAUGAAGCAUGAAGAAACCAUGAAACACUUGGUUUCCACUGGGGUUGUAGAUGGAGCGAGCCGACCUGUUAUGAAAGAGAAGGGAUAAAUAGUCAGAAAAGAGCUCCAGUAUAAAAAUAUUUGUUCGUGCAUAAACCAAACCAUUUGUAUACCACCCCCUGAAUAGGACUUCGGCAGUGAUAAGAUCUUGUCAUGGGAGGAAAGGGUAGAAAGAAUAAGAUAGUAAAGAACCCUUUUUUUUGUGCUAGUAGCUUAUGAGUCAGAUGCCUCUUCUCUCUGGUCCAUAGCUAGCAACUCAUCGUACCAAGCGCGGCAGCCUCACCCCCUCAGGAACGGAAUCCUACCCUUUGGAUAUGUUAGCCAAACAGCCCGGAUGGGACGAGACUAGUCCGGUCAACAGAUACUAAAUGAUACCUCGCCUUCAGUACUAUCAGUACUCCGGCUAGUCACUUUGGAUCCCCAUAAGUACUGCCUUCUCUCCUUCACUCGGUAGGGCACGGGCAUUAGCCUUAAUAAAGUACGUUUUCGUUUUCACGAGUAGAAAUACGAUUGAUUGAAGCAGGCAACGAAGGGGACGAAGUAGCAGCAACUUUAUAUGAUAUUGGGCGGAUUUCCAAGACCCCUUUUCUAACAUAGUUGGGGAUUCGGCCUGGUUCCAUAGAGGGAAGAAUGGCAGGGGCCCUGUCGUACGAAGGGGACUGAGAGUGCACUUUGCGAAGCUUCUUUUAGAUAAAAAAGAAGCCGGAUUGUGGAGCUGUGAAGCGACAAAGUAGACUUCUUGUUUAUUCUACUUACAGUGCCUCUCUCGAAAGAGAACAAGUAUAAUAUUCCAGCCCCAGUUCUCAGGAAUUCCAUUUCGAUCUAAACCCGACAACCUUCUUUAUGAACUUAACUUGUAGCGGAGAUAGAAGGUAUAAACCAGAAUCUAUUUUCUUUUUUCAUUGGAAUGGAACCGCGUGAAUAAGGUACCGUUCAAACCAAGUUCCUAGCCGAGCUUCGCUUGAGGGAGGACAACUACUUCUAUUGUAUUGGCUCUAAAUCUAAAUGGAACACCUGAUUUAAGAAGUAGAAAAAGGAAUGUAAAAUAUGGUAAGGCAAUAUAACCUUAUUUUACUAUUAGUCCGGUCGAUACAGGAGAUCCAUAAGAUCCACAAACAAAAGGGACUUGGAGUGGAUUCCUCUCUUCUUCCUUCCGUACUUGUACUAUACUUUACUUUUUUUAUACUAGUAAACUAUCAUCACAAGCCAAACUAGCAACAACUAGAUAGGGUACACGCUCAGUCACUAUAUCUUGAAAUCCUAUUUCGGUGAACUCUGUCAUUGUGGGAUAUUCGGAUUCCCAACCUACCAGUGAACCACCAGAAAAGUCAUUAAGUCCCGAAACCCGCCAUUACUCAACUCUCCUUCUUGGAUACCCUUCAAUUUGACCGGGAAGCCGGCCUCUUGCAAUAGUUGGUCCAGUCUCCGGCUCCAGCUUAUGCGCUACCUAGGUGAUCCCCUCUUCCAAAACAAGUUCCGCCUGUGUUAACAUUUUUUUAAAGCAAAAGAGGUAUUUCAUGGUUUUUAGUGUAUAGAAUCAAAGAAGCUUUCUCGACUUGGAGAUGACCUUCUAUAAAAAAAAAAGGACUACUUUAGAAGAAAGCCCCUUUUCAUCUUUCGACUUGGCUAAAAGAGCAAUUAAAGGUAGGUUGCUUCCUUCUUAUGGCUUGCGCUAAGAGCGCUCCAUAGAUUUAGCUUUAAAUGCUCCCUUUCUUUGCAAGUUUUAAUUCAUUGGGAAGCUAAGGGCUCAGAGAGGCUGAAAGCUCAUAGAAGCCCCACAAGUGCGAUGGACCGCAGGUUUAAUCAUUCUUUGAUUCUUUUCUUUAAAUAGUGACUCCUUUACUCUAAUACUGUACUUAUGGCGCAAUCAGUGUUGCGAUAUCUGUCUGAAAUAGUUCGAUUCCCUCUUAUCAGUGUCUUGAUGUCAAACAGCUAGUGGAAGCGCUUGAAACACCAACUGGUGUCAGUAUGGAUACGUAAGGCUGCGAUCCUAAAUCAGUGGAUGUUCCUCUCUUUCCUGGGAGUAUAAGAAUCAAAUGGGUCUAAACCCGGUCAAGGAAACCGGUGUGCUUGUUAUUUGCUUAACACAUGGAUUUCGAAUGCCUUUAGGGUUUUAGGGUUAGGGGUGGAAAAUGAGAGCAGGCAGACAGCGCCCUUGCUACUAGCAUUCAAAAGACAGAGGAUUCUCGUGCAAACUCUUGUAUGCAAAGAGUGAGAUUCAUGGUUCUUGUUCUUACUAAUUUAUAUAGAUGAGGCAGCUGUACCUGCUUAUUCUAGAUCUACUAAAGCAGGUAAUUAGAGUAAGAAAGAUCUCCUUUUAGAUCUUGAUACUCUAAUUAAUUGGAAAGUCUUAUCCUCAUCUGUGGAAACACCACACCGGUGGAGAAGUUCUCUUUAUAUCUAUCAUUGAGGGAUUUCUAGACACCAAAUGGAUCAAAGAACUAAUUCUUUUUGGUCUGACUCCCUGGUUUCCAUCUUUUGCCCAGAGCUAAAAUGAGUUAUACGGCCGGUAGCAAUAACCCCUUUUUCAACCAUCUGACGUGGGGGGAUAUCUCUAAACACCCUACCUAGCGUGUUGGAAGGACGUACUCUAGUUGGUUUCCAACGCAUCUCAUUUUCCCAGAAAAAAGCCAGAUAAGAGGGGACUUGGGAACUGAACGAUGUUAGCGCAAGGGGCUAAAAUGAAAAGGCAGGUAGCAUUCGAUAAGCAGGCAGGUUUGGGAAACUAGUACCAGGUACUAGGUCGAUGGCAUGCUGAAUACUCCUCAUCGGUGGUAAACCAUGGGAAGAGCAUCACCAACCAACUCCUUCAAAUCUUUUAAGAGUUUCUGAAUGAAGAAAAAUGUCGAGAGAAUAGUUUAAUGCCAGCGAAUAGCGUAGGAAGUAACCAAGUGUGAAUGGUGGAAAGCUAGCAAGGGAAAAAGCAUUAGUUUCGACGAAGCGAUUCUUUACCCCUUAAGCGUAAGAGAAAAGUACUUUAAAGCAAGGUCGGCUAGCGAACCCCGCUACUCCUUUGUCUUGGAGGAAGGGAAGGCUAGUACCGAAGACAGGGGGAAAGUCGAAGAAAGAUAGGAAGGCGAACUUCUUGAAAACGGAAAUGCUGGAGAAGACAGACGAUGGCUAGCUUUUGGGCUGUCUUUCCUACUACCUGUGCUAAUCCUAUAUACAAAAAAGAAACUUUAUAAACUGGGCUAUUGUUAUAGGAUGUCUCUGUAAAGUGGAAUUCAUCCUUUGUUUUUUCCUUUCCAUUCACUCGGAUCUCUUCUGUUUCAUAGAUUUUGUCCGGAUCCUCCUUUUCUUCCGAAAAAAGGGAAGGAGAAGGAUCUCCACCGGUGGAUCCCUCUUGUUCCUGUUUAGCCCCCUUCAUUUCAGAAGCUGUUUCUAUUUCUACAUCUGUUUGUUCCUCACUUUCCCCCCUUUCUUCCGUUGUUGGGGUUUCUUUCAGUUUCUUAGUAAUAAUGUCACUUUCCCCCCUUUCUUCCGUUGUUGGGGUUUCUAUUUCUACAUCUGUUUCUUCCUCACUUUCCCCCCUUUCUUCCGUUGUUGGGGUUUCUAUUUCUACAUCUGUUUCUUCCUCACUUUCCCCCCUUUCUUCCGUUGUUGGGGUUUCUAUUUCUACAUCUGUUUCUUCCUCACUUUCCCCCCUUUCUUCCGUUGUUGGGGUUUCUUUCAGUUUCUUAGUAAUAAUGGGUGACGGUAUUCUGCCUAAAUAGUAGACACAGGUAAUAAAUAAGAGAAUACUAAAGAUUCGAGCCAUAGAAUUUAUCAAUUCUGACACAAGGUACUUAUUAGAUCGAAUGUACUUAUUCGAUCUAAUAGAAUGAUUUUGCCGUAUCCAGACUAAUACCAAUCCAACCCAUUUCAUGAAUAAAAUGUGACCAAUUAACCAACCAACAAAACUGCUUGUUACAAAUAACAUCUUGUUGUUGCAUCGAAACAUAUAAAUGUUGACUAAUCUGGCUAACAUUGAACUUGGUAAAAUGAAAUGGUUGAAUAAUUGAAAAAUGAGAUUAUUCAGGAAUACGCAUUGAAUGCUAAGAUUACGCAUUGAAUUUCUGGUAGUAGAUCCAUAAUCAAAAAAGUUUUUGUGAUUAUUCCAGAAGAAAUGAAACAAAAGAUACGGUAGAGCUAGUACAGUUAUUGUAUGAGGUCUACCCAAUGCUAGAUGCAGAGGCGCAUAAUAGAUCGAUAUGAACAUCAUGAGCUGUCCCGUAAUAAAACCUGUUGUUGCUGAUACCUUCUUCUCGGUUCCUUCUUCUCCUUCUUCCAUAACCCGAGCUCGGAGAAGGAAGAGAUAAGAGGGCCCUAUGGAGAAUGUGGUUAGAAAUCCAUAAUAGAGUCCGACCACAAAGACUGAAUUUAUUAUCUUCAUGCAUAAGGAUACUAGAUUACCUAGUAGAAAAGAUUUCAAAAUCAUCACAAACCUCCCUUUUUCUUUUCUAUUGCAAUUUCUGGAUUAUUAUAUUAUAUGAUGAUUUUUGAACUUUCCAUAUAUAGAAAAGAAAUAGAAAGAGAUAGACUAGAAACGACAUAUGUUAUGUCAAUGACACCAAAGGGAUAUUAAAUGAAUGGAAUUGGGAUAUGGAUGGAAUAUAAUGAAAUAGAGCCACUUUGAGGUUCCCUAUGAAAUGAGACAUGGAAGGGGGCCACUACGAAGAAGUUUCGGGAGUUACGAAGGAAGCUUCGAGCUCAUAUUGGUCAUGGGUUGAGAACGGGAAUUGAACUCUAUGAGAUCUAAUCUCUCGUUGUUCCUUAGUAGCUCAGUGGUAGAGCAGUCGGUUGUUAACUGACUGGUCGUAGGUUUGAAUCCUACCUGGGGAGAUUUGAUAGUUAUCGCUUUCUGACCUAGCGACCCCUGUCCUUCUCCUUAGUUUCUAAACUAGCAGAAUUGUGGGACAUCAAAAGUUGGAAGUUUCUUUUUGGUUUUUAUUCCUCACUCUCGUAUAGGUGAACUUGGUUCGUUCCAUUCUUAGGGAUCCACUGGGAAUGAAUGGGAAGACUGGAGUAGUAUCUUCAUUAGCUGGAAGGAAUUAGUCUCCACUAGCCUCAUUCAAAGAACGAACAAGAAAAGGGUUACUUUUUAGGUAGGAUAGAUGGAUGUGGUCCAAUGGCUAAAGCUCUGCCAGCUUCUUGUAGACUGACUUCUCUUUAGGCUCCGAGUUGUUUUUGGGUGGGAUGGUAAAAUUGUUCUUCGCCACUCGGUACUGAAGUUCUUGGUAAUUAGCAAGGGGAAGGAAGAUCCCCACUCAUUUCAUUCAUUUAGUGCCUGCGGUGAGGCGCGACCCACAACAAACGAAGGGGGAAAGCUUGCUUUGCUUGCUGUAGCCCUAUUUUAGUACCUAAGGCUUGGUAAGCGUAAGCUAUUUAAGUAGGCUCGCAGCUUCGCUUAGCAGAAGAGCCUUACUUUCCUAUUCUAUUAGUCAAGCGCUAGCACCCAACCGGGCAAAUUUGUAGGUUCGAUUCCUGCUGAAUGAACUUGGAACGUUCAGUUCAAUCGCUGUUCACAGAAUUUAUACAUAUAGCUCGCCCUUAUAUCUUAUGGGGUACUUCACUCGCUUAACACUCGUUCAAAACAUCCACUCGUUCUUCACUCGCUAGGGAAAGAAAAAUGAUAGAUUACUGAAAAUCCCGCUUAGAGAUCGCAACUAUAGUCAGCGUAGGAGUUCCCAUCCAUCAUCUCCGUCAAGGCCUUGUUUUACCUGCCAAUUACGAUAGAUCCAUCGGAUUGAAACCUCCAUUAGAUUCAGCAACUAAGGACGAGAUUCCCAUUGCAUCGGCUUUGAUGUCCCGAAUGUUCUCGGUUGCCUUGACCGAGCUCUUCACCGUAGAACUUUUACUCGUUCAACUGGAGCACAGCUAGACUUUCAUCGCUUUCACUAGAACCAGAGUCAUAGGGGCACUUUUUUUUUUCCUUCCUUAAGUCCAGGGAUGACCCCUAUGUUUUUUCAUGGAGCGCAGAAUUUGCCUUAAUCGGCGAGAGUAUAUACAAUCUAUUUCACUGGCAAGAGCAUGAUUGAGGGCUUUAUACUGUAGUCUCUAACUCUUCAAUUGGUCGCUCUACCUCCAGCCCCUUCAUAUUUCGUAUCCUACUGCUUCUUUACUUGUUUUUCUCGAUCAAGCAUUCCUGUGCUUAGCAAAGAGGUAGUAGCAUUUAGCGCGGCAAGAAUUCCAUUUUCCGGAUAAGCCGACGCAGCUCUUGCUUGUUGUCUGUAUGUGGUAGGGCCUAAUUGCCCGGCCACCUCUUUAUCUCAUCUCUUGUCAACACUAGAACUUUUUCAUAAAUGAUGCCAUUCCCGACUCCCAAAAUGAAGCUCAAUCUCUAUUCAUUAGUUCAGUGCUAAGAUGUAGAACUGGAUCGUAUAUGGGUCAAGAGAUCUUCAAUCUAGAAUUCUCUUUUUUAUAUUGCAAUCCUUCUUAGUGAGAAAUUACUCUAAAGACUAUGUAGGGGAAUGCACUAUAGGGACUCAAUAAAAUGAAAAAAGGAUUUGAGACUUAGGAAAUGAAACUUCCAUUCAACCAUAGUCGAGAGGAAAUAAGUCUAAUAAGGCACUAAGGGGGAAGCUUAGAGACGGAAUUCAAAUAUCAGAAUAGAGAGAGGAGUACAUGGGGGGUGCAGUAAACAUAACUCUAGCAAUAUAGACCGGGCCUGCUUCCCAUUCAUUCUUUUAUAAGGAUGCUCUUCGGCUGGUCAAUAGGGCACAUCGCUUUCGCUUCUAUAAUAGAGGCGCUAUAAUAGGCGCGCUUGGCAAACGAAUAAAAACCUUGGUCCGUUUUCAUUGGUCUAGUCCGGUCAUUGUUUUUCUCUUUCUUCUCUAUCGGUGAAUUGGGGGAAAGAGUGAACUAAUAAGGGGAGGUGAUAAAGCAAGAAAUAGGGAAGUAGAAUAGUUGGCACACGCUAGUCAAUCCAGUACGUACGUCGCUUUCGUUCUUUCUAUUCAGUCCUCUCCUCCGGUAAUACGUCCUCUAGCCCUUCCUGCUCAUCUGUAAACUCUCGCAACAUCCCGCUUGGAUAGCGAAGUAAGCAAUCAAAGGGCUGACAUUAGUGAGCACUCAUAGCGUCCUUGCUUUCUCUUAAUCAGUAAUUAAGGAUCUCUCCUCCUUCUGGUAGGUGCAAGCAAUAAAAGGAAUAUCAUUUCAAUAAGACCAUUCCAAUCAGUAAAGGAAGAGUUAUUCCCUUAAUGAUAUAUUGAAAUCUCUCUUUUUUCAUUCAAGGUUAUGGAAGUUUAGUAAAGUCUUCUGUUAAGGUAGCAUUUGCCUUCCCAGGAAUCAAUCCCUUUUGGCAGUGAGUCGAAAGUGUUAGUGAGAAGCCCUCUCAACUCUAGGACUAUUCCACUCUUCUCUGAGUGCCUUCAACAGUGCUUAGGUAGCGCUCACAGUGAGAUAGGCAGCUCAGCUUAAACUUAUUCCUACCCUAAUGUGUCAAGAAUAGAAUAGGUAGCACAAGUCAGCAAGCAAGCAUAGACAGAUCUAAGGUAUCCGGAUCAGAAGGCCCCAACCCACCACCUGGGUCGAGAAAGCGUAAGCAAUCGGUGUCGUCUCAGAAAUGAGUCUAAUAAGACGGGUGGGGACGCGCUACAGCCCCCUUUUUGGGGCCUCCGCUUGCUCCUUCGAAACUAUACUGGCCGUCAACCAACGAGCAAGCCAGCUACCUAGCCUGCCACCAAGCCUGCCGUACCUAUUUCCAUGUCCCUAUGGUCGAAAAAACUACAUACAUUGACCUUAUCCUACUCCAUGCCCCGGUCAUCUAUGCUCUCUCAUCAGCUAUGGCAAGAACUCUUGUCAGCGCCUUAUCUUACUUUGAUCUAAGAACCUGAACAUAAGCUAUCCUUUGACCUUUUGAACCUCACCUUACGUAACCUGACGUAAGAAGAUUUGCUUUAUUUAAUGCAGCAACCACCUCUUUCUGGUGUGCAGAGCUAGACAGAAGGCUUCUUAAGACAUCGCUUUCAUACUCCACUCUCUAGUUCACUGAUUGAUCCUUCCGCUUUUAUAACAGAGGCUAAAAGGUGUGAACGAAGAAAGCUUCUUCUCCAGAUUCCACAAGAAAGGGUUCGGAUCAUUAGGCUUUGCCCAACCUCCCCUCAGGGAUCGCGGAGUCAGGUAGAUCAACUACUUGUAAAUAUCUCCUCACAAAAGAAUAUCCCCUCACUAAACCUCAUAAUAUCCCAUCCCGAGGUCUUAGCCGAGACUUGGCUUACGCCCUUUGGUCUUUCUUUUCUCGUUUUAGUAAAAGGCCUCCAGCUGCAGCAAGGCUAUCUUGAAUUCCAAUUUUCAAUGAUUGAAAUGAAUUCCUCUGUAUUCUGCUGUGCUCAGCGAAAAAAUAGGUUUCUAGGACUAAUAGUUGGAUUCUCUAGCCAAGAAUCCCAUUAUCUUCAGGAAAUGAUGAAAAGGACAUGUACCACCGAAAGGUUGCCCUUCGGGCCCUGUUCGUGUUGUGGAAUGAAGACAAUCCACCUUGGAGUGAAGUGUACUGUUCUGUACAGUGGGGCAAAUAACGACUUUCAUAUAGCUAUUAAUAGAUAGGCUUCCAGUAGCGUAAAGCGAAAGAGAUGGCAGCUCAGGCCGGGAGUCGAACCCAACGGUGCCAUGAAUGGAAAAAUCCUUCUUUUGAGCCUAAAUCUUCCAUUUCACAGGAAAGAGAAGAUGCAAGCAAUAGACCAUGCCCUAGUUCGGUGCGCGAAGGUCUCUUUUUUUCGUCGAGGCAUCUGCUCCGCCUGGUCACGAGUUGGGCUCAAACCAACACCUCUGGACUGGAAAGGGAAAUGAACUCCAACCCCACCUCUCCAACAUCAGAAUAUAAAGAUUGUAGCAUAAAGCGUGCCUUGCCUUAGCUACUAGAUCAGAGCUCUCGCAAGGUGUAGAGGAAACCCAAACCAAUUGGAAGAAGUCAUCUCCCUUGCUGGAGGAAACGACCUUCUUCCGGGAAGAUUCAACUCGAGUUGGAGUUGGCGGUUCUCCGCCCCUUUAGCUCUUUUCGAGCUUUGCCACUCAACAAAAUAAAGAAAGAGCAAAUCCUGGCUUUAAAGACCGAGCAAAACGCCCCUUCACCCCCGCGCAAUUCAGCUCUUCUGUAAGGGUAAAGAACCACCACUAGAUUCUGGCUUUAAGGCGGAAUUGGCAUUAUGCUGCCAGAGGAUAGCGAAUGUACUAGAGUAGCUUCCAACCCCUACUUAGAAAACAAGAAUAAAGGAUUAAGAGAAGAGCAUAUAGAGGAAGGUUGGAUGUAAUUCAAGUACAGAAAUACGGACAUGAGCCCCCACAAACAAGCUCUCAGGCAAAAAGAAUUGGAAAUAGGCCAAGCCUUUUUCUAGAACUGUUCGGAAGAACACAUAGGAGCCUAGCUGAUCAAGAUCCUCAAGAGUCAAGAGAAAGAAAUUGAUCGAAAGAGGAUGGUUCGCUCGAUCCGCUUCCUUUAGUAGUUAGUUAUAAAUGUAUGAUAGGUCUAUCAUUGUUGGCUAGGAAGUCUUCACAAAAGUAGCCUUGGCAAAGGCUGUGAAUAGGGGUCACUGUGAGUUGUUUGAUCUGGUACCCGCAUAAAGCAUAGCUCUUCACGGGUGAUCCUUAAUCUCAGCAUUUGUAAUCAGACUUAGAGCUUCUGCAGAAUCAGUUUCAAGGAUGCCAUCUUUUAUUUCAUAACCUUCAACAGCAUUAAUCGUCUUUCUAUUGCCCAAAGUUUAGCAGCUAAACUUGAUGCUUUUGCCAUGUGCCCACAAAAAGAAAAUAACCAUCUACCUUGGUCAUCUCUUGCAAUCCCUCCAAUCCCAGGAGGGCCAGGGCUUCCUUUUGCACACCCAUCAGUCUUCCAUUUUAUUCUACCUGCAGGUAGUUGCUUCUUCUUUUUGUAAGGAAAGGACAAUUUUCUUAGUCUUGUUCAAGGUUUGUUCCUUACCUUCUGGGAGAGGAAUAAAGUAAAGGGAUUCAUUCACAGAUGAGCCCUUGCCUAUACCAGAGAGAGAGAUCGAUAUAGAGACAACGAGGCCAGGGGAAGAGACCCAUUCUUUAUAAGAGAACGGGAAUACGGAAUGGACCGAUACGCUCGAUAGAUAAAGACAAAAGAGCAACUACAGUUGCGACAGAUUCCUACACCUAUGGGCUCAGGUAAGGAGUUGUUUCAGGAAGGGAGCUAGAAGCUGUGAGUGAACCCAAAGGCAGCGAGUGGGGUAAGUAAAAAAGGGGUAACCAACGAGCAAAGAACUCCGCCUCCUUCUUGGUGGAAGCCAGGGUAUCACUUCAGUGAUACCUGGGCGAAUUCUGCGAUUGCCGCUUUCAGGUGAAUUUGGAAAAUAGGGCAGGGCAAAUGCUUUUUCUCGAAGAUGCGGCGAUUCCGCUCUUUCCGUACUUCCCAACACGUAAAGCAGAAGGUAGUACACCUUUUUGGGCUGAUUUUGAAAUUCUUCAGUGAACCAAGACAACACAGCCAUUCUAAAAGAAUUUGGGUGAGACCAUGNNNNNNNNNNNNNNNNNNNNNNNNNNNNNNNNNNNNNNNNNNNNNNNNNNNNNNNNNNNNNNNNNNNNNNNNNNNNNNNNNNNNNNNNNNNNNNNNNNNNAUAGACGAGCCCUUGCCUAUACCAGAGAGAGAGAUCGAUAUAGAGACAACGAGGCCAGGGAAAGAGACCCAUUGUUUAUAAGAGAAUGGGAAUACAGAAUGGACCGAUACGCUCGAUAGAUAAAGACAAAAGAUCAACUACAGUUGUGACAGAUUCCUACACCUGCUCGAGUGCCAGCACUGACACCCGCUCCUGUUACUUAGUCCGUUCAUGUGGUACCAGCACCUGAAAGAGGUGCUGCGCUACUUAAAUCUAGGGUCCGCGAAGGUGAUGGAUUGCUUUCAAUCAAAGGUAAUGGAUGGUCAGGAUGGCUGACGGGAAGCAAACCAGGCACCCUACACUACUGCCCACCAGAAGGAAUAGAGUUGCUGACACUGAAGCUCGGAGCUAUACAACACAAAAAGAAGCAUGUUCUGGGCCCCGAUGUCUAGUAGAGUAGAACCGAAGCGUGAACACUGGAUCGAAGGCUGCUGCAGAGAGAGAAGCUCUCGACUUACCCAUAUUUGGAUGUGUGGUUAUCCAUAGGUCAGCCCAAGAGCGAAUCUUUCUCUUUCUCUUUCACUGACCUAUAAUUAAUCUUUCCUUUGCUUGCGUGGCCUGGCUCAAGCCCGUUAAUACCUUCAAGAUGAAAGCAUCCCCCAAUCGGUAGCUAAGCUAGUUAACGGACCCUGUCCUAUCCACGGAAAGCUUCACGCCCUGGAAUGGAAUAACUUCAGAAAGCCGAGUGCCGAACCGGAUAUAAAGACGUAAACUUCUUAGAGCUACUUGAAGCUAUACUCAAAGAAGGCCUACGCUUGUUCCUCCAUUUGAGACUUCCAUUCCAGCUAGUGAGAACACUACUUUACAUGAGAAGUAGCGAGUUUUUAGGUUCAGUAACGAACGAUUGGGGAUUUCGAAGAUUCGAUCUUUUCACAUGCAAUCCUCGAUGAGAUGAUUCAAUUAGGCCCGCUUUUGAUCCUGAAUGAUUGGACGAAGGGUCUCACAUUAGGGACCCCUCUCAACUAGGUAUUCGGCCUAAGGAUAAAUUGCAUUUAAGCAAGCUUAAGCCUAUAGUUACGUCUACUUUUAGGCCCCCUUGCCUGAUCAUAGACUGGAUUGGAUGAGCUGAUCAACGGAAAUGUCCAAUCCUUCUCCGACCAAUCCUACUUGACUUGUCUUAUCUAUGCUAAUCGUGUGGGACUGGCCCUACUCACUUAUCGGAAAGAGAAGAAGGAAUUACACGUGCUGGAAUGGCACACUCAUUGGUUUGAUCAUUGGCUACAACGGCACUGGAUCGCGCGGAGAAGAACUUCUAAGGUGAAAGACUCGGGUCCCUCUCCUAUUCAAUUUCUUGAUUUCAUCCCUUCACUUUCAUAAGUAAUUGAAUCCCGCUUUCGUGUCUAUCCUGCCGCUGGAUUCCACUGCUGCUUAUAUCCCUUUUGCCCACACUUUCUUAACACAUAGUAAAUAAAGGCUAUAGAGAGCACUUCUUCCCUUGGUCUGGGAGGUGGGUUAUGUGGGCUUCUUUUAUCGCUUUACUAUUAUUGCUUCUUUGCCAAUCGAAAGAGGAAGAGAUUGCCAUACUGUUCAGGAUACAUAUAUAAAGUACAUAUAGAAAGGGGAACACCUUCUCUGGAGUACUUUUGUCCGAGGAAGGAAAUGAGACUGAUUGUGUGAAGAGCCAAGGGUCUUAGUUGUGCGGUAGUUAGGGGCGCAACCUGCUGAAAUGAAUGUGUGUGGGAGAAAGAAUUCAAAAAAGAGCCAAAGAAGGGAUAGAUAUACCUGACUAAUGCUGGGUGCCUCUUCCUUGUGUUCCUUGCUUGCGUGAAGCCGCGCCCUAUUCUCCUAGUCACCUUCCUUGCUUUGAGACCGUGGGCCCCAAUAGCAAUCAGGUCUGAAUCCUAAUUACAACUCCUAUUUACAUAAGAGCAAUGGGCUUGGAAUCAUUUCUCCUUUUCGGCUUAAAGAAAGCCAUUUGCAGCCAUUUCUUAAUCCUAAGAAAGAACAGGAAGAAAUGCAAUAACUCCCUCGCAAGCUAGCUACUUCUCUAUCAAAACCGAAGCCUUGGUGUAGUUCUCAUCAGGAGAUUCAUCGAUCAAUGCAGUUCUGCUUGCAUGUGCUAGGGAAGGUCAGUCUGAAAGGCACUUUGUCGAAGCUGAUAUAGCUAGACAAUCAAUCUACUUUUUCACUAUCGAACCCUUGAAUUACGUUAUUAAUGAAUUCUUCCUCGGUUCCGCCGAUGUAUACUCUGGCAUGUUCCCUGUUAGCUACUCUGGUCUGGCUGCCUACUUUCCAGCACCUGAAAGAGGUGCUGUGCUAAUCCCCUCGCCUCAGAUCAAAGGCAUGAAGGCAAUGAGCAUCUACAUACGAAUCAUCUGCCUACGAGUGAGAGUCAGAAAGAUCCGAAGAAGUAAGAUCUGCAACGUCCAGCUCAGUAUAGGAGGAUUAUGCCUCUCUUAGCUUACACACGGGUGAGGUUGUCCCUACCAACUAACUACUAGCUGGUGAAUCAAUCAUUGGGCGAGUAUCUUCCCCUAGAGUUACAAAGAGAGAUCAUGCAGAUGUUAGAGCCGGCUCAGUGACAGCAGCAGAAGCAGCAAAAAGGGCUACUCCAGCAUCACGUGUUGCGUUGUUAUGAUUAAAAGGAAGAGUUAAAUCAGAUGAUGAUGAUGAUGAUUCUUUCUUACAAACAGUCAAAUUCAAGUGUAUCAUCUUUCUAUAAGAGAAAUAUCAAGAGAGAGCGAGCGAGCAGAAAGAUUCCAUCAGGGGAAGGAAAGCUUCAGCGCAAGAAAAUAAGACGGAUCGAAGAUAGACUGCUACUACCAUGUCCCUAGCCAUUCUUCUUCUUCUUUGUUGCCUGCCUAUCCGCUUCUGUCAACAUAGAAGGAAGCUUGGGAGAAAAGUCCAAGUGCAAGCAUUAAGUCAAACUGAUUUAGGUAUAGCAAUGUAGCCCUUCUCUUUUUAAGCAGGAAUCGUGCCUCUUAUAUAUAUAAUAAAGAAGAGCUCUUCCCUUUCCUUCUAGGUUCUAUUUCUCUUUCCCCCGAUAUCCUUUAAAAUACCUCUACCACCCUCUUAGCAGGUCGGUCAGUCUCAGUAGUAGAGGAAGAAGAGUCCACUGAUCAUCAAUUACAUCACAGUAGUGGUCCUCUUGCCUUUGCCUGGCGGAGUCAGCCCUUAAUGGGCAAUUCAGACAUCACAUUACACACCGCAGUUGAACCGUGCUUUAGAACACCGGGCAUUGCAGAAUGAGCAGGCUCGGCCUUCAUGCUCUAGCAUACUAUAGUAGACAAAAAGCAUAGCAUAACCAAUCCAGCCGACAGAAGCAAAGCUAAGAGCUCAACGAACGAGUAAAGAAAGCAAGGGUAGCAACCCCUUGUCUCGAGUAUUCCUCAUACUUAGGAUGAUGCUUUUUCUCCUCUACACUUUACAGAGCCUAACUGUCCAAAACAGAACCUAAGCCUAGCCUCGCAAUUCAUUGCAGGAAUCGAAUCGAGGUUUCAACGACUGAGACAGGUCAGUAAGUAAUUGAAUAGACCGUUGGGCACUACCGGACACAAUGAGAAGAGAAGCGGCUCAGCCAGUAGCACAGUCUGAGGGCUUCUUCAGCGAAGGAAUAACACAACUGUCACUAGCGAAGCGAAGCACUCCAACCAAAGUCAGGGGGCAUGGCGCGCACAUAACAAUCCAUCAUUCAUUUCUUGAUGAAAUGAAAGAAGAAUGUCGAUUUCAUUAUGGAUGACGCACACAAUUCAUUUGCUUAUUGCAUUCGAUCAGACAAGUCUUGGCUUGUCCCUUGCUCAGGGUUAAAAUGCAUCUCAGGGUAAGUCUUUCGUAUAGAAAGGUUGGCUGUUUUGUCGAAGGAGAUGAAAUUGACUCAAUAGUUAACGGAAAGGAAGGUAAUGAAUGGGCUAGGAAGCCACUGAUUUGAAGGGAAUGAGAACCGCUGCUUUUAGGCCGGUUUCAGUCUGUCAGUGGGGAAGAUCAAUUGAAAGCUAAGUAAUAAUUAUCUCUACUCAAGGGAGAGUAAACUCACCUUAGUUAGUACUUAGCCCGCGACAGGAAGGUAGAUGAAAGCGAAGCUAACCAUGUUCAAGGAAGAGGCGUUGAGUGAAGAACAGUUCAGUAGUGAAUUCCAAUAUUCCAUAUUCCCUUAUUUCCCGCUUGGGAGAAACUGAGAAUAUCUAGGUUACGAAGUAGAGUCGUCAAGAGGAGCGGCGUAGUCUCAAUCAAAUAUUCCAUAUCAUAAGCAAUUUCAAGGAUUCUCACUUUCAACAACCCAAGCGGCAGGGUUCUUCGAUCGUUAGAAUUCAAUCCAGCUAUCGGUUCGGCUAGACCUACCUUGUUUCGUGCUUUUCUUCAAUCCAGCUAUCGGUGAGACCCUCACUACACGCUCCCCCUUCCUUGUUUCCCACUUGCCUAAUGAAUGAGAGUCUUUAUUUCUCUAUUUUGUCUUCUUUGAUUUAUCUGUCUUUAUUUUCAGACUCAAAAGUGGAAGCUUUCUUAUAAGACUCUGACUCUGACUUCUUCAGAUUGAAGAGAGAGUCUAUGUCUUUGAUCUACUUUCUGUUGCAGGAGUAUUGUGCGAUGAACAACUUGCACAACUGAGGGAAGUUCGAGAUCAUCUUCGAUGGGAUCUUGUGGAUGAAAUAAGAAAGAGAACCAAAAGAAAAGCAUGUUUAGUAUAGGAAGAAAAAGUAAUAUAAGCGCUAAAAUCAAAUAACAAAUGAAGCGAAAAGAAAGAUUAAAGAUAAAAGGCCUUCCCUCAUGUGUCCUAUUGCUUGCUCCAUUAUUCCCUCACUGGCACAUCUUCUUUAAUAGAAUAGGAACUGCAUUUCUACCUAGUAUGGUAUUCAGGGAUUGCUCUAAGACUGACAAUAGGAUAAGGGAAGCUCCAAUUGAAAAACAGCACUACUGCUAGUAAGAUAGCGAUCCAGGGCUCGAUCUACGGCUGUCAAGCUUUCGUGGUCCUUAGGCGGGGCCAUCUUAGGAAAAUCGUCUAUGGGGGACAGUUAGCUAUUUGACACUUCUGUUAUAGCUUAGUGCUUCUUUUGCGAUACCAUAAUGCUCUUCAUUCUCCGUUUUGUUCGUACACAAGUGAGACUUCCAGCGCCGUGCCGAUGGCUGAAUAACUACGAUAGAAUUCACCAGAUGAACCGGAUGAUCCAGCACAAAAGGCUUUGUUUGAACUUGAAAUAGAAGUGGUGGGAACCUGGGUCUGCAGAUACCUAAACUCGCAAAACUACUCAAAUGUGGCUUCUCAUCGAUAGAAAGAGGUGUUCCUAGAACGGAAAUUCUGUGGUACGCGCAUCGUUUCUUCAGUUGGUGGGGCUAGGUUAAUAGCUGAUCGAGCUCUUUGGUACGCGGCUCACCUUUUCAAUUGAGCUGUUCUUGCUACUCCUCAAAAAAUUUGGUAAGAUAAGGCGGAAGUGUAAGGUGUAAGUAAAGAGAAUAGAAGAAUAGCUUUAACACAUGCAUCUCGGACAAAGACUCACUUCAAUAGCUAAACCCCAUAUGUAUCUAUCCGUCACGAGCAAUCGAAUGAGUUUUGAGGGACUCAAGUCAGCUACGAAAGGUUAAGCGGGAUCUCUGUUUUCUAUAUCUAUUCUUUCUAAAUGUACUACUUGUGAGUCAGGGACUAGGGAAAGCAAGAAAAGGGAUAGACGUUAGCCUAGGAACUCUCCGAAGGGAUAGACCCUAGGAGCUCGGAGAAAAGGAAAGGGCCUACUUAAUCUCCGAAAGGUAGCUAGAAUCGAUUCUAUUCUAAGGUGCAAGGUUUUUCUUCCUGGAGUGAGGGCUCAUCUCGUUCAGAGUAAGGAGUGAAAGACCAGGAAAGGAAGGUUGUUAACGAAGGUUAAAAUAGAACGAUAGAUAACAGUCAACAUAGUACUUGAGUAGGAACGAUAGAGAGUAGCUCACCGGGAAGUCUCUGUCCAAGGAAAUUUCAUAACAAUCAUAAGCCCGCGAAAGAGACAAGAAAGAACAUAGAUAGAUGAGAUGACGUAAGCAAAGACAAAGAGGAAGCUCGCUCAGUCGAAGUCAGUUCAGUCGCUUUUGAGCAAGUAGGAAUUCGGGUUCUCAGCCUUAUUCAAAGACAGUUCGAGGGACUUUCAGCAAAGCGGUUUCGUCUGAUCAAGUCUCAAUCUGUGUCAGAGAUUUCCUUUUGUCCGGAAUAAGAUUCUACAUAGGUCCUUCCGUAAAGGGGAUUUUUCCAAUCUGUCUAGCUUCGGUGUGUUCUUUGCUUAAUUAGAAGGGGCAUCCCCCUUCUGCUAAGAGAUUUUCCCGAGUGCUUGUUCUCUUUAUAUUAUUUUAUUUCGACAACUAUAGAUUUUGAGCCAAUCAGGUAUCACCGCGUGUCCACUUUUGUUAGGCAGAAGAAAGAGGAUUCAUCCGAUUCCUUUCCAAUUCAAUGCCAGUAUCCUAAGAAAGGAAAAGCACACCAAAGCCAGGUCAAGUAGUUUGACCUAUCAAUCUAUCUGGAUAGGGUUUUGCAAGGCAGAGAGCCCCAAUCUGAGAAGGUUUUCAGACCAGGUAGGGGAGGUAACUCUCACUCUCAGGUGAAUCCUGUCCUAGGGAAGAGGAAACCCUAUCCUUGGAAGGAACUCACAAUCCUAUCUGGAAUCCACAUCCUAAUGCUCUAGAAAGGCCUUCAUGGCGGAAAAACAAGGAGUCACAUAGUCUCCUUUUGAAUGAGCGCUCUAGCUUGAAACAAGAAACGGCCCAGGGUAGCAAUCAAAGCAAAGGGAAGGAGUGGAGCUAGGUUUGUGCCGUUGAGUCUUGCCUCUCGUAGGCCUGGGUCUAGUCUAGUGGUGGAAGCGGAAUGAGAAAGAGAGUCAUGAAACAGAAUUUAUUGAAGAGCUCACCCCUCUUGAUGACCGGGAAUGACCCAUCUCCGAACAAGCCCUUUGUGAAGCGAGCGGGUGGAUUCCUUCUUAGGCAUAAGACGAAGUUUAUGUUUAUGCUUGCUUUGCUGACUCUGAUAUUUCUUAGAAAAAUGGGCACUAUACUAAAGAUUAGCUUAAGGUAGAAGAAGCAUUCCCGACUCAAGCACGCUUUCCCUUGGGGAGUGAAGGUUCGACGUAGUUGAGAGUAAAAGAUCGGGGCUAAGGAGGGCUUUUCUCACUCAAAAAGUAUAAAAACUCAUGCCGUUCUGUACUCUUUUCAGGUGGUGGAUUAAGCCUCGCCCCCAGCGGCGUCCGUACAGUGAGUUCCAACUCCAGUCUUCCUUAUUGGGGUAAAAGGAAAGUCAUGAGAAAGAACAUAAAAACACAUUGGCGGCUGGUGCACGAACUCGUUGGUUUGGAUGCCUUAUCGAUGACCUGAGUGAGCAGAUAGGAUAAAUCAAAAACAACUGCUUUUCUUUAUCUGCGUCUCUUGAUUCAGUGUCUGCUUACUACAUUUAUGCGCCUGCCUAAGCAUAUUCUUUUUCAUGACUGAACUUCCCCGUCACACAGCUUAGGGCCUGCAGCUCCUCCUCUAGCAAGAACAUGGAUCGAAAAGGGGACCGCCCUAGAAACAUAGCCUCAUGGGUGUUUGCACUUAUGGGUUAGUACAGUAGUGGAAAGCAAAUACUACUCCGAUUGAGCCCACUUUAUUCUAGUACUAGUUAGUAUAAUUAUAAGAAAAUGGAAUAAUAAUAAAUAUUAGUAAUAAUAAUCAUAAGAAUAGUCUCUAUCGAGCCUUAUUUAGACGCGAGCCUCUCCUGUCUAGUCGACCUCACUACCGCAUCGCUUGACUUGAGUUGGGAAGAGUCAUAUUAAUAUUCCUAUUAUCAAACUCUCCGUAAUGCUUGUAUUCCCUUACUGAACGGAAGGAACGGUUCCCCUACUCGCUUGCUAAUGGACUAUAACCGGAACGAAGGCACGGAUUAUAUACCAAGCCUUUCCUAUUCUCCUAGUCUCGCAGUUGUCAGCUCCUUAGCUUUGGUUUUAGCCUCUUUCCUCUUUAUCUAAUAAUAAGGUAAGCUUCUUUGUGUUCGGGCUUUCAAGUUGGAUAUCACCAUAUACUAGUGCUAGUUCGGGUGAAAGCCUCGAAAAAAGGCUUAGCAAUUUCCUAGCAACACAAGGCAUGCUAGAAAGGCGAGAGGAGCUACAUGAAAGCAAGUCAUUCUUUCUAAAAUACUUGCUAACAUGCGAGACGAGACUGGAACCAAGGCCAAGGGCAAGAACUCAACCAACAGGAACCCUAUCAUCAACCAAUAGGCCAGGAGCUUCACCCUCAGCCCGACCUCGGGGCCUGCAUGGCGCAACAGCCUAACCCCAACCCCAGGGUGGGAACUCUUAGGAGCCGGUCACUGAGGUUGGUAAACUAAGGGUGCCUACCGUACUUGUUCCUCUAUCCAUCCCCUCUCUCUGUAGGGUUGAGGAAGGAAAUCUUUCUUUCGGGAGGAGGGGAGCACUUGACAUUCAUUUACCCGGGGGGCAAGCCAACCAACGAAGAGCUGGCUUACGGAGCUUUCUCAUCAAGGGGCGAAGGGGGGUUCAUGCAUCGGCAUCACGUAGGAUUUCCUUCAACAAGAAAGGAUUGCUGCUGUGAGUGAUCACGCACGAUAGAGAAUGGUGGAUCAGCGGACCGAUUGAUUGACCGAGAUGUGAUGCUCACUAAUCGACCAUGCAAAAAUCUCCAAGCUCCUUUACUAUACAAGGGUUCCAAACCAUUAUUGAAGAAAGAGCUCUUGCCUUCAACUCAGAAUAGAACGUUCCUUCCGCAAUGAAAGAACCCGAAGUAACAAGCUGAAGCGUAAACAAAAGAAGCUAAUCCAUUGGGCUAGUUUCAAAUCCAUUGAGCUAACUUUCUAAUCUAGAGAAAGGCACAGAAGGAGUUGAGUUGAAUUAUAUACGUAAUCUAAGUUAGGCGAGAGGAUCUUUAGGAAAAGGGGGCCACCCUGUAGCUUAGAGGAAGAGUGGUCGUCUCUUAGCUGACAGGUCGUAGGUUCAAGUCCUACCAAGUUACUUAACUUGACUUUACACGGACUGAGGAGUUUGGCCUUACAGCACUGAACACCCUCUGUCAAGGUAAAGAAAGGGUCUUACAUCAAACGCUUACCGGCCCGCAAAGCUACGCAUAACUAAAAAAUGGGGGCACUCUCGGGCGCUGCUUUCUCGAUCAACUAGAUGACUUUGAAUUAGAAAGGGAUCAGUCUAUAUAUGAGAACUCUAUUUAUAGCUUUAUUGCUUUCUCACAGAGUCUCAAAUAAAAAUACCCAACAAGCAUUAGCUCUACUAGAAAAGGAUUCAAUCCAACCAAGGGUUCCCCUAUGGCUACCUUGUUACGACCUUACACCAGAUUUACUCUUUAAAAAAAAGGAGUAAAUCCCACCAAUGUCAAUAUGAGGGAUUCACAUACAUGAGAUGAAAGUCUUUAUUUCCGCCAGAUGUUCAAGUGAAGUUACCGCCUGUGAUCCCCCGCUUUUGCAUAGAUUUGGCUUGAAUCUAUAUCUUUUUUUAAUUUUUGAUUGGAUCAAAGAGGGGUAGCUACACCAUAGGAAUGAUUCAAAGGUAGGAAGAGUUUAGGCUGUUAGCGUGAUGAAGAGGAAUGCGGCUAAUCCCUCCACGGUACUUUGCUCUGCAGAACAUGGUAAAAAGGGCAUCAUUUAGCCAACGAGAGGUUUCGAAGUAACUCGACUAUAUGACCUUUCGACCAUGACCUAGAGGGGUGAAGAGGUGCUGUUGAGCCCGACCAUCCAUUACAUCAUAUACAAUAGAUCUUACUGCUUUAGCAGCUUUCUUUCUUGCAAUUGAGCAGCCUUUCUCACUUCCGGUACACUUGCUAUACUUCCAAAAAUGGGUCAUAAACGGGGGUUUUUUUGCCUCAAGUCUCUGUCUUCUUCAAUGGCAAGAAUGGCUGGAUUGAAGAGCACACAGCUAGUCGACUGUAAGGAAUUGAGUGAGCCGAUCAUAGCGAGGAAGAGAUAGAUUUAAACAUUUUAAAAGUAGGGCUGGGUUAAGAACCAUCAAUUGCACUUGCUGUGAGUCAGCCCUAUUUGAUAAAAGGAAAGACUUACAAAAUCUCCAACGGCCACACUAGAUACUGGUUUUCAUAGACAGAGCUACUCCAAGCCCAAUACCAAAUAUGAAUCAUAUUUGAUGAACCAUGAAGUUCUUUCUUUCUACUUAGUACCAUCUUGCAUACCUCUAGAUUCUAGAAGUAGUGACACCGUAACACAUUACCUCGUAGAUUAGAUUGAUUGAGGAUACUUUCUCAUGUUACAUAUAGAAUUUGCAUGUAAUGACUGAUACAAUUGAAAUAAGAUCCCAAAUCAACGAUUUCUUUGUCAUAUUCGGAUUCAGGGGUUCUCUUCAAAAACUCCCAUUGGCCAUUCUUGUUGCUAGUUCGAUUCUAUUCAUCUUUCCGGGUCACUACGUUCUCAUAAGCUUUGGGUAUAUCCGUUAGUGGUGAUUGGUCAUUAAGGUUCCUUUGGGAUAGCAGGAAAAGCAGACUAUAACACGGAGGGUAUAUACUCAAGCUAAAACAAGAAGAGAGAAGAUAGACUAGACAUUCUCAAUAGCCUUGUCCUAGACAUAAUCUCUAGCCGGAUCUCCCUUAUCUCAGAUCUGGGGACUGAACAUAAUCUCUAGCCGUCUCUACGACUAUAUCUCUAGCCGGAGCAACCACUGGAAGGAAGCCUUCUGACCCGGACCAGAAGAGGCCUCUUCUUAUAUGAAAAUGGUUCGGAUUGGGAAAGAGCAGCCCGCAACUCUGGUUCUUAGGAAUGAUUCAUCCCUAUGCUAUGUAUGAUUCAUCGGAUUAUUCUUAUGCGUCUUCGGUGGGUGAUUUAAUGUAUUCGGCGUCUGAAACAAUGUACUCGCAUGCUUACUUAUCUAUUCCCAUCCACCACCCUUCUCGGGAUUUGAGAAACUACUCAUCCAGGAAAAAGAAAGCUGCUACUGGAAAACAACUCCCUCCGCCCUUGUUCUGGUUCUAUACCAGACAACACCCCUUGCCGCUUUCCAUAACAAGCUUGCCUUUUAGUCAUCGACUACUUCUGUAUACUUGAAAGAAUCGUAUUCUUCAGGCUUUAAAGCCUUAUUCACCGCCCUCCCAAAUGGACGUCUUUUCUUUUUUAGUGGUGGCAUCUUCUUCAUUUGAAAGAGUUGAUUCAUAUGCUUUUGUCUCAGCGGAUGAAAUAGCAUAUUUAGAUGCAGCAGAUGGAGAAAUGGUAUAGAUAUGGAGAUGCAGAGUCAGAAGGCUUAGUUUAUUGCUUUGAACCUUCGCUUCCACCGGCUUCAAAGUGGAAGAACUCGCCCAGAUCUAGUAGUUGCUCCUAAUUGGAGGUGAUAUGCUUCCACAGGUGUUAGAGGAGAUGAAUAGCUUGCCCUUCGAGGCAACGCCAGCGGUAGAGGGAGAAUUAAAGCAAUUAGAUCUCGUGGAAUUAGAUGGAUGCCUUUCGACUGGAAAUGGAUAUAUAGCUCGAAUAGAGGGCGAUAGGCCCAACAAAUAAACCUUCUAUUCGUUCGUUCCCCAACGAGUGGAUCUAAAGGCACGAAAGGAGGACCUGGGCACAACACAAAUGAAGGGGGAGAAAGACUAGAACUUCACUCUGCCUCUUCUGAAUAUCUAGUUUCGUACCAUCAGGCAACCUCCUCUUGUUUGAUUUAUAGUUUCUUAUAAUAAAGGAAAUUCCAACAUUGAUUUCUAGUAAAAGGGUAGGAUACCAGGAAAAAUUCUGAUGGGGAAUGGAUCAGAGUGCAAAAAAAAGGAAAAAACAAGCCUGUUGCGACUGGAAGUGAGAGUCUCAGGGUUGAUAAUUGGGCUGAUUUGGUUCAAGAGCCUAUGCAUGAGAUGGUUGUUGGUGAUCAGUCAAUGGAAGUUGUUGAGAAAGGUGACUCUCAUAUCUCUUGUGGGGGUUCAACCGAAAGACCUUCCUCUCUUUCCGGUCUUCAAGAGAAUAGAGGGAAAGCUUUGUCACUUAAAAGGUAAGAUUGGUCAGAUGCUAGUUGUCCAGGGAAGAUCCAUUAGAUGAUCAGCCCAUCCUCCUUGUUAUUGACUGGAAGAAUGUGAACAUCCCAAAGGGAGAUCCCGGGUCUAGUUCCGAGUCAGUCAUGGUCAUCCUCAAAGACAACUAUGUAAGGCUUAGACCUUACGUAUACUGCUUCUCCUUUGGGUAGCUUUCUCUUCAAGCACUCUUGCCUUAAUAAGGGUUAGCUAUGUUUCAAGCACUUCUUCUUUUUAGAAAACAACUCAAAAGAGUCUUUCCAUUCAAGCACUACUUGUAGCUACCUAUCCCUACAACUACUAAACUCUAUGAAAGUCAUAUAACUGCUCUAUAGCUAGAAAGCGUUCUCCUCCUAUACUAUAUUAUAUAGAAAGCAGCUAGAAAAGCCAUAAAGUGCUAUGCCUGCAAUGAACCUGCUAUGAAAACGAUACACCUGCUCCACUGACCUGUGGCUCUACCAUUUGUAGAGAAUAAAGAAGUCACAACACAAAGGAAAGCUUAAAAGAACAACUACUUGAUAAGGUGUUGCUAAGAGACAAUACAAAGUAAUACAGUAGUUAUUCCAGUAACACACCAGCUACGCUACGAAAGUGGAUGUAUAGGCCUCCUAUCCCAUACCCACUCCAAGUGAGCAUCCUAGUGGACCUGUUUAUUGGCGGUGAAGCAAGCAAACGUCUCAUUUUGUUCAUUGCGAGGUUAAGAAAGGGAGCCAAUCCACGGAGUCAUUUUUCUCUAUGAAUUGGAUAUUUCAUUUAGGUAAUGCCAAGGUUGAUUCACCGAACGGUAGGAAAAGGGUGCUAAAAGCCCCCAUUCCCCAAUUGAUUAACUGAUUAUGCCUAUGCUAAGAAAUUACUACUCUCUUUGGUCUUUCUCUAUCUUAUACUAAAGAAAGGCAAGAUUCUCAGUGAUACCGCUUGAAUAACGAUAAUAGGAGUGAAAAUAAAGAGAAAGCUUUAGCAACGGUAGGAAUUGGCUCGACUGGAAACUUGCUCAUCAGUAAAGUAAGAAGCAGAUAAUGAGAGAGUUAGGUAAAACCUAUCAGUUGGUAGCGCUAAUCUAUGAUGUUAAGAGGAGGAUAUGAACCCAGUGCAGUUCCCUCACAAAAAUCACGAAAAGCGCAUGAAACAAGGACAGAAUAGAACUCUUUGUAGCCAUACACUUAGGAAAGAGCCAAGACUUUGACAGCGCCUCUUCAUCCUAACUAAACUACCCUUUAAGAACCUGGGGUUGAGCCUACCUUAGCAGUAGGAUAAUAAGCAUCAACUCACUUCGGUUAAGAAAAAGCUGUUGCCGAGCUUCCUUAGCGCAAACACUAAGCAAGUAAACUACCUUUUUACUCUGAGGAUUUGGCAGGCGAGGACGCUCCGUUGAUUCAGAACCAACAAUAGUUGAUUUCAUACCUAGUUGUAUAGUUCUUUCUCUACUUACGCCGAUUCGUACGGUGUGAAAGCUUUCUCUUCUCCCUUUAUAUCAUUAGUAAGAGUUUGUAGGUAUGCUCCGCGGAAUGAAACCUUGUAUAGCUCAUUUUUAUUUUCUAGCCCCUGUGGCGGUAACUAUAUUCCAUCCAUCGAAAAGCUGGAGCCUUAGGCGAAGGUUGAGCCAAGCUACUUGUUCCCAUCCGUCCUACCAUGAACUCGAACCACUAAGAAGCGUCUCCUGCUCUGCUCGAUUGGCCCAGUCUCUCCAAUGGAGUACUUCUCCUUUCUAGACCAAAAAAUCCGAAUAGGUUACAGAGGAAGCCGAACAAGGUUCUCGUUCCACACACGAAUACCCCGGAAAACCUGGAAUAAAUUCUUUUAAAAAAUAGGUUCUCCCGUGCUAUUGCCAAUCCCCAUUCGUAUCUUUCAUUUUACUUUUUGUACUCUUAGCGUUGCAUAUAGAUGAAAUUUCUUGCUACGGAGAAUCAAAAUACAAAAACAAGGGCUUUGCCACCAAUGCCCGGAAGGAAUUCUUUAUUAGCACUUCCUGUCUUCGAAGCCAAGAAUGGGAAGUGUAUGCCGUGGCUCGGUAGUUCUCCUUCUGAUCCAAUGGUCUGCUUUGGGAAUAUCCAAGAUCCUAUGGUCGGGCUUAUCAGAGCUGUUAACUAACCUAAGUCAGAUGGUGGAGUCUGGGGCUUGACGGGCUGGAGUUAUGGAUGGACUUUAUGAUGGAAGAAGGGAGGUCAAGACAAAGAAGUGGUCCCUAUACCGGCUAGAUAUUCAAAAUGCCUUCCUACACGGAGAAAACAAUAAGGAAGUCUAUUUUUUACUUUCACAGAGCUUCACUAUUCCAGGGAAUACUCAUCUGGUAUGCAAACUAAAGAAGACCUUGUCUAAAGUCAGAACAUAAUUCGACUGGAACAACAGCUGGAGGCUUUACGAUCGAUUCAAAUUCAAAAAAAGGUUUCUUGCGCGUAUUAAUAUUCCAUUUUGAAAUGGAAAAUAGUGAGAGGUAAAACCUCACUAAUUGAUCUGCCUUGGCAUCAGACGUUUUAUCAUCCUUCUAUGAAACGCCAGGAUGCAUCGAGGGAUACCACUACGAAUAAGGGACACUGGAAAAAGAAUGGCGAGGGUCGUAUUAAAAUAACCUCCGCAGUGCCUCACACGGAACAAGACUUCAAAUAAAGACCCGUAUUUAACUAUUUCAAGUCAACAAUGAUAAUAGACAGGCUGAAAACAAGAUUCAACAAUUUCUAACUUAAAAUAGUUAGAGAAAGAAGUUACAGUCCUAUUCAUAUAGGCAGACCGACCCACUCAUAUUCCCCCUAUCUUUAGUCAGGAAUAGCGGUCUGAUAGAGCUCAUAUCCAUCCUUUGGAAAAAAACCGCUACUGUGCCUCAUUUUUCUAUUUUUUUCAUAGGUUGCCAGUUUUCGAAGCUCACUUUGCAGGUUAGAACUAUCGGAAGACGAAAGGGAAAUCAAAUAAAAAAGUGAAGUGAAAGGCAUAAGGAGAGCGAAGUAUGAGUGAGGCCCCCAGAUCUCACGAAUCAAGGGAUGAAACCGAACCACGGAAUGAACUCAACCAAUCACAAAGGACUGAUCGAUCGAAGACUGAGAAGUGCGAAUCAGAUGUUUUAAGCAUUGGUUGCGACAUCAAUUAGACUGGUCCAGGGAGCAAAGACUCCGGUUUGAUUUCGUCUUUCAACGAGUCGAACAAGGCAGCCCAGAGAGAGGCUACGAAAUAGUAAGGAAUGCGGGCGAGAAUAGAGCAAUCAUACCUCAUGCCACGGGGUGGGAGCGCUAGAAAAGCAUAGCUUCAUUACACCUUUCGGAACCAUAGGCUAGGUAAAGGCUCGUUUUCUACUUCGCUUGCUCUGACUUUCUCAAACAUGACUCUCAUUCUCAUAUCCGGCUCUAUAUUCAUGGAAGUGUGGAUAUAGUCCAUGUUCGACUGAACAACCAGUCUUAUCUUAGCUCUGCUAAGGCGACAUCUAAAUCACUACUGAUUAACCCCUGCUCUCUAUCUCAGCGCCAGGGCGAUCGGAGUUCCCGCCCUUUUUUUUCAGGAAUUUUUUACCAUGUGUAAGGAAUUCUCUCAAGUGUUAUCUACAGCUUCGAUAUUCAAGACAACUGAUUGUACCCAGAAAUAGAAUCUGAAUCCUAUAAGGAGCAGCCAGAUACAUCUGUCAAAGUACAAGAAUCGAACUUGAAUAGCUCCAGAAGGAUUACUAGAGCGUUGGCUCAUUCUUUUCGAACUUCUUCCAUUAUUUUGUUAGCCAUGAUUAAUAACCUCUUGUGGAAUAUCAGAGGCAUAGGCAACAUUAAAUCAAGAAGGAGGGUUGGCAAGCUUGUAAAGAUAUAUAAUAUAUCGUUGAUUGCUAUUCUUGAACCUCUUCACGAUGCUAAUAAGAUUCAGGAAUUCUCCAACCUGAGAAACCUUAGACCGGAGCUCAACGCCUGUGAGAUCGUUCGUGCCUCCAACCCUGGAGUCACUUCCCUUCCUUCUCUUUACGAAGCCUAAUCUGCUGAAUAAGGGGAAUUUUCUUUCUCUUGCUAGUUUACCAAAGCUGAUCAUAUGGCUUUCUUUUUCCCCAACUGGUACUCUGAAAGUGCCCUUUCAACCUUCAAUUGUUUCCUGUGCUAGCGGUUGAUGUGCUUUCCUUCCAGAUGGCUACGAACUUGCUUAGCCGUCUUCUUAUUCCUAGAAUCCUUAGCCUCUUCCUAAAGAAGGCCCCUCCCUAGUCCUUAUUCUCUAUUCCUUAUAAAAUGAAAGAUUCAUUCUUUAGCCAGAUCAACAUCCUUCUUCCUAUUACCUAUCUCCAAAUCAAGAUCCUAACAUGAUUUAAGCCAUAACUCUACUAUGGAAGUACUUAGUAAUCCUACUUCCUAUUCACUAUAUACUUCCUUCGUCAGCCUUCCUCUAUAGCUACCUUUGAAGGGAAAGCUGGCUAGACCAAGCCUAGUAAUUAAUUGAAUAAGAAGGAAAAAGGCCACUCAGGUCUAUAUCUAGAAAGGAGGCUGGAUUGGAAGAUUGAGAGACCCGGGACAGUGCAAGUUUGCAGAAAGGCUAGAGCAUUCCCUUCACUAAAAUAGAAUAGUAGGUAAGAUUCACUAGCUAGAAGUUUACUGAGAAGGGUAGAGUUUGUAGUAAUCGAUGAGAGAAUGGUAAUGCUAAAGGUAGGAAGAAAGAAGGCUCAUUAUAUGCUGACCACUUACUAUGGCUCUUCUCUCAUUUGAUUUUUGAAUAUGAUUUAAGCCAAGAUUAGGCUAUCGAUUGGAGGAAGAAAGAAUGCCUUUGUUGGUCACCAUCACCACCAUCGUGAACAUCGGUACACUUCUAAAUAAGGCCUACCUCCCUUCCAUUCAACCAGAGCAGCGAUGAGAAUAGAGACUCAAUUAGCUAAGCAAUGCAUCAACGGGAGGAUUCUGAAAACAUCUUCUCAUAUGACAUUCUACUUUGGUCAAGUCACUUAUGCCUAUUCCUUGAUAGGAGAGGGAAAAUCAUUAGGCCGGCCAGUACCAGAACGAUGAUGAAUAAGUCUGACGUGGGUAGGUAGGAAUCCGAGGAUGAAACUUCUGUUGAUGAAAGCAUUCAUACCAUCAUCUCUAUCCCUUGCUCAUUCUAGGCCAAGCUCUUCCCUUCUUAAAGUACUUUGCCUUCGGCAUCUCACUUGAAUUGGAGAAUGUAUUAAGCAUAGGAUCAUCCAGAGUCUGUAAAGUCUACCUCGCUUAGCUCAACCUUAUCCAUAGACGAUCUCUAUCUCUUCAUUGCUAUGGUACUCUUUGUAGUAGGUAACUUUCUAUACCAGAGCCACUUUACUAACCCUUAGCUUGUGUUUGAUACCUCAUGCCUUCACUUAAUCCAAAAGCUUGCUUCGUGUUCCAACUCAGCGAUAUGAAUACCAUCGUUAGCAAUAACUUCCCCUUCGCCUACAGUCCUUUCUUCACCUCCCCCUUUACUCUUCGUUUGUAUUCCUUGUUCCUUCCAUCUAAGCUCAAAGCUAGCUUCAUCGCUAACAUAAGGCUGAAUUGAAUUUCUUUCUAUAUAUUAUUAAAUAAAGAGUUCACCUAACAGUUCUUGCUUGAUGAGUUGUUGAGACAAUAUUGCUAGCCAACUCUACCUCGCUUUAGCUCAACCUUUCCCCCUUCUUAGUCAAGCUUGGACGCCCAAUCCAUUAUGUUGGACUUUACAUGCAAUUGCUCUACUGGAUAGGAGUAGGAAAGGCAGAAGUCUUGGAGAACUGCUUGUGAAUGGAGGGUUUAAUAGUCAGUUGACAAGGCUACUUUCGAGUGAGUAGGUUUAUUAGUGACUCUCAGUCAAUCAUUACUAAGGCGCAGGGAUUGCUCUAGGAUUGAUUGCACUUUAUAGCUAAGCUAGACAAUUCCAGAUUGAUUCUAAUUUCAUUGAUAGAACCCUGCUAGUUCAAUCCUCACUUUCCAUUCCUAGGGUUAUUGAAUACUUUACUUGCUUGCUAUUGCUAGUUCAAUCGUCAGCUCUUGCUUAGUCAUUGGACUAUAUCCAUUUGAGGGAAACUUUCUAAACACUACUGCAUUUCGGAAUUCAUCCUUUCCUUCGCCCGAUUCUCUCCCUCGUCCUAACGGUUCCUCAUCUCUCAUGUGGAUUGGAUUUGGCGACUGCUCUAUCUAUAGUUAGGGAUGAGCUGACGACCAUGCUACACCCGUGGGUCUGCUUUGAGAAUAGCCUACUGAGCGCCUGCCUUUGAAAGAUCCAUUCCUAUUUACCAGGAUCCUGGAACCAUUCCUUGAUUGAUUGAAAAUCACGAGUCGAAUUUUUCUCUACCUAUUCGACUAUCAAGCUCUUGACACCCUGUUUAGCCUAGCGCCCUCCUCCUCAGGUAAGACAUUCCAUAGAAAUCUUUCUGAUCCUCAAUUACAAUCAAUCAAUCAAUCAAGAGCUUUUACCAAGCAACACCGUAGUUGUUUGUGUAGGCAGAAUCUAGUUUCAAAUCAUAAGAUGACAAAAAGGUACCUAGGAGUUCGCAGGUAUGAUAGAGUCCGUUGAGCGAGAGCUCUUCUGUUUGACCAGUCGGUCUUUACUAGAAAAUUCUAGAAUAAAAAAGAGUGACUAUGAAAUAUGAAAUCGAAUUUCCUCGGAAUUGCUAGUAUGAGGUAAAAAAAAGUAGAAGGAAGGUCAAGGGAAGGAAUAGCCAUACGGUUUCGGGAAGCCGCUGGUGGUCUUUUCUGUUGUUGCUGUGAUCAAUGAAUACCGGGCUCAAGGCCAACCUCUCCACUCAGGGUCAGGAACGGGAUAAGAAGAAGUAGGACAGGCUCGAGGUCAAUUCUUUCUUUUAGGAGAGAUCCCACCCUACCCUUCUUUAGCGUUUCUUUUGAAUAGAAUAAGCCCCGGUGAAGCAAAUCAACAAAAUGACCUUCCAGAACGGAGAUUCAAGAAGAAUUGUUCCCCAUAAUAAAGAAAGCAAAAAUAUAUUAAGGUCGGAAUCUUGAUGCCUGCUGCUUGACAACAUUAGGCUUGCUGAAUAGUUAUACACCUAGCUGCGUACAAGAAACGUCUGCUUGUCUAUGAGAGAAGGACAAACUGGUCACCAAUCCGGGAGGAGAUACUCAUCCUAGGUAAAUUAAGAUGUUUAGACUGAUCAAAUAGCCAGCCGUUGGGAGUUGCUAAUGGUCAUGAAAGAAAAUGUAAAAUGGGUUGACUCAGGUUGUCCCUAAAAAGAACAGAUUAAAGGGUAAUAGUUCAACCUUCUGCGGGAUUCAGAGAUAUUUUAUUUAAACAGGGCCUGUAUCAGUUAUGGGGGUAGAAAGUCAAGGUUAGGGAUAUAAGCCUUAAAAACCAAAGCGCUUUAAAAAAGCCAUGUACCCGCAGAACGGUUUACCGUACUAGCUAGUCACAACUAGCCGCCUCUAAGGGAACGAACCCUUAUAUAAUUGAAAAAACUGGGUGAGGGAACAUUACAGGUUGCCUGAAAUGAGGGUGUACCUUCUGUUAACAUAUAUUCCCGCACAAAAGCAAUGAGUGACCCAACCGAUCAGGGUACGAAAUGGUACUAUGUCAACCAGGGCCUGGGCCGAUCGCUUGAGCUGCACCUAGCAGGGGCCUUUAUCACGUAAGGUACAAGUCUUAUACAAAAAAGAAGUGAUAGUAUAGGUAAUGGAACUAGUGAUAGCUUUGUUAUGAGCUUGUUCUAGUAAGGGCUCGCGAUCCCUUGCUUGUUUGAUUCCUUUCCUUUUAUUCAAUCUCUCUCUUCCCUUUUUCCUUUAGAACUCUACUGGUGAUUAAGGAAGAAAAACAAGCUCUUUUGUACCACUUCAAUCGCUAGCCUGUAAUCCAGCCUAGCAGACUAAAGCAAAGAAUCCUAGAUUUCCCAAAGCUUCGUUUAGGAGAGCCUAUGGAUCUCUUUAAAGUAAAGUACAAUAUCGACUUAAAUGAAACUAUAGCACAGAGGAAUGCUAGCGAGCGCUCAUAUGCAAGAACAGGAGCUCGGACUCUUGUUGUAGUUUGAGCCUUAGAAGGAAGCAAGCGAAGGGAUAGGAAAGCAAGGCAUCCUAUAAGCACAAAGGUAAUAGGCAGGCAGUUAAUCGAUUUCAGUAUUCAAGAUAUCUCCUGCCCUUUCAUACUCGUAGACUUCUAUAAUAGGCUUUCUCCUACGGUACUUGCCUAGGAGCGAGAACUCCAGUUCAAACGUUUCAAGUAUAGCAGAGGAAAGGUAGCGAUUAGUUGUUGACUUUUAUAGAAGCAAGGUAAUGCAAUUAAGAUCAGAGUCAAGCCUGGAAGCCAGAGAGUGAAGAGAAGUUCUGAAAGAAAAGACAUUCACAGCUAUCUCAUAUAGGAGAGUGCGUAUAGUUUUGGACAUCUAUUGACUUUCCUGAAUUCCUUAAAGGAAUUCAGUAAUGGUUAAGUCAAACAUAGCAGUCUUAAGCAAAUUGGUAGUAGCAGUACUGGUAAGCAAUUAAGAGCUUCACUUUGCAUGACGGUCUUCAGUCUAGCAUUCUUGUAGUUCAAGAGUGAAUAAGGAAGUGCAAGGCAGCAAUCAUCUGUAGCGGGCUAGCUCAUUGAAUCGAUAUCUGUAUUUGUAUACAUAUAAGAGAUGCUUUUUGCUUUGUCUUUUCAUUUUAAGUCGGAUCUACAAUGUAUUGGUAAGGAUCACUCCCCUGCCUCUUUGGAGGGCUGACAGUUGCUUGCUUGUGUACCUAUUCCUUCUGGCUUUCCUGCUAGAUAUCCUAUUAUACCGAUUGCUUCUUUGUGUUCCUGUUGCCUGCCUUUCCUAUUGCUUUCGAUUGCGUGCUUUCCUUCAUUUGUGUCUGACCAGAGGAGAUAGUUACCAGCGACAAGAGGGGAGUAAGACUAAGAAGACGUUCCCCUAGUGCCUCCAUAAAGCGAAGCACUAGACUCACUAUAUAGGAGAACACCUAAAGGAAUUAUUCCUGCUUCAGUCAAAUUCAAUGCAUUAUUUCAUUGCCUGUGUAUCAAGCUUCAAAUCGCCACUUUUCACUUUAAUGUAUGAUGUGGGUGCAUAACAUGCAGAUUUCUGUCCAGAACAUAAAAAGAAUCUAAGAGUUGAGAAGCAACUUAGCGUUCAACCGUUACCUCUGACUCGACCUCUGCACCUUCCACCGUCUUUGCGGUUAAUUACAGGUGUAUGGCAUUUGUUGUUGAUAAUGCUUUUUUUUCUCGAAUGUAGGUACGAAACCAGGAAACUCGCCUUAAUUUUUAAAUAAAGCGGAAACAAACAUGUGGGAUAAGUCAACAAAUCACAUCAUAUAUCGGAUAUCGCAUCGGAAAGAGAUAUUUAUUCUCCCUUCCGGGCAAGUCCUGAGGAACAUCGACUUGAUAGUCUUUAUCCCCACUAGGUAAGUGGGAAUCUGAUUUAUUGAUUAGAUUGAACCUAGCGGGUAGCGCGCUACUUCAAAGCUUGCUCAACCGCGAAAGGCUAGCUUCAGAUUCUUCCCAUUCUCUUCCCCCAAAAAAGGAGAGAGAUGCCCCGUCCCUUCUUUAUGCACAUCCAUAUACAUAGCCAGACACAAAGGUGUACAAUCCGAUCAAAAUCUGUGGUUCGUUCAUUCACUGUAGGUUCUCUUACUUGCUCUAGUGGCUGGCAAAGGCCAACCGAGAGGGGUGAACGAAUGGCUCAGGAAUCGAUCGGUUCCGAGCAGACUCGUGGAGUUGCAGUUUGGAUUCUCGUAGAAUAAGAGGAGCCAUAUAAGGAAAUGACUUCACUUAAAAGACAGAUGUCGCCGCUACGAGGCGAGGGAGCAACUUGUCUGGUCUUGCGGUGCACUCAUUCCCGUUACGAGAAUGAAAUGACGCCCCAGCUUGACUCGAGACCAAGACUCCUUACAACUCGCACCAAUAGCGGCACUAAGCGGUCAGAGAUUUCUUGAAAAGGCAGCCCCCCAUAGCCACCUACCUGCUUGUUUUCGUAGCUCGAUCGGAGGUUAAGACUUUGGUCCGGCGGAAAAACAGAAGUCGUCUGUAUCAAGUGAUACGUGAAUUGCUUAGUAGUGCUUCGCCACUACCGUAGCUGGAGGAAAUAGCUUAAUGGUAGAGCAUAGCCUUGCCAAGGCUGAGGUUGAGGGUUAAAGUCCCUCCUUCCGCUCCUGGCUUCGUCGUUUAGUGGUAACGAGUGGAGUGCAGAAGCCCCUUUAGAGAGAGGGGUGAGCAGCAAGCAGCCCCUUGUAUUGGGUUCCAAACCUAUCUUACUAAUAACAUAGAAAGGGGCAAGCCAAAACCUACUCCUAACAAGUUGCUGGCUUUUCAUCAGCCGUUGUGCGCUUCUAUUUUUUAGCAGGCUUCUUCAAAUAUCCCAUAAAUGAAGUAGGGGCUAUAACUAUAAGUAUAAGUAGCUAGCUAGCGCGCUAGCAUUUUCCCUUACUAGUAAAGGGGCUGCUAGUUGUAGCGCAUAGUGUACUAGUGAAUAGGAAAGGCGAAUUGAGAUUACUAAUGACGGAUGGAGGUUGAGGAUAGAACAUGUUUGGUGCCUCGCCCUUGUCUCCUUUGCCGGAGACUGCAAAUGAUGGGAAUCCUAUCAAUAAAGAAGAGGCAUAAGCAUCGCCUCUCGAUCCAAUCCGUCUUCCCUGGCCUCCCCAACACACUCUGGAUACGAAAGAAACCUCCCGCCAUAGAGAAGAGAUCUAAAGUCUGGGUCCCCUCGAUCACCCUCCCUUGAACCUGAACAGGUCGAGAGAGAUGAACCCGCACCAAAUUUUAUAACCUUCAAACCGAAACCCCCAACUAGAGAUGGAAUUCAAGAACCUAAACAACUCAGUUGAGAGCUCCGUGACUGGUUCAAGGGAAGGUCCACCAAUGAUUGAUAGGCCAUUCCCCCCUAUCCGUCUCUUGAUCCCUCAUUCCACUAAUCCGUUGUUACUGAUUCAUUAAAGGCAUAGACUCCCCAUUUUUUUGUCUUAUUAGCGUAGGUGUUCGUCAACGAUGAAAGCCGCUGAACUUAAGACUCGAGUUGAGAAAGAGGGCUAGGCCCCCGGGAGGGCUUUCAGGGACUAGGGAGGGUGGAUUAUAGAGCUAGGGGCAAAUCGAAGGUUUUUCCAUUGGGAUUGGGCAUGGACGAGCCUCGACUGGGCCAGCAUUGAUGAAAAAAUGAAAAAUUCUCCCAUCGCAUAAUUAAUCGGUGUAGGAUUAAAGAUCAGGUCCAGGAUUCGAGUCAAAUCUACCUUCCCUCUCAUCUCAGGGUGAGGCAAGGAAUUCAAUCAAAUCUUUUAUGCCAUCCCAAACAAAAUGAAUUACUAUCUUUGGAAAGGAAGGAAUGCAGGGAACAACUCUUUCCUUUCCGCUGGUUCUUGAAAGCUAUCAAUCCCCGCUUCUCCCCCCCUCUCGCAUCAGUUCUGCAUCAGAUGAUGAGCCCAUGUGCAAACUUUUUCUUUUAUUGGCCCCCGAUAGGUAGGCUAGUAGAUUGAGUCGAAAUCCUACCAACGCAUAAAGGUUCCGAUUCGAGCGAGAGCCCAAACGGGGGAGGCGAGAACAUCUUGAUCGAAAGCUCCACUGUUCUGAAUAGUGAGAAAGACUUUUCAAAAUUAGAUCAAAUCGAUCGAGAAUAUCAUCAUCUGUUAGGUGGGCCAACCGACCGACCGAGUUGGGAUGGGCGUCCAUGUCACAGAACCUUUCUCUAGCCAAAAAUCCAAUUAUUUACCGAAUCGGGGAAUUCAUUGGCAAAUGAAAAAUCUACCGUUUUAACACUCAGAAAAACCUAGAAAAGAGGAAGAGUCACUAAGACAAGAGCUAGGUAAGCAAGCAAGAAGGAGAGACUAGAAAAGGGGAGGCAAAGGGCUCUCCAUCUCUAGGAAGAUUGUGUCCAGGAUCUGGUAAUCUAAGCCUUGCUUCUUCUGGUCGGCUCGUAUUAGCCUGUGCUUUAAUCUUAAGUCGCGGUCAUGUCUCACCCCCCCAGUAUAGUGACUGGUUCCAUCUUUUUCCCGAAUUUCAUCAGUUCUAGGCUCAAGUGCCUGUUCAUCCAUCUUCAUUCCAAAGGCGAACAUCUCCAUUGAGUGGCUGUAACUGCUAUGGUUUACAGUCAAUAGUUCUUAACCAACCCUUUCUUAUUAUGUCUUUCUUUUUGAAGGGCUUGCGGUUCAUUACACCAAAGGCUUUCAGUGAACUAUUGAAGCUAUCGAGAGAGUACCAAAUGCUGACGGUGACAAAGGUUGAGUGUUAACGAUCCUGUUACAUGAAUGGUUAUGAGCACAUGAGAAGCGAGGCAGCUUUGACCCACCGAUCCAUUCCAACUGCAGCUUUUGCAGCAAGUCACUGAGAAAGAGGGGUUUAAUGAUCUUGGAGUGGGCAAAUGAUUCGCCAUACUACUUUUAUUAGAAUUAAGAGCAAUAUUCAUUAGAUUUCCAGUCCUCCUCUCCAACCGCAGCUUUUGAAUCAUACGUGGAGAGGGGAUGUCUUGAAUGAAUGGGAUACAUAAUAGUAGAUGACUAGUUCCGAUCACCUGGAAGGUGGGAUCGUUCUCUCAUUUCCCUCACCCCAAUAGGUGAGCAGGAUUGCUAUUCAAGUACCUAACAUGUUGUCAUUUCAAAUGGGUGGGACAUAGAGACAGAGGUGGAAGUGAGGUACGAACAACAUUCGUAUCUCCGGUUGGACCAAUGCUCUACCAGCUGAGCCACACACCCUUUGAAUGAGUGUUUUAAGCGACCUUGUUCAUUUCGGGUCUCGUCGUAGUUCGAAUCAAUCCGUCGUAGAAUGUUGCAAUUCAUUACUCCCUUGGUACCGAGGAGGCUUAUUUCUGAAGAUGCAUGGAUAUGACGGGACUCUAGAACACCAUAGUUUCCCCAUCCCCGGGAGCAGAUCAACUUGAAUACCCACUCUUUUCGUAAUUCCAGUAGGCAUCAUCCGUUAGCAGAUACCUAGUCCUAGUUGGAUGGAUAGAAGUAAAGAAUAGCUCCCGUAUAUUAUCGCGAUUCAAGGUUUCUGUUCAAAAACACGCUUUGUUCAUGAGAUUUGAACAUGCUCUAGAGCGGAAAAGGUUGGGCUUUUGCAGCCUCUACUAAACAGAAUUAUAAUCAGGGCCAACAGACAUAAAUAAGAUGUCGAAUUGCAUAGAUUAUUCAACAUUUCUCCUCCCUUCUCGCUUUCUUUCCUUUAUCAUUAGUCUUGGGGUCUCCCUCUAAUAAAAUAGAAUCUCCUUCGAUGAAGAAUCAAGUGACUUGUGAAAAGCAUACUUAUAACUGAUCUACCCUUCUGGAUCCUCAAUCCCCACCUCGCAGUUAGCUUCAUAUCCUUUUUUACUGAACUCUAGCUUGUGUCGUAGAUGACCUUCCCACUUGUGUGAGAGGAAACUCUCGAUUGAGACCCGUCCAUUGCUUGUCCUACCCGGGUUCCCCGACAGAACGAUGAGGGUGAACAAAGCGAACCUAACUAGGAUGAGUGGUUGAUUCGAGAAUCUGGGCUUUACAUCAUAGUUGAAUGCCCCCAACGGAAGCCCCUUGUUAGGACGAAGAUCUUUGCUCUUAUCUUACUUACGCAAUUCCUGACUCCGGCAGUAAGUGAAGGCAGUCGGUAGCCCGAUCGAAGGCCUAUUUCAUUCAACGAGGCGCCGCUAAUCUGCUUUUCAUUACUUACGAUACCUAAUUCUCCCAUUACAAAAAAAAGAAAGGAAGACAACAACCCGUAGCGCCCUCGUCGCGGCGUUAGUAACCAUUGACAUUGACGAUGUGAUGUAUUGAAGACUAAGCGAGCCAGCCUAGAACGGAGCACAUGCUACUUUUCUUCGAAAUUGCGAACACCUUACCUUUUUCUUAGUCUGAUCCAGACACUCCAGACCUCGGUUCUUGGCUUUGAUCCAAUUCCGAAGCUCGUUUACUCACUAACCGAUGUCAUUUUUAAUUGACUUAGUUAGAAAAGUAUAGAGAUAUCGUAUCGCCUUAAACAAGCGACAGGAAAUGGAGCUUACCGCGCUGAGGAGGCCUCUUCCCUCCGUUGGGAUGAGCUGGUCAAGAUGUGGUGUCUAGUCACUCACAUUGGUGAGGGCUGCCCUAUGCCACCUGUCUUUACCCUGGUACUACUGCUUUAGCAAAGCUAACGGUAGGUCAAAGAGGUCCGGGACUAUCCUUCUUUUCAUUGGCUGGAGAAAGCCUUGCAUUUACAUAACUAUGUCCUUUAGUUGCAUGUUCAACCUAAGCAAGACCCUACUCGCUGCUUUAUCCAUCAUCCAAUCCACAUCCACAAAAAAUCGGAUAAAAGCCUGAUACUUCUCACCUACUCAAAUGAGAUUGAAAACUAACAUUCCGUAGAAUCGGAAAUUCGAAGAGCGCAGAAGGUAAGUUCGGUGGUAAGAUCUGAAGGGUAGAUUUACGGGAAACCUCAGAGGAUGAGGAAAUAAGAGCUGGAAACUGCCAUCCCUAUAUCUUCCAUUCAAUUCCGUGUCCUGAGCUUUCGAGCUUUAUCUCCCAACCAGGCUCUCUUAUAUAGGUAUUACGUCCCUGUAUCCUUCACUGGGAAUCUGUUACUGGCUUCUAUCGCCUGUUUGCUGUCCGGUUAUAUCGGCAACAUUGUAAGUGAAAACAAAUGAUAGUGUAUUGCCCCAGACAUUAAACUUCCCAUCUAAGUCCCUGUCUUUUUCCCUGGGCUCGAUCCCUAAAACUGGUAGCUGUCUCCUUCUCCCUCUAUCCCAAUCUGCCUUCCUCUCAAUUGAUCUCUGCCGCCCCCUUGACCUAUAAAUUUAUAUAUGCUAUCUAUAUCUUUCUCAGCUGGAAGUCUUUAACCAUAACCAGUCCCUCAAUUCAAGAUGUUAAUCCCAGCAAUCAAGCAAUCGAAUAAAGCCGGCCUUACUCAACAAGCACCUAACUCACUCCUUCGGAAGGCAAUCCCAGCAGCAGUAAGUGAAUCCAUCUAUUAAACCCCCUUAACUAAUGGAUGCUUAAGAAAGCGGAACCAAGCCAGCUAUUGGUCAAUAUGGAGAUUUAUUCUAAGCCAGCAAUCCAGUCUAAGCCAGUGAGUCAUAUAAAUCUUACCAAUCGAAUCAAAGCAAUUGAGCCAAUCGGAGCCGGCACUUUGUAGAUAAAGCCUUUCGAUCCCCUUCCUCAAUCUCUCGUUCAAUCGGAGCUUCUCGUGGCAACCUCUCUUCCUGCCUUUACAAUGCAUAUAAAGAGUGAGCUCAUAUUCGAAACCCCCCGAGGGGGACUUAGAAGAGGGAAGCCCUUAGACCAUUCCUUUGGAAUCGAGGGCAGGGAAAGUAGAAUGCCUUAUGAAAGUCAGAGUUAGAGAAGGAAGGCAAUGAAUGCUAGUCCUACUACUCAAGAGGAACAGCAAUAGGAGAGGAGCAGCCUGUCUUAUGAGCUUUCAGGAAUACUACUAGAGAAUCUGAACCUUAGAGCUACCUUCUUACACUUCCAGUUAGGCUUAGGCAAGGAAGGGGAAAUACAUUCAAUUAGCUAGGUGGGAACGUCCAGGGGGACCUGCCGGGCUAAGAGCAGAGAGGAACUAACCUUCCGCUUUCACUGGCCUUAUUCCACUCACAGUAAGUUAAGGGUUCGGAUGGAAAACCUAGCUUGUGCUAACCCUACAGGCAAGUAGCAAGAAAGAGCACAGAGGAACGAUAUCCAUAUCCAUUUCUUUCAUUCCUCGCUAUCAAUCAAUAGAAGAAAGAAUGGAAGGCAGGACCAGGACUGUCAGAGGGAUGAGACCUAUCUAUGACAAUCAUCACUAGAUGAGGGAGGGAAUCCAAAAGGCUGCCUACUAUCCGGACUGGACUCACUCAGGACUUCCAUCUAGAGAUAUAGAAUUGAAAGAAGGAAAAAGUCCUUCGGACCCUGCCUUUAUAGUAAGUAGCUACAUUCCUUGCCUCUCGGAUAGGCCUUUGAGGUUCCUCUAGUUAUCUUCUUGAAUCACUCUAAGCAUAAGACCUUGAAUUGCAUCUUUGUCUUCUCUCUAUGGAUAGAGCAAUAAAUAAGGAAUGCAUUAUAAGAAAGAGGAUGUAGCCCUUUCCUUCCUUACUGUACUUGUAGUUGAGUAAGGACUUUAAGCUUAUAGUUUUCAGUAGUAUACAAAAUGUAUGGUUGAUAGGGCUCUUACCUCCUCAAUGUUUAUAAAAGAAUCCUACCUGAAGGAGAGUGCAUCGAAGUGACUCAACCGAUAGGUUGAGGAGCGUAACGUCUACUAGUUGGCUUUCCUGUAAUCAAAUAUUGCUUCUAUCGGGAGCCGCAUAGAUAGGCACGAUAGAAGGAAAAAAAGGACUUGGCUUUAGUCUUUUUUGAUUUUAUACUACAAGUCAUAGAAGUCAGAUCAUGCAGACGCAAGAGCGUCAGUCUGCCUUUACUUAAUAGGGCUGAAUCUAACCUACAAGAAAUGGAUUGUUGAGAAGAACCAUUUCAUGAGACAAGUUCAGUCUGUUGCGUCUACUAGUCCCAUCAUCGUCGGCUAGUAACAUAGCGUGGAAAAAGAACCUAGUAUGGGCAAUCCAGCUUAGUAACAUACAAAAGCUAGCUCCAUGGGAGAAACUUCCUCACAUACUGGAUAGGUGGACCAGUACUCACUUGAGGAAGACUUUCAAGACUUGGUUUGGUUCAUCAUCUUGGAUCAGGACCGAACACUAGCAACCUACUCAGGGAAAGAAUCGGUUAUGUAAGAAAUUGGUUGGGGGCUAAGAUAGGUUGAUACUCUGAACAAUAAACAAAAGAAAUAUUCAAUACCAACCUUUUGUUGUACACAAUCAAUUGUGGAGCUCCUACUCUGGCAAGUCCUAUUUACCUCGCCCUACACGGCCUCUUAGGGGCCCAAAAGAACUCCUAUUUUUUGAAGGAAAUGUGCGGCUACUCCUUCUCGUGAAAGGUCCCUUCUUGGAAAGUUCCCGAAGGAAGAGAGCAAUCCUUGUACUAAUUAAAUACAAAUACGGCCUCUUAGGUGCCCAAAAGAAAUAAAAAGGCAGUUCAUGCACUGAAGGUAUCCAUCUUAUUUCCAUAAACAUAAUAACUCCCCCGGGGAGAAUUCCUCACAUACUGGAAAGCACAGGGCAUUGUCCUGCCAUUAAUUACCCGAGGGAAAUCUUUCAUCUUUGAAUGGUUAGCCCGAAAAGCCAGAUCGGGAUAUCCGCGCUUACCUCAAUGGCGGGGUUCAAGAACCAUUAUUUACUUAGAUUGGUAGGGAAGAACAAACCAGGAGACAAUGACUUUCGGGGUUAGCGGGCUUACCUCAUGGAAUGGCCUCAGAGUGAACGGGGGUACCUCAAUGAGAGUAGACCCUCUUGCACGUGGAAUUCCUCAAAGACAGGAGAGGGAAGACCAGAGACUUUUCCAUUAAUAUAGAAGAAAGCCGAAGGGAAGUUCGGAAAAGCCUAGCAGACGGGACUAUCAACCCCUUUCUAUUAAGACCUCGGCACCUUCCUUACCCCCCUACGAAACAUUUACACCUAUUUUGAAAAGGAAAGCUCCCAGGUUCCACAUCUUAAAGAAGUGCAUGACCAGAUUGGAAGCACUGAGGUUCAUUCGCAAUGGGCCAACUCACCCAGCCAUGAUGUAUGACAGAAGAGAGUGAGCACAAAAAGGAGUUUCCCUCUUGGGUGAGGCUCACAGAAUCUUUUUCAAGACUUUCUAUCCUACGUUGAACUUUCUCUAUAUGACCUUAGUUUGGAAUGUACUUGAAAGCCUUUUCUGGCUCCUUUUUCAUAACAUAAUACUGAUUGAUAUACUUCAACAUUGGGUUGUACCUUCCUCAGGUGUCAAAUGUCCUAUCUUCUUGGGGGGCGGGGCAGCGGACGCGGUUUUCAUGUUGGGACCAGGGCCCUCCGGUUCCACCGGGAUCUUGACCGGGGCAUCCUCUUCUACUUCGGCCCCCGAGGUUUUGGUUUUACCAGAGGGUGAAGUAGACCAAGAGACUAUUUGGAACACUAUGGAGGACAAAAAAAGAAUUAGAUCAGUGGAGCAGCAGUCUAAGAGACGAGAGGCUCAAAUCGAGAAAAUUCUUCAUAAAAGAAAAACCCUUCAUAAAAGUGGCCAACUCCCGCUGAAUAGUAGAAACCCGGAAGAAGAUAUCACUCGAGGCGUGAAACUCUUCUUUUCUGAUCUUUUUUAAAAUUUCACGAAAACCGUGCCCGUCUUUCCAAUGUAGGAAAUGAACGAAGCUCUCUUUGGAAGGAACUGAAAACCCUCAUAGAAGAUGAUUAGGUUAGACAUUGCUCUAUACGCCGGGUUGUAAAUGAAUGACAUAGCGUUCUUGACGUACUGGAGUUAUAACAUUUGAAUUUCUCUGACAUUCUACAUUCCCGAAACGGAUCCUAUCAAAUAUUUUACAUUUUCUAUGAUCAUCUCUAUUUCAGGUAUUCGGGGAAUCCUCCUUAAUAGACGAAAUAUUCCUAUUAUGUCAAUGCCAAUUGAAUCAAUGUUAUUAGCUGUGAAUUUGAACUUUUUGGUAUUUUCUGUUUCUUCGGAUGAUAUGAUGGGUCAAUCAUUUGCUUCAUUGGUUCCAACGGUGGCAGCCGCGGAAUCUGCUAUUGGGUUAGCCAUUUUCGUUAUUACUUUCCGAGUCCAAGGGACUAUUGCUGUAGAAUCUAUUAAUAGCAUUCAAGGUUAAACAUGACUCCUAGAGAGUUACCAAAAUACGAAGUUAUCUUCUCCUUUCGUUCUCUUAUGUCUUUUUUAUUUUGACUUGGUUGGCAGGGUCAGGGCCUUUCUCGCUCGACGAGCGCAUCCGAUUCUAAAGUCCUUUCCUAAACCACUUCCAGUUCAGUUGCUGAAAGAUAGAGAUAAUGCUUUCCAAAUGAAAUUGAGUUCCACGAAUAUGCAGGCUAGAAAGAUGCUAUUUGCUGCUAUUCCAUCUAUUUCUGCAUCAAGUUCGAAGAAGAUCUCAAUCUAUAAUGAAGAAAUGAUAGUAGCUCGUUUUAUAAGCUUUAUCAUAUUCAGUCAGAAGAGUUUAGGUAAUACUUUCCAAGUGACUCUCGACGGGAGAAUCCAGGCUAUUCAGGAAGAAUCGCAGCAAUUCCCCAAUCCUAACGAAGUAGUACCUCCGGAAUCCAAUGAACAACAACGAUUACUUAGGAUCAGCUUGCGAAUUUGUGGCACCGUAGUAGAAUCAUUACCAAUGGCACGAUGUGCACCUAAGUGCGAAAAGACAGUGUAAGGUUUGUUAUGUCGAAACCUAAAUGUUAAGUCAGCAACACUUCCAAAUGCCACUUCUUCCCGUCGCUUCCAUCUUCAGGACAAUCUAGUCACAGGUUUUCACUUCUCAGUGAGUGAAAGAUUUGUCCCCGGGUCUACGUUGAAAGCUUUUAUAGUAGAACUCAUUCGAGAGGGCUUGGUGGUCUUAAGAAUGGUUCGGGUGGGGGCUUUCUCUUAAGAAUAAAGAAGACGAAUAGAAUCUAAUUCAUGUUUAUGCUAACAGAAGAGCGGAUCCAAUACCAAGACGACUUCUUUCUCAGGAAGUGCAGCAAGUACUUGAGGAAUUUUGGGAUUUCAUGCCCCACGAGUGAGUUGCCAAGUGCCCCCUAGGAGGGCAGUCUACCACAAGAUCGAGUUGGAGCCUGGAGCCAAAGCCCCUUAACUUACUUAGACUGGGGCUGGGUUUAGCAGAUGGCCCCCCCAACUAGCAUCUAUUAGUGGCGGGGCUUGGUUGAGCUCAGGAAAGAAUUUCAGGAACUCAUUGAGGCCUAUUUCUAUUCCAGCCUCCAAGGCAGUUUUUCCCUAUCUUGCUGGGGAAAAGGUUGGGGAGCCCCUGUUUUAUUCCAGAAAAAGCGGGAGCCUUGUGCAUUGAUUAUCGGGCGCUCAACAAGGUAACCUAACCAUCAAGAACAAGUAUCCACUUUGAUUGCAGACUUCUUCGCCCUAAUCAAUAAGCGCGAGAUACUUCUCGAAGUUGGAUCUACGGUCGGGCUACUAUCAGGUGCGUAUCGCGGAAGGAGACGAGCCAAAGACGACCUGUGUGACAAGCAAAUAACCUUACUAAUAAAGGGGCCUUUGAUGAUUUGGUUAUGCCUUUUGGACUCACCAAUGCCCCUGCCAUAUUCUGCACCCUCCACAAUGAGCUAUUCUACCCGUACUUAGACGACUGGUUGUAUACUUUGAUCGUGGGCUAUAGCCAUUUGUUAAACGACCACGUUAGCCACCUCCGGGCCGUUUUUAAGGAUGAAUAACCUCUAUGUAAAGAAAGAGAAAUCCUCCUUUGGACAGACGGAGAUCCUAUUCCUACGGCAUUGGAUGGGCAUCAGAGCCAUCGAGGAGUGGCAAGCACUUGUGAGCUAAGAACGUUUUUAGGGCUCGUAAACUAUUACCAAAGAUUCAUCGUAAGUUACUCGAAGAGGGCUGCUCAACUCAAAAAUAUCCUAAAGAAGGACGUACGGACCGAUCAUGGCACUGCACUUUUAGGAAGAGUGUCAAAAGGUAAAGGACCAAAAGCAGGCAGUGAUUGAUGACCCCGUAUUGCAGUUGCCAGAUUACACUAAGAAAUUUGAAGUACACACGAAUGGGUCAGACUGUGCCAUAGGCGCUCUUUCAUUUAGCUACUCUUCAUUCUUUUACCCUAAAGGGUCGGUCAAGCCGUAACAAGCCUAGCAGAGUCAAUCAAAUCGAGGUGCAAUACCUGGAUCUCAUAAUGGGGAUUUCCAUCCAAGAGUUGAGGUCUGACGCAGAACACAGUCUAUAUCGGGUUAAUCUAGGUGCUACCAGUUCUUCAGUCUAGAACGAGCGAAUAGACGGUAGUAAUUCUUUCGGUCUUACUGUCAAAUCCAGUGCCAUUUGAGGGGGGAGAAAUGUUGCAAUUAGAACUGAGAAUAUAGUGAGACCAGCGAGUAGGAUAAGGGAAAAAGUGGAUCAACAAGCAGGAAUGGGCCCCCUAUAGGUGAUUUUUGAUCUCGACCUGGACAGGCGCGGAUCCUGUUCCAUAGCACACGGCAUCCCUUCCAGUCUCUGUAGACGUUCCAUAUACGGAUCCCAUUUUAGUUGGAAACCUAGAGCCCUUAGUAGCGGACACAGCUGCAGAUUUAGUGGCCACGGCAGGCGCAGGAGCAAUUCCCUUCUUAUCAGAGACCACCUGUUCAGAAGCGAUCUUCCUUUAACUACCACCUGGUCAAGAAGAAUCAUCAGGAUCACCCAGUCAAUAACCAUACCCAUCAAGGUAAAGUUCACACAUUCAAGGAACAUCAAUUGCACUCCGCUCCACGGCAUUUAUAAGGUGGUCCCUGACCUUCACUUGCAUGCGCAACAACAUCCUAUAGCCUAUCAUACACCGCUCAUGGAACAAAAUAAGACUCAUCGAGACCCUCAGCCUGGAUAUGUACUGGGACUCGAAUCUGUUUUAGUGGGGCGCGUUAACCAGAAGAUUAAGCGCGGCAUGAGCAAUAACAUGAAAAGAAGCACGUCAGGUAAGGGUAUCAAGAGAGACCGUGGGAAGGUUGCCCUUUACGCCAGUCAUUAAGGAUCUGUUCCAACGUCGAUUAGGAUCAAAGGCAAAUACCCUAUGAGAGCUUAAGGCUAGAUUCUUUGCCACCGUAUACAAGAUUCUAAGUGGAAGAUUAUGAGCCACUGGCGAAGGCUUGAUAACGAGGGUAAAUAAACGAGCUCGAUUGUGGAAGGGAAUGGUAGCAAAAUGCUUCCUCUCCUUAAACUAGGAUCCCCUUUGCAAACUGACUCAGCCUUAGGUGUCAUCCCUAAAAACUGGUAUAGGGGCGGCCAUAUAGAUAGAGAGUAGACAGCAAAAACAGGAGCUUCCAAUAGUGGAUCUGCAAUAUAGGAAUAUGCAUAAACUGUAGCUCAAAAGAGCUUAUCUCCCCACUUCCCUCCAUUCCCCCUGGCACACACACGCCUAUAUAAGACGAACGACGGGGUUCAGACUGGGAGCUUCCGUCCUUAAACCAGUCAAAUUUUUAUUCUUUUUGUACACGAGAUCCAUAGAUAGAUAGGCACAUAGUAAAGAAAAGCAGAGACCGUAAACUAAUAGUAGGAUCUGUUGCUGGUUCUGAUCUAACUUACUCUAAAUAUCCAACAAGGGGGGUUAGUGAGUUUAAGAGGUCCAGAGGAAGGAAAACCCAUAGUUUCCAAUGAAUCUAAACAUCUAAUCAUGGAAUGUGAGAGGUCUGGGUAACCGUAGGGAGGGGAAGAUGGCUAGCUUCUUUUCAGUUUAGCUUGGCUUUUCAGCCAAAAGCGUUUUCAAUGCGCUUUAGAGCACAGUAAGUACCACCUAAUAUUUAACUUUUAGGAUUGACUAUUCUAAUUUAGAAAGGUGAAGGGAGCCAAACACGUAGUACCAUUGUGUAAGUUGGCACCCCCUUACUUCAUUGUAUGCAACGAAAUUCAUUGUUCAGAUCAAGGCGCAUCUGUCUUAGGUACCCCCCUUAAAAUAUAUAUCAUAUAUGCACCGCUGCUGAUCCUUUGUCCCUUUCUAAAUCCAGCUUCAACCGAGCAUACGUCUGCCGCGAGAACAGGAAGAACGGAAAAUUUACUUUUCUCGUAAGUGAUGCUCGAAAUCACUAAUGUACGGAAGUAGACUAGAAUCUCGGAACCAAGCUCAAGGCGGCACGUUCCGGUACUGCCCAUACAAUCUUGUCCAGUAAGCUGCUAGAAAGAUCAAGUGCAAUUGAUUGGUAGAGAAAAUACCUUAAAUUGCUGAUCGGGUACCUUCAGACCAUAUCUGAUCAUCUCGCUCGGGCUUAGAAGAAGGUUAAAGAAUAUAUGACUGGUUGAUCCGAAGAUGGUCAGUCCUAAACCGGUAAGUCAUCAUCCAAGUCUUGGGAGUUGGAAGAGGCGAAAAAGGCAAGUCAAGUCAUCUUCUUAAGAUAAUAUUCGACAUCUCCGGCUGUUGAUUCCGAUGCGUCUCUUUCUUCAUCUAUUUUUGACUUUUUGCCAAGUAGUUACUAUACCUCCUCUCACUUUACCUUGCUCAGUGCCCUCUUCAAUGCUCAGGCUCAGACGUAGAAAACCUUAUUUCAGGCGUCGUCUGGCUGCAAGCGCUUUAGCUAAGCAAUCCAGUCCAGAGGGUGCAGGCGAGCGGCAGAGGAAUGGGUUGGCCAAUGCCUAUUGAGAAUACCCAUGACUUUUACCAGUACCAGCAGGCUUGUUGAAAUUGUUUAGUUCCGUUUACGUCUUGGUUGACUCACUCUGGGUCUCCCAAGGCAGGCUAAUUACAAAUGUAGUAGGAUGGAUAAGGGUCUCAUUAUGAAGAGAAAGCCUUUCUUUAUAGUCAAAAAGAAAUCAGUAAAGGUGACAAAGUAGAAGAAUAAGAUGAGCGAGGAAGACGAAGACACGGAAGGGCACGAAUAGGAGAAACGACACUAACAUCGGGGCAGCAUCAUUACAUUAGCCCAACAAGAGGCGAGCUAGUAGAUCGGAGGUGAAAUAUGUUAUAUUUUCCACUUGAGACGUAUAGUUGAUCGACGGGCUACUGUUAAGAAGGUGUCAGUGAGGAACUCCCACAAGCGAGUGGUCGGUCGAUGAUGAUCUCCAAUGGAGAGAUUACUACAUAUAAUAAUAAUAAUAAAGAAUUCGAUGUUUCUAUAUAAGUGGUUUCCAUAUAGGAGGUGGUAGUCGGAGAGUGUAGCUAGGCUUGCUUCGCCGAUUAAUUUAUAACGGAGCCCUCCCUCGGCUACUGAGAGGAUAGAAUACAGUUUUUACUGAAAGGUGAGGCUCGGAAUAAGUGAGACUGACAGACAAGGUACGAGAUCGACUCUGCUAAGGAGAGACAAGCUUAGAGUCCAUACGAAGAGCAUAGAGAACAUAGUUAUCAUCUGCAUUUCUCGCUUUCGGGGCUAUCGGCUAUCGAAGAAAGCUAUGUCAACCCGAUGACGAUGAGAGAAAAGUGAGGUUACCUUACUCUUACGUAAGCUCAGUCAGGUUGGUUAGUCUUUCUGCCCGUCAUUCAUUUCGUGGGUGAGUGGGUGAUCAUACAUACUUGCUCAUGGUGGUGGGUGGGUACUUGUAUUGAUGAUCCCAUUGAGGAGAGUUGGUUACCACAGAUCUCAUGUUAUAAGGGUUCAUCCACCUACGUGCUACACCAAUGAUUUAUGGAAAAACCAUAUAGUAUAAAUAAAAAAAAGGAUUCCUCCCCUAAAACUACAAAUAAGCCAGUUCAUUCCUUAGUUGGAUCCGCCAAAGAGAUUGGAGCGAGAACUCUUUUAACCACCUUGCUUCCCGGCAUCUGCCCUGGGUAGCGAUCUACUUAUGUGAAAACUCCAAUCAAAAAGUAAGAACGUAGUGCUAAGGUAGUUGUACGUACUAAGUGCCAGUGAUCAGGAGAAGUAUCUCCUUAGUGAUGUAACACCUUUCGGAUCAAUUCCUUUAGCAGCACGAGUAUCACUUUCUUUUUUCUGUCGAAAGCUUUCCACGUAGGUCUGAAAUAACCGUUUGUCAAGACGAUUUCUCUUACGAUGUUUCUUAGCAUCCGAGCUAGCUGGAUUUCCCUUGCUUGUAUUUCCCUAGCUUGGAUUUCCCUUCAUUUAUUCUAUCCCCGAGCCCGAGGAAAGCCGAAAGCCUUACCUACCUACUAGCUAGGGUUUCGGUUUCGUUAGCAUCAUGCAAAAGAAAAGAAAAGCCAUUUCUUGAGUCUAUAGCUCAAGAAGAAAUUCACUUCUUUUGAAUGGCCAAGUGGGUUAAGGUUUAAGACAUUAAUGCCGUUUCGUACCAAAAUAUUGAUAGAUUCCUAAAACUAUUACAUAGUGGCUUAGACGACCUUCUAGCUAGACCUUCGAGACCGUCGAGAGAUUCUCUUUGAAGACUGGAUCACCAACACUGCUUCACUUACGCUUUCUCAAUCUCUAUGAAAACUACUUUGUUAUUUACUAGAUUUUCAUUUCGUAAUUAAGUGGGACGGCCGAGUGAGUAACUCUUCUCUUAAAUUCACUGACGUGAAUGUGUGAAGGAUCUCCUCUUGUAUAGCUGUAAGUCAUAGUCUUCGUCGAUGGCGUCGCGACUAGAAGGGAAGUCAUGCCCCGACAAGGUUCAUUUGAACCAAGAAUGCAAGGAAGAAGUGCAGAAUGGUUCCUAAGGCCGUCCUCUAACACAGUAAAUUUAAAUGUGUAAACAGGGGUGGUACGGACCUGGUAGAACAACUAGUAGUUUGCUUUGAAUCCUCCCAGAGCAAUCUCGUGAACAAUCUUUAACAUGGCUUGAGGCAGACGCCUAAGGUUUCCACUUAGAAUCUUGACACACAACAGUAAAUCCUUAAAGGACAGGCCUAGAUGACUCUCUAACUCAACGCAGCUCACGGUAGCCUGAAUCUUACAGGUUAAACCAGAGAACAAAGAAGAGUAGCAGGUUCACGAUACAAUUACUGGUCAGAAGCAGUGAUGAUUCCUCCUUUCUUAGUCCUGGAAAUAAACUAAGAGAGCUGCUAGUAGUUCCACCAGCAGAGAAUAUUUGAUCCAAACAGCAAGAAGAAGCCUAACGAUGAAAUCAGUAGCCCCUUUUGUAUAGUAAGGUUCAAAGAGUCCUUGUAUAGUAAGGGCGCUCCUGCGCACCAGCUUCAGGAAGGGCUUCAAAGCUCCUCUAGCGUUCCAAAACAAGGCAUUUCUUUAACUAACAAAGGGAAGGAUCGGAAGGUUUACCUUUGGGACUCGAAGGUCUGACCUUGGAUCUUGUAGUCGUGCCUAGGGGCAUCAAGGAGUCAUCCUUUUUUCUUUCUGGUUCUUCUCGGUUUAACUGGUUGAAAACCAUCUUCUUCCUGUUCUUGAGAUUGAAAGAAAUGCAUGAGCUAUGGUAACCACGCCGCUUCCAUCUACUUGUAUGCGAGUUUAGAUGAGGAAAGCAUUUUUUUUAACGGAAAAUAGUAGAUUGACUCCUGUCUCUUAGGCUUACAUAUUCAAAAAAAAGGAAACUGAAGUUGUAUCCCGCCUUCUCUAAGAAAGCCUUAACCUUCGGUGAAUAGUAAUGGGUCUUCACCGGUUCGGUGGCAGUGGCAUCUUUGUAAGGAUCUUUCUUAUGAAUCCGGUCUUCUCCCUAGAGGGGCUGAAUGUAGAAGAAAGAAAAGGAGCUCUAGGGGAGGGCCAAAAGAUCUCCAAUGUCUUGGAAGCGGUCGAACACAACUGCAACAUCCAAAGCAAGACCGACGAGUAUCGCUUAAUCAAACAGCUGGAAAAGGAAGCGGAGGCGAAAAAAGAAGACUACCCCGCGACCAAUUCCACCUUCAAUGAAAUCAAGGACUUUCAAAGCGAAGUCCAAGAUGGAUUUGGAAGGAAAGCCCUUCCAUCGAUCAAUAUCAAUAAGGAAGGGUAAGAACCCGAAAACUACAAGCUUUAUUCAAGCGAUUAAAGAAGAUUAUAGAAGAUUUUUUGUUGACCGAUAGAUUCUAUUAAAAAGCAUGUUCAUUCGUAUUCAAGUUUUUUGGACAGAGUUAUAUGUGGCCUUUCAUUCCUUAGGGAGUGAGAGGGCUAAGGGGAAAGGGUGGGUGGCCCCUUACAUGCUUUUUUAGGAGGAGUUCCGUGUAGUCGGAUGGAACGGAAGCGCAUAUCGGAAACGAAUCGGGAUAGGGGUAAUGUAAAUGAAGUUACUCGACUAGUUAGUCUCGGGAUUGAAUCAACCAAGGGAGGAGAUGUGCUAGCGAAUCAGAGCAGAAACCAAGUGAAUUACUUUACUUGGAUCUAUUUUUAGAGGAAGAAGGGAAUCAAGCUCGAUAGCGCCAGCCGUUUUCUUGCUGCUAGCGCGCCCCUAUGAGUAAGACGUAUUCGGAGCUGGUAAGGCUCUUCUAGCUACUUUUAUAAAGAAGGGCUCGAUGAGGUAAGUAAUAAUAUUAUUUACUCGAAUCUUAUUAGCCUUCUAAAAGAAUACAGAUAACGCGGUGCAUCUUUCUUUAUCCCAUGCAUCCUUUCUGUUUGUUAGUCAACCAAAACUCACUAUACUUAAUUCUUCACUACUCCGUGCAGGAAGGACUCUCGUUCUCUCUGGAGGGAAUCCUUUGUUUUUCAAUCAAGAUGCCUCAACUGGAUAAAUUCACUUAUUUCACACAAUUCUUCUGGUCAUGCCUUUUCCUCUUUACUCUCUAUAUUCCCAUAUGCAAUGAUGGAGAUGGACUACUUGGGAUCAGCAAAGUUCUAAAACUACGGAACCAACUGGUUUCACACCGGGAGAACAACAUCCGGAUCAGCGACCCAAACAGUUUGGAAGAUAUCUUGAGAAAAGGUUUUAGCACCGGUGUAUCCUAUAUGUUCUCCAGUUUAUUUGAAGUAUCCCAAUGGUGUAAGGCCGUCGACUUAUUGGGAAAAAGGAGGAAGAUAACUUUGAUCUCUUGUUUCGGAGAAAUAAGUGGCUCACGAGGAAUGGAAAGAAACAUAUUCUAUUUGAUCUCGAAGUCCUCAUAUAGCACUUCUUCCAAUCCUGGAUGGGGGAUCACUUGUAGGAAUGACAUAAUGAUAAUCCAUGUUCCACACGGCCAAAGAAGCAUCAAUUUUUAAUCUCAUUAUUACUUGGUUGUUCGGAAGAGAUUCUUUCUUGAUCAGAAUAGUAAAUGGAAGGCACUACAAGAAAGAUAUACUCCUUUUUAAAUUGCCCCAGACGUUCAGAAAGGUUCUCGAUAUUCUCAAUCGCUCUUUUUUCUUUUCUAUUCUCUGUCUCUGCAAGGCUCCUCGAUAUAGAGUAGAGCAAAGCAAUCGAUUUCAACAGGCUUUUCUGUAAUGAUCGAAUAAUGGAAGUUCACGGGGAAAGUCACUAGACCCGAAGCAUUGGUUCAAAUCCAAUUCAUUACUCCUUAGAAGGAAGAAAAGGACUCAAUAAAGGGUACUUACUACUAAGAUUUCAUAUUCUAUCUUAUAUAUGGCAUUUAUCUCUAUACUCUAAACUGGAAGGGCCAUACUAUGAGACCCUAGUGGACGAAGCAAAAGCUCACUCAACCAAGCCUAGUGGAGGAAAGAAAGGAAGAGUCGAUAAAGGCUAACUACAUACUGAUUGGCUAAUUUCCCUCGGUGACGUAAGACUGAAGAAAAGAUCACAAUAAGGGACCUACUCUUGCCGAAAGAUAGGAGAAGAUCAAGACUUUGAUUUAGACAAGGAAGAUUUUGACAACUCACUAGAUCGGGAUACUAAGGUAUAGAGUGGCAUACUAGAAUAGAAGAAGAGGUACACUAAAACUACCUUAGAACCUGUCUUGCUGUGGAAGCAGUGGCCGGAAGCUUCACUACAUCAGCAGUAAAAGGCAGAAUCUCGGCCAAGAUACGUCGUGCUGUUGAAAGAGCUGUCAAAGAAGGAGGAGUCUGUUGUUGGCGCCCUUCAGUACCUCACUCUCACCGGACCUAACAUCUGCUAUGAUGUCAAUCAAGUUUGUCAGUUCAUGCACUCUCUCACCACCGUACAUCUCCAGGCACGCAUCUUGCGGUAUCUGAAGGGUUCUCUUGGCCUUGGCCUAAACAUCACUCCCGGACUAUUAACCACCUUCUUUACAUUCUCCGAUGCCGACUGGGCUGGCUGUCCCGAUAGCAGGCGGUCCACUACUGGCUUCUGCGUCUUUCUCAGAAAAAACCUAUUAACUUGGUAAAUCUGCGAGGAGGGAAGGUGACCGGCUGCGUGGAAUGCUUUUCGCCCAAACGAAUUAAUGAAUCAAGUAGUGGCUGCGGUGCAACAUCCAUCAUUGGCUAAACAAUGAUUGUAGCAAUAAGGAUAAUAGAACCUUAAGAAGAAAGAAGGCUGGCGGGAUCAGACCUCGACUUCAUCUCAUGCCUACUGAUAACAGAUCUUACUUCUCCUGACUACAUUCAGAAAAGAAAGCUUGCUCACCCGCCCAUGAAAGGGGAGCUCUCGCCCUGCCUAUAUAAGGAAUUAUGCCCCGGAAGCAACUUAGGACUCUUGAGACUACCUCAAGCCCGACUUUAUGCUUGGCAAUAUAUCUGAAUCUUGACUCGUCCUAUGACUCGGAUAGAAAUAGAAAUUGCAGAAAGAGAACAGAUUCGAGUCUAGCGUAUCAGAAAGCCUCGCUUCUUACCAACUCAAGUAGUUUGAUGCGGUUUACCGUCUGACUGCCCCAUUUCGUGAGUCCAGGAAAAGUAGUUUGAAUGCUUAUUCCAUUCAGGAAACUCUUCAACCAGGCCACAAAGGCUGUAUCAUCAGAUCACUUGAUAUUACUACCCGGAACAAAAAUUAGAAAGUCAGUUCAAGGCAAGGAUCAAAGCUCUUCCUUGAGGCUGGCUCUGCAGUUCCAUAUGAUGCCGAAUUUCUUGCUCGCUUUUCUUUCGCGCCUAUAGCCUUUCUAGCUGCUGUUAGGUGGGCUGUAUUUAGCCCGCCUCCCUCCUUUGCAUUGUCUGCUUUCGCGCUAGAAGCAGGAACUUCCUUCAAUGGCAAGCGAAGCAUCCUUUCUUUCAUAUGCUAGUUAUCUCUCUCUGUGAGAAGCUUCUCGCUGUCCCUGAUGCCCCUAAGAACUAUACUAUACCACUAGGGGCGAGUUAUACGAGCCUUGAGAUGAGAAAAUCAAAAUAGCAGAGCAGGGGAAUCGAAGGGGAAGGGCAGUCUAUCGCGGACCCUUAGUUUAGUAACCACCACCAAACAAUCUAUCAUCCAGCAGUGAACAACCAAUUCAAGUUGCGUUGAUUAUUCAAUGAGAAGAUCGUGGCACGAAAAUACCUAAAAGGAUUGGGCCAGGCACUUCAAGAAAUUGAAUUUCUUUGUCAACAUAUCCCUAUUGUGGUGUGGUAAGUGAAAUCUCACUAUUGAUUCUAAGCGCUAAAUUACCCUCCUCCGAUAAUGAAGCUGAAGGAAGCGGCUCGAAUAGAUCAGCAGAUCGAAUAGCAGAUGCACUUUUCUAUUCGAUACACUUUUAUAAUAUAUAUAUAAGAAAGUCCGGCUUUUAACAACCUGAUCAGGUAGGCCAAAGGUCUUCGCAGCAUACUAUCACACUGUUCACUCUCUUCGUUCUAUAGGCGCAUGCGGAAGAGAAGAGAUCCCCCAAAAAAAGAACUGGGAAUCUAUUUCGCGCAUCGGCAUGCUUCUAUCCUUUUGUCCUCGAAUGGCAGCACGAAAUUUUACUAUAUCUAAAUGAAAAAGUCAGUCUUUUUACGAGCUAAAACAGCUGGAAAGAAUACAGCAUUAAAGAAACUAACUCGACGGCACGACAUCACUAAAUUUUCGAUCAAGAAGUGACAUAUAUACGGAUAUGGGUAACUAUGGCAGUAUGGCUUAUGUAGGUGCAAGCCAUGGAAGAAAUCCUAUAAAUAAAGGUCUUUGUUCAGCUUCUUAUUCUGGUUCUAUUCCCAUGCCCAAGACCACAACAAGUCGCGGUCGAGGCAGAUAGUAGUAGUGUUUUCGGUCAAUCCCUGGUCCACUUGCAAACUCUUUAGCCCUAAGAAGGCGGUUAAAUAUAUGGCUAUAAAGCGGAGUACGAAGGUGAUCAACACCUUGUUGUGGAGUAUGCCAAACAGUCGUAGUCAUCGACCUAUUUAAGACCGAGAAACCCAAUAAGUAGGAGAAUAAGGUUGAUGAAGAAGGGCCAUGAACCCAUUCCUUACAGCGAUAGAAAUCCCUAUUUAUGAUCGCCCAUAAAUGAGAGCAUAGGGUCAUCUUCUAUUGGUACUCCUCUAGUCGAUAGAGUUCAUGCGUAAGGAGUCAUGUCAUCUCUGGUCAAUAGAGCAGGAGAUUGGCGACCAAGUAAGCUCUAUAAGAGAAGCGGGUAGGUUGAAUACAUAUCAAUAGGUCCAUCUCCUUAGCCUAUGGUAUAAAACUCGCAAGGACUAGACCAAGGCUUGGAGUAUCUAAAUCCACUAGGCGAACUAUUGGAGUAUAUAAGGGCUUUAGUCCCAUUGGUUGAAUGCAUAGCGUUUGGGGUCUUUCCUCAUCCCUACUACUCUGGCUCUAUCCCCAUGCCCAAUCUUUGACACCUAACCUACUAGCCGACAACGAAAAUGGACUAGCGAAAACCCGGACUUCCAUCGGGCAAUCAUAAUCCGUAACCGCCUUAGCGCUCGGCCUCUUUCCUAGUAAAUAAGUAGUCUAGUAUAUAUAUAUAGUCUAUAUUAGUAUAGUUACGAUAAUAUCAUAUAUAGUGUAAAAGAUAGAAAUAUCGUAUCCGACUUCAAAUCAAAACAAAAAAGGUGAUUCUGACCUAUCAGGUUAACCAAUGGACGCUCCUGAUGGAAUGUACCACCUAUCGGGAUUGUUUUGAGGACCUUCAUCAGCCAUACAUGGACUGGCCUCAGAAGCCUUUGGUUAAUAGAAUUUCUAAUGACAAAGAUGCGCCGCUUGCCUCCUCCUUCCACGGCAGCACACAGUCAUCCAUCGAGAUCUAACCCACACUCUGGAAGGUCUUCAAGACUCAUCAUGCGGGACGCGACAUUGUCUUCAUACUCGUCAAUGUCCUCUGACGUCAGAGGACUCUUAUUCUCAUAAAAGGCAUAACGGACUCUGAAAGGCCAAAGCACUCCCUGUGUGAAGUCUAUCGAACUCAUCCAGGUUAGAGUAGAUAAAUAACUGUAAGCAGCCAACUCAAAUAAAGCGCAAGGAAGGAUACUACGGACUUUCUUUCCAAACAACUUGUUGAGAAAAGAAAAUGCGCACUGGGGAAGGAUUUCCAUGUAGGAUCCCAUCUAAUCCCUUGUUCAAGGGGAAUGGAUGAGAUGGUUCCCAGAUAACGCUCACAAAUAACUGGCAACUUCUCAACGAGGUCAUCUAGAUACUGCUCCACGUCAUCCACGAAAAGACAAGGAGACAUAAUCUAAUAGACGAAAAGGUCGAACUAUCUACCUUCUUUGCCAACUUCACAAUUCUGUAAAGAGAGAAGAAAGAUAAAGAAAUUCAUCCUGGCUUUUCUAAACGUACAAAUUCUCCACUUGGUUUCUGCUUUCUAAAUAGGGUUCAAUAUCUACCCAAUUGGAAGGCGAAUAAGAGGGUCAAAGGGCCAAUUCUCUUGAAGAUAAGAAGAGUCAAGAGCAUCUCUCUCUGCGUGCUCGCCCAACAAAGAACAUGGUUGAUCCUCAUAAUUGAGGGCAAGGCCCAGAACCCUUUCCAACCUUUUAUUAGUACACGAGUUCGGAUACGUGUUCUGUGGCCAUUCUGUCUUAAGAAAAACCUGAGUUUCGGGUAUCACAGCUAUAAAAAAUUACAUAUAUAGUAUAGAUUCUAUUAUCUAUACGCAAUAUAUAGCUACUAUAGAAGACCCCUAACGGUCGUUUUGAGAAGUUCUUCAUUGAUGUUCCACGUUCGACCACGACGAUGGGUUACCGCGAGAGGUAGAGCCGAAUGCGCCCCAUUUCCUCCAUUUAUCCAGUGAGCUUUUUUUGAGCUAAAGCGCAAUGCAAUAAACUAAUUUGAAAAACGAGAUUUUUGUAUCCAUUUUGAAGUCCCAAAAGGGAUCAUUUCAAGACAUCCUAGCCCUCGAGGAGUCAUGGCACACAACAGGUACAAAUCUUCCUUAGCUGAUAUUGGUUCUUUAGUGUGUCAAUCGGGCACACAUAGUUCCGCUCCGAUCCACUGGUCGACAAAUGCGAAAUCAAUGCAUUCUUUGACAUGUGUGGAAGCUGAGGAAUUUGCUCUAUCGUUGGCUCGUAACCAGGGUGACGAAGAGCUAUAAAUCUUCCUCAAAAAAGAGGGUUUGAUCCUGGCUCAGGAGUGGGGUAUAGUUCCCCAAGAGGAAUGGCAAUGCUGUGAGUAAAGCGAUUUUAUUUGUUCCACAUCUUGAUCUCUCUUUCUGGCGGAUCUAAUUCUUCUUCAUCUCCUGACCGUGGAGUUUUUUGGUAACAAUGAUACGGAAAGCAAGUCUUCAAUCUUACAAAGAAAGGCGAUGGAAUCCCUGCAUUCCUCUUCUCUAAUGCUUUUGUCUUUAGGAGAAUCCCCUAGCCUUCCCUGUUGAAAGAAAGUUUGCAGUAAUCGUUUUAGGAAGCACUCUAUCCAAGGAGGAAAUGAAGAAAGACAGUACCCCUUUUUUAGAAGACAAGAUUUCUAAUUUGAUUGACCAUGGCCAGACAAAGAACGAAGAGAAGUCCUACUCGGGAAUAUGGCACUUUCUUUCUCCUAUCAAGCGCUGGUGCAGCAAAUAGCGUAUACGUUCUUCUUGCGGAAAGAACUAAGAAAUGGGUUAAUUGAAUAGUCUCUAUCAGCUAAACCAAAGGGCGAAAACUGCUAUUUAUGCUCGUACUAUCAAUACAAUAGCAUUUUAGGAUUUCUUUUAGGGAAUUGUCCCUACCCGUAGGAAGGAACAAAGAAUGGAAUAAAGGAGGGAGCUCUAGCUUACUCACCUCGGUAAGAAAGGCUGUCUGAGCAAAAGCACUAGCGCUUGCCCGAAGACCCUCUAGUUCUUGGGAAGAAAAGGAAUUCAAAAACCUCAUUGUCAGGUUGGUUAUGUUAAUAAUUAAUCCAUUUCCCAAUCAAUCUUAGGGAAGGCAGCACUCAAGAGAAUAGGCACGAAGGGCGUAGUAGCAGUACAUCUUCUUGAACAACUUAAAAGUCUCUGACAAAGGGGCUUGUUGUUUGUCUGGUGCAGCCUAUCUUCAUAGAUUAGAUGGCCAGUUCCAUUGAGAAGAAUCUUUCAUUUGAACCUCAAAUCUAGAAGAGUUCGGCAAAGACUGCCAUAAAAAGGCUUCCAAUGGGCCUAGGAACAAAACAAGAGAAACAGCAGACGCGCCUUCAAGGCAACCCCGCUACCUCCGAGACAGGCAUCCCUCCUACCCCGAUUGUCUUGCUGCUAGGACCCUUCGGAGGUGACCCCGGAUAUCCCUUACUUUGAGGUAACCCCGAAACGAGGCAACCCCGUUCACUCCGACAAGAAAGGUGUCAAGUCUGAAAGCCAAGCCCGGGCAAGAAGAGGGCUCACUACAUUCCAAAAAGGAAUGGUUGGUAUGCGGUCCGUCCUUAGAAAUACCCGAGUAAUCCCCCUUUUUUUUGUGAUUGUUCCAAAGCGUGCUUCCGUUUCUUGUUCUUCGAGCUCAACCGGUCAUGCUUCUUUCUCAGUUGCGCGAUUCCUAGCUGCUAGAUCCUAGAUCGGAGGAUGUAGGUGAGUCUGAUUGUUCUGACUUCUACUGUUAUAAGUUGCCUUAAGGCGCCUUCCAGUUCCAGCCCAAUAGGGGCACUUGCCGGUGAGGAAGAUCCCAUUUAGAAGAAGGGAGAAAAACCUAAGUAUCCUUUCGCCUUGAGCUAGGGUCAAAGAUCAGUCCAAGCUAGGAUCAGCUCUCGGAAGUCAAACUUCUCCUAGAAGAGUUACCAGCGAGAUUACCGCCCAUGAAGGACAUUCAACAUCAGAUCGAUCUAAUCCCAGGAUCUUCUCUUCCGAAUCAAGCUGCUUAUCGGAUGAGUCCAUCGGAGCAUGAAGAGUGAAGUCGGCAGGUUCGCGAGCGGAUUAAAAAGGGAGUUGUCAGGGAGAGGGUUCCAAACCUUGUGCUGUGCCUGCUCUCUUGACCCCAAAGAAGGAUGGCACCUGGCGAAUGUGCGUUGAUAGUCAGGCCAUCCACAAAAUGACCAUCAAAUAUCGAUUCCCGUAUGACUUAGAUAUGUUGUCUGGAUCGCGUGUGUUUUCGAAGAUUGAUCUGAGAAGUGGUAAUCAUCAGAUUAGAAUCCGACGGGGGGAUGAAUGGAAAACCGCCUUUACUUUAAGACGAGGGAUGGGACUUUUCGAGGCCUACCGCCCCAAUUUCAUGAGGAUGAUGAAUCAGGUGCUUCGGCUUGAUUACGAAGAAGAGGCAAAUUGUCGUAUAUUUCGACGACAUUCUAAUUUCUCGUGUGGAUGAGAAUGAACACCUGAAUCAUGUACAAUGUGUACUGGAAGUCUUGCGACGGGAGAAACUGUAUAUCGGAGAAAGAGACAAAGCAGCUGAGAUCAGAAUGAGUAGCAUUGGUCUCUCCGUUUGGUCCGACUAAUCAAUGUAAAUAAGAUUCCAUCGAUCGGUGAAGCACAUCAACGGAAGUGUGCACGCUAGCGUUCUCCUCUAAGCUUCUAGUUAGCUCAUCGAAGAACUGACUCCGUUAUCACUAGCAAGCUGGCUAGCCGAUAAGUGCAUUGAUUCCCUGUAUUAGCUGACGACUAGUGCUACCUUCCUUACUCCGAAGGCGACUUAAGGCAAGCAGGCAGCUUGAAGUGAAGAUAGAAUACUUUUUUUAAGAAUGAAAAAGGAAAAUAAAGACUUCGUCCCACUCUCGGAUAAUGAAAUCACCAAAUGCUGCUCAAAAAGACACUCCGGCCUAACAGCACUUUCCUUACCCGUUGUGCUCUGUCUGAGAUAAGGAGCAAGAGGCUAGACGGAAGACCUCUAAUCUACCAAUCAAUCUAGCUAGCGUCCUAUGACUUUUGUUCCAGAGGCGAAAGGAAGUAUUUACAUCUCCUGCAGAUAGAGGUUUAAAGCUCUCUUGGCAGCCUCUACGCGUUCACUCUUUUCAAGCAUAAGGGCUUUACCCGCUCAACCAUCAGAAGAGAGCUUUUCCCAUCAUGCCAUGGGCUCGGCUAACCACUAAGUCGCUCAUGCACAAAUUCUUACUAAAAGGAGAACCCGUGGAGAUGAAUCUAUCUCUGUCAAUCACAAAGCCAAGAUUGUAACAACCAAUGAAUUUCUUUUCUAUUUCUGCUGUCUGGUCUAACCAAUUAUCGAGGUUUAAUGGCCUUUGGCUGCCUCCUCUUCCUUGCCACUCUCUCUUUCUUAUAUCUGCUAUUUAUUGCGGAAGGGCCCCAAGCGGACCGUACCGGGCCUCUCGAACUUCCCUUCCGGUCGGGUCUUAAGGAGAGCAAUCAUAGACCAGGGGAGAAACCAGUUACAGGAUCAGGAAGGUCAGAGCUGUCGUUGAUAUGCAAAACAGAGGAAAAGAUAUCCCUAUAACCAAUCUCACUUUUUAGGAUUGUACCUUCGCGCACUCCUUUGUUCCACCACAGAGCAUUACAAGCAAAAAUAUCCGAAAAUUGAUGAUUUAUAAGAGGGCAAGUCAAUCGCAUUAAUAAACUUUAAGGAAUUCCAGGAGCGGGAGAAGCUGUAACUGAAGCAGGAGAACGGGAAAUUCCAUUUCAAAGAAGAUAGAUGAAUGGGGUACCCGAUUGACAUCGUAACCAUUAACGAAAGAGAAAGGGCAUUUAGAAGAAUCUCAGAAACAUGGCGAUCGAUUCGACCGAUCAAGAACAGAGCGCGGCUAAGUCCUACCACUAUUAUUGCUUAAGCGCAUUCAUCCACAACAGAAUCCACUCACUAAACUAAAGUCGAAUAAAGUCCGUACGCUUGAAUGAAGCCCUACCCCUACGCUUGAAUGAACUCCUGAAACAUCCACUUCAAUUGAUUCUACUUCAUCUCCCCCCUUUCUCUCCUUACCAGCCUGGACAAGACGGAUGGGAUGAAGGAUAGCGGACAAAGCAAGCCAGCCAACAAAGAUUGAUCCAGUUGCGAUUUGCAUACAGUUUCUGCCUAUCUGAAGGUGCCGCAAAGGAUUCCUGUGGGGCGGAUCCAUUAGAUGAUCAGCCCAUCCUCCCUGUUAUUGACUGGAAGAAUGUGAACAUCCCAAAGGGGGUCCAGUUCCGAGUCAGUCAUGGUCAUCCUCAAAGACAACUAUGUAAGGCUUAGACCUUGCGUAUACUGCUUCUCCUUUGGGUAGCUUUCUCUUCAAGCACUCUUGCCUUCAUAAGGGUUANNNNNNNNNNNNNNNNNNNNNNNNNNNNNNNNNNNNNNNNNNNNNNNNNNNNNNNNNNNNNNNNNNNNNNNNNNNNNNNNNNNNNNNNNNNNNNNNNNNNAAGAGGGAUUCGAACCCCCAGUAUUCCUAUCAAUACUGUGGUUUUCAAGACCGACUCUUUCAACCGCUCAGAUAUCCAUCCCCUUCUGUUACCUACUUUGACUCAUAUCUUCGGUAUACCUCAAUACAAGACAAGCACAGGAAAGGAUAUUCAACCAAAACUGGGCUAUCGCCCUAUCUAAGUAGGUUGACCCUCUCCUCUACGGAAGUCCUUUUUCAUCUAUUUCUUUCAGUUCCUGUGUCUAUCGCUAUCGCCCUAUUAUCUCUCAAUUGCCUAUCCUUUAUAGAUGAGGGGGAGGCCCCAUCACUCUGUCUCGAAGGCAGGUUAAGUCAAGUGUAAAAUAAGGGUAGUGCAUUAAGAAGCUGCAACUAUCGCAUCAGCUAGAGCGGCAUUAGGCAUUGGAAAGGUGCUUAAUUCCGAUAGCGAUUUUAGGCUUUCAGAGCGGGAGAGGAAAAGAAAGAUGAGACCGGCUACAGGAGUUGCAGAGGCUCUCGAACUUUCUGUGAUCACUAUACGGUGAUUGUGAAAUUGGGAUCUUGAGGGUUUACAACUCCUUUUUUCUCUCUUCAAGUGGAAGGCAGGGAAGAUCAAAUGGAAUAGAACACUCUUCAUACUAUUUAUUCCAUUAUGUGCUUCCCUCUUCAAGAGCUAAGCUACUAGACUCAAAUCGUUUAUAGCAUCUCGUAUGGGACAUAUAUAGUCUUUACCCGAAUAGAGUACUUCAUUCUGACUUUCUCAUAGCAGGCAAUCCGUGCGAAAGGGCUCUCUCAUCUGCUAUUUGUACCAGAAGACGAAAGCAAGGAAUNNNNNNNNNNNNNNNNNNNNNNNNNNNNNNNNNNNNNNNNNNNNNNNNNNNNNNNNNNNNNNNNNNNNNNNNNNNNNNNNNNNNNNNNNNNNNNNNNNNNUUGUCUAGAGUGAAUAUGCUGCUGAUGCAUAAGGCAGCGUGGCACCUGCUGAAUCAUAUAUAAUUUUUAGCUAGGCCUCACGCACACAAAGACCUGAACAUUGCGUUAGACCGGUUGGUCAAAAUAGAAAAAAGACGAGCUGUUAACAUGGAACGAGCCUCUCUUUCCUUGUUUCGGUUGGUCGCCUUAGUUAAGAUAAGCCCUCUUGAAAGCACCCAGACAAGGAAGCGUUCUCCGGCUCAUAUUAGCUUAGUUGCGCUUAAUAGGCCGGUUGGUUGUUUAAUAGAAAAAAUGGAUUGGCUUUGAAUAGGCAAGUCAAGUAAGCCUCUUGUUGGCGUAGGUCGUAAGGCUAGGGAAAUCCAAGCUCUUUUAACAGAGUAAUACUGCCCGGACUGUCUUCGUAACAGAAAAGCUUAGCUAGUGUCUCCCGUACCUAGAAAAGAAAAAGAGUGAGAAUUCUACAAACUUUACUUUGAUCAAAGAAAUUGACAACGGAAAGGUGAUAACUUGACAUCGCUAAAGAAUCAGUAAUUGACAGCAAGAACUAAGAAUCAAUAAAAGUAAAGUACCAAUUAGAUUGGCAAUGUGCGCUCCUGUGGGAGUCGAACCCACCGCAUAGGUGCCUUCUUCUACCGAGAGAUGAACUAAGGAGCGGCAACCCCUACAUCUCUGAACGACCGAACAAUCUCUGAGCUCGGAGAAAGAAAAUUCGAAAUGAGCACACCGACGGACCAUGAAAACAUCCGAAAAACCCUGCUACGAAACUACUGAACAGUGGAAAAAAUACGAGAAAUAGAUACAUAUUUUACUUUUUUUCUAACUCAUGACCUUNNNNNNNNNNNNNNNNNNNNNNNNNNNNNNNNNNNNNNNNNNNNNNNNNNNNNNNNNNNNNNNNNNNNNNNNNNNNNNNNNNNNNNNNNNNNNNNNNNNNGGAGGCCCCAUCACUCUGUCUUGAAGGCAGGUUAGGUCAAGUGUAAAAUCAGGGUAGUGCAUUAAGAAGCUGCAACUAUCGUAUCAGCUAGAGCGACAUUAGGCAUUGGAAAGGUGCUUAAUUCCGAUAGCGAUUUUAGGCUUUCAGAGCGGGAGAGGAAAAGAAAGAUGAAACCGGCUACAGGAGUUGCAGAGGCUCUCGAAUUUUUUGUGAUCACUAUACGGUGAUUGUGAAAUUGGGAUCGGUUUACAACUCCUUUUUUCUCUCUUCAAGUGGAAGGCAGGGAAGAUCAAAUGGAAUAGAACACUCUUCAUACUAUUUAUUCCAUUAUGUGCUUCCCUCUUCAAGAGCUAAGCUACUAGACUCAAAUCGUUUAUAGCAUCUCGUAUGGGACAUAUAUAGUCUUUACCCGAAUAGAGUACUUCAUUCUGACUUUCUCAUAGCAGGCAAUCCGUGCGAAAGGGCUCUCUCAUCUGCUAUUUGUACCAGAAGACGAAAGCAAGGAAUCCUAGACUUCCGAGACGAUAGGAGCGAGGCUGAGCGUUAUAAGGCGGCUAAGGCAAUCAGUUAAUCUCUUUCUGAAAUAGAUCUCCCUUCGUCUGGCUUAGCUCAUGGAAUAGUAGCUCUUCCGCUAUACUCUGGAGUGAAAGAAAAGCCCAGUUUUGCCCGCCUUAGUAAGACCCUCUUUCUGAGCCUUCCCCUCCUCCUUUUGAGUCAUCUUGGAUGAGAAGACAGAGACCUACUUCAUCGACUUUCAAUGUCCGUGUGGAAUGCAACUUGCUCGCUGAAGUGGAGGCGCUUUCCGGUAGCAGGGUUUGAUUCUCUUUUUACGAUUACNNNNNNNNNNNNNNNNNNNNNNNNNNNNNNNNNNNNNNNNNNNNNNNNNNNNNNNNNNNNNNNNNNNNNNNNNNNNNNNNNNNNNNNNNNNNNNNNNNNNCAGAGUAAUACUGCCCGGACUGUCUUCGUAACAGAAAAGCUUAGCUAGUGUCUCCCGUACCUAGAAAAGAAAAAGAGUGAGAAUUCUACAAACUUUACUUUGAUCAAAGAAAUUGACAACGGAAAGGUGAUAACUUGACAUCGCUAAAGAAUCAGUAAUUGACAGCAAGAACUAAGAAUCAAUAAAAGUAAAGUACCAAUUAGAUUGGCAAUGUGCGCUCCUGUGGGAGUCGAACCCACCGCAUAGGUGCCUUCUUCUACCGAGAGAUGAACUAAGGAACGGAAACCCCUACAUCUCUGAACGACCGAACAAUCUCUGAGCUCGGAGAAAGAAAAUUCGAAAUGAGCACACCGACGGACCAUGAAAACAUCCGAAAAACCCUGCUACGAAACUACUGAACAGUGGAAAAAAUACGAGAAAUAGAUACAUAUUUUACUUUUUUUCUAACUCAUGACCUUUAAGACUGGUUCUGAAUACCGUGAUGAGAAAGAAUCUCAUCUCUAACGAUAUUUUUUCUUCUUCUUUAUGAAGCCGAGAAAGACAGGUAAGAGAUGAAUUUAACAAAAACAGGGACAGAGAUAAGUUUUUCCUUGAAAUACGAGGAAGGUCGAUGCAGUUAGUACUUAGGAUGAGGCAAGUCCGAGCGAGGCAGCUAGGGAGACCUUUGAUCAACACCAUCUAAGAUAGGCUAAGCCUAAACCGCAUUGAAUCAAUAGAAUGACAUCCCUUUUCCAAGCAUUGGUGGGUAGUAGUAAGAUAGCCCGUUCUGUCUAUCUUAGGCAACUAGUUUGUCAUCCUCUCUUAGCCAAAAUCAAGGCGAAUACACGGUCAAUCACAUGGGUGGUUCAUCUCGAGAUUAGGAAAAAACCUCACUACGCUCGUAGGUCGGAAACUCCUGCUCGGUCGUAAAUCUCAUAUCAGUCGUUGCAUUUUAGCAGAUUUUCCUGCCAUUCUUCCUUCUCAUCAUAAUCCGGGAAAGAUUCCACCUUAACAACUACCACUUCUUCUGCUUUGUCUCUCUUCUUUCUCCUCAAUAGCAUAAUUUAGGGCUAUCGGUUUCGUUCUGUUCUGCAACAAAGGACGUCACUGAAAAUUUGGUAUAUAAAGAAUCGUUUUGUCUUUCUUCAAAAAAGUAAGAUAGUUUCUCCUCCGCCCAAGGGUGCUUUUUGAAAGAGCUUAACUAAUAGGGCACCGGUAGGCUAAGAACCUUUCUUACUUAUGAAGAAAGUUACAACUCUAGUUAAAUUGUAAGGGGAGAGACUCACUAUAUAUAUAUAUAAAUUAGAUUUCUCGAUGCUUUGAAUAGCGUAGUUUCGUACCCAACAAGCAAGGGAUGUGACUUUCUUUCUGAUCGUAGACCACUCUUGCUUGUUUGCUAAAGAGGCAAAUUCCGGGUCGUAGUAACAGUACGUAUCUCAGCGCCUAGAAGAAAGCUUUCACUGGCUUUUUUUACUAGAAAGAAAAAUUCCCAUUGAGAGCGAACUAAAGGAAUGGACGGGCGUAGGCUUAAUAGUGAAGGCAGACCCCCCUGCUGAUAGAUAUGAGAUCAAUGACUUAAAAGAAAAGACAGAUGUCGAGAGAAACUGUUAGACUUCUUUAUUGCGUUGCGAAGAGAGAUCGAAGACGAAGAUUUUCUGACGCAGUGCGGGCACUGGAUGGAAAAGACAGAUAAGAGAACAACCUACCGGAAGGGCAUACCUCAAGGAGCACCAAUCUCCCCCGGCAAACAUCUAUCUGCACGAAGCCGACCUAUGGAUAGAAAGAAAGAUGCAGGAAAGGAAAAUGAAAUAGAAAAGAGAAAGAUGCUUUGGGAGUGUGAGAUAAGCGGACGGGGAGUACGCAGCCGAACAACCGCAGGGGCUUCCAGCAGUGAUAGCUGAACUAACCAGAUGGGCCGCCCAAAACCUGGAGCUGACAUUGAAAUCGGAAAUCAACGUCGGAUCCCGGCUAUCCGAAAAACGCAGGCUGAAGCGGAGGAUCACAAAAUGCAACACAACAAGGGGCGAACCAAACGCUUGCGCGAAGGAAGAAGCUAAUCAAUCAGAAUGGAAGACAGCAUCGUGUGUCGAAGGGGAUCCAUGUUCCAGUAAUUGGUGUAAAAGAUAUGCUUUAUGGUCAAGGAAGAUAGGUUUCUUUCUGUCUUUCUUUCCGAAAAGAGAGACAUGGGAGUUCGACUCUCGUUCUAUCCAUGUUCAGCAGUCCUUGUCCAUGUUGGAACUGUUGAUGGCAGUACCAACUACGAGAUGCUUGAAAGUCGAUGUCUCAAUGUUCCCAAGAGUAGCAUCGAGCCCCGAAACGGCAAGCCAUGCUUCAAGCUAAGUCAGUCGGGAUCUAAUUGAUUGCUAAACUGAAGGCUGUCGAAGAUUCUCAUUCUGAACCUAUAACCUGCCUAGCUCUCUUCUUUUGGAUUGGAAGGAGGGGAUCAUACCUAUGGAAGAAGGCCCUGGGAACGACAUUCGAGCGAAGAACUAUACUGGAAAGCUGAAGCUUGCGAGAUUGCCCUUUCCCUGACUCGGCUAGGUAGGAAAUGACCCCGACCUGGCUGACUUGAUUGCUUGUUCCGUUCCCUGCUUCACCCACAAGGAGAGAAACUGGAAAGGCUAGCCUUCGCUCCGAGGGUUAGGAUCAAGGGUUGGUCGAGUUUGCUUUCGCUCCUUUUCCAUAAUAGAGAAUAGGGCAUGGAAGCUUUCUGCUAUUAGUAUUAGAGGAGAGUUUUGACUGCAAGGGAGGCAGGGGGAUUACGCGACUUACAACUCACUUCCUUAACCCCGAAAUAGCAACUUGGUUAUAGCUGACAGAAAGUAGAAACACGAAAACAAAAGGAAAAAGCUAGACUGCUGCCUUCGCCUUUGUCUCUGUCUCUGUUCGUUCGAAAGCAAGAGUUUCCCCCUCAACUAUGUUUCAAUCCUUUUUCAAAAUUGAUCUAAUUAGAGAAGUUCUCAUUCGAUGCUGAAAGUUGACUUCGAAAGAAAGGACUAUUAUGACCUCACUUAGAAUUUCGUAGAGAAAGAACACUUUCCUCAAUCNNNNNNNNNNNNNNNNNNNNNNNNNNNNNNNNNNNNNNNNNNNNNNNNNNNNNNNNNNNNNNNNNNNNNNNNNNNNNNNNNNNNNNNNNNNNNNNNNNNNAGACCGACUCUUUCAACCGCUCAGACAUCCAUCCCCUUCUGUUACCUACUUUGACUCAUAUCUUCGGUAUACCUCAAUACAAGACAAGCACAGGAAAGGAUAUUCAACCAAAACCGGGCUAUCGCCCUAUCUAAGCAGGUUGACCCUCUCCUCUACGGAAGUCCUUUUUUCAUCUAUUUCUUUCAGUUCCUGUGUCUAUCGCUAUCGCCCUAUUAUCUCUCAAUUGCCUAUCCUUUAUAGAUGAGGGGGAGGCCCCAUCACUCUGUCUCGAAGGCAGGUUAAGUCAAGUGUAAAAUAAGGGUAGUGCAUUAAGAAGCUGCAACUAUCGCAUCAGCUAGAGCGGCAUUAGGCAUUGGAAAGGUGCUUAAUUCCGAUAGCGAUUUUAGGCUUUCAGAGCGGGAGAGGAAAAGAAAGAUGAGACCGGCUACAGGAGUUGCAGAGGCUCUCGAACUUUCUGUGAUCACUAUACGGUGAUUGUGAAAUUGGGAUCUUGAGGGUUUACAACUCCUUUUUUCUCUCUUCAAGUGGAAGGCAGGGAAGAUCAAAUGGAAUAGAACACUCUUCAUACUAUUUAUUCCAUUAUGUGCUUCCCUCUUCAAGAGCUAAGCUACUAGACUCAAAUCGUUUAUAGCAUCUCGUAUGGGACAUAUAUAGUCUUUACCCGAAUAGAGUACUUCAUUCUGACUUUCUCAUAGCGGGCAAUCCGUGCGAAAGGGCACUCUCCUCUGCUAUUUGUACCAGAAGACGAAAGCAAGGAAUCCUAGACUUCCGAGACGAUAGGAGCGAGGCUGAGCGUUAUAAGGCGGCUAAGGAAAUCAGUUAAUCUCUUUCUGAAAUAGAUCUCCCUUCGUCUGGCUUAGCUCAUGGAAUAGUAGCUCUUCCGCUAUACUCUAGAGAGAAAGAAAAGCCCUGUUUUGCCCGCCUUAUUAGAUUCAUUUCUGAGACGACACCGAUUGCUUACGCUUUCUCGACCCGGGUGCUGGGUUGGGGCCUUCUGAUCCAGAUACCUUAGAUCUGGCUAUGCUUGCUUGCUGACCUGUGCUACCUAUUGUAUUCUUGACACAUUAGGGUAGGAAUAAGUUUAAGCUGAGCUGCCUAUCUCGCUGUGAGCGCUACCUAAGCACUGUCGAAGGCAUUCAGAGAAGAGUGGAAUAGUCCUAGAGUUGAGAGGGCUUCUCACUAACACUUUUGACUCACUGCCAAAAGGGAUUGAUUCCCGGGAAGGUAAAUGCUACCUUGACAGAAGACUCUACUAAACUUCCAUAACCUUGAAUGAAAAAAGAGAGAUUUUGAUAUAUCAUUAAGGGAAUAACUCUUCCUUUACUGAUUGGAAUGGUCUUAUUGAAAUGAUAUUCCUUUUAUUGCUUGCACCUACUAGAAGGAGGAGAGAUCCUUAAUUACUGAUUAAGAGAAAGCAAGGACGCUAUGAGUGCUCGCUAAUGUCAUCCCUUUGAUUGCUUACUUCGCUAUCCAAGCUGGAUGUUGUGAGAGUUUCCAGAUGAGCAGGAAGGGCUGGAGGACGUAUUACCGGAGGGGAGGACUGAAUAGAAAGAACGAAAGCGACGUACGUACUGGAUUGACUAGCGUGUGCCAACUAUUCUACGUCCCUAUUUCUUGCUUUUUCACAUCCCCUGAUUAGUGCACUCUUUCCCCCAAUUCACUGAUAGAGAAGAAAGAGAUAAGCAAUGACCGGACUAGACCAAUGAAAACGGACCAAGGUUUUUAUUCGUUAGCCAAGCGCGCCUAUUACAGCGCCUCUAUUACUGAAGCGAAAGCGAUGUGCCCUAUUAACCAGCCGAAGAGUAUCCUUAUAAAAGAAUGAAUGGGAAGCAGGCCCGGUCUAUAUUGCUAGAGUUAUGUUUACUGCACCCCCCAUGUACUCCUCUCUCUAUUCUGAUAUUUGAAUUCCGUCUCUAAGCUUCCCCCUUAGUGCCUUAUUAGACUUAUUUCUUCUUGACUAUGGUUGAAUGGAAGUUUCAUUUCCUAAGUCUCAAAUCCUUUUUUCAUUUUAUUGAGUCCCCAUAGUGCAUUCCCCUACAUAGUCUUUAGAGUAAUUUCUCACUAAGAAGGAUUGCAAUAUAAAAAAGAGAAUUCCAGAUUGAAGAUCUCUUGACCCAUAUACGAUCCAGUUCUACAUCUUAGCGCUGAACUAAUGAAUAGAGAUUGAGCUUCACUUCGCGAGUCGGGAAUGGCAUCAUUUAUGAAAAAGUUCUAGCNNNNNNNNNNNNNNNNNNNNNNNNNNNNNNNNNNNNNNNNNNNNNNNNNNNNNNNNNNNNNNNNNNNNNNNNNNNNNNNNNNNNNNNNNNNNNNNNNNNNNNNNNNNNNNNNNNNNNNNNNNNNNNNNNAUAUAUAUAUAUAUAUAAAUUAGAUUUCUCGAUGCUUUGAAUAGCGUAGUUUCGUACCCAGCAAGCAAGGGAUGGGACUUUCUUUCUGAUCGUAGACCACUCUUACUUGUUUGCUAAAGAGGUGAAUUUCGGGCCGUAGUAAUAGUACGUACCUCAGCGCCUAGAAGAAAGCUUUCACUAGCUUUUUUGACUAUAAAGAAAAAUUCCCAUUGAGAGCGAACUAAAGGAAUGGACGGGAUCAUGAUGCGAUCGACCUUUACCUUAGCAGUAAUAGAGAGAGCGUAGCUGUAGACUGGGGUAGGGGCCAAGACGGAUUCUAUAUAAUAAUGAAUGGAAUCUCUUUGAUUGAUUUCUUGCGACAGCUUAUCGAUGCUCGUUAGCGGUGAAGUCCCUCAAACCAGAAGUUUCAAAAGCUUUUGACUGGGCCUACGAGAGAAAUGAACUUUACAUACUGAUAUCGCAUACCGAAGGGAAGGCCUAAUUGCACCACUCCUCCUUACCUUCCGCCAGCCGUCCCCCUCCUAGCCUUGAACAGAAGCUCAAGUGCACGAAGACCCUCUGACUUAAGCAGGUGCUAUCACUUAAGAGAAUCUCCGGGUCCUUCUUAAAGACUACCACCUUCUCUUCGGGCAUUGGAAGAUGAAUCAACUCCAUAUAAGCUGGAUGAGCCGAGCCUUCUUUUUGGAUUGGUCAAGACCUAGACCUAAUGGUCAGGGCGUACGUAGCCCACGUCCCUUCCACCCAAAAGGAGUUGCUGGAAAGCCUGGAACCGAACCUGACCUCCUUAUGUAUGUUGCCCAUCGUUGGUUGACGCGAUGGUGGAAUUCCCCCUAUCUCGGGCGGGUUGCCCAGGGGAGUCAUAAAGGAAUGGACAUCCGGAACCAUGUUACGUGCCCACGAAGUUUGGAGUGGAUGCCCGACCUCCUCUACCCCCGAAUCCCUUGACNNNNNNNNNNNNNNNNNNNNNNNNNNNNNNNNNNNNNNNNNNNNNNNNNNNNNNNNNNNNNNNNNNNNNNNNNNNNNNNNNNNNNNNNNNNNNNNNNNNNAUAAAUAGCUAUAUGCGCUUAACACACAUUCUUUGGACUCACCCCCCAUAUAAGGCCCUCUAAACACCAUGUGUUAAGCAUACGACGACAGAGACCUUUACCUUAGCAGUAAUAGAGAUAGCGUAGCUGUAGACAGGGGCAGGGCCCGAGACGGAUUCUAUAUAAUAAUGAAUGGAAUCGCUUUGAUUGAUUGCUUGCGACAGCUUAUCGAUGCUCGUUAGCGGUGAAGUCCCUCAAACCAGAAGUUUCAAAAGCUUUUGACUGGGCCUACGAGAGAAAUGAACUUUACAUACUGAUAUCGCAUACCGAAGGGAAGGCCUAAUUGCACCACUCCUCCUUACCUUCCGCCAGCCGUCCCCCUCCUAGCCUUGAACAGAAGCUCAAGUGCACGAAGACCCUCUGACUUAAGCAGGUGCUAUCACUUAAGAGAAUCUCCAGGUCCUUCUUAAAGACUACCACCUUCUCUUCGGGCAUUGGAAGAU
rnacentral:lncRNA from 1 species